rnacentral:lncRNA from 1 species
AGAUUAAAGGUUUUCAGACAUUUCAUAUGAAUGCAGCUUGGAAGACUCUUAAGUUCCUUGCAAUUUUUUAGGUUGAAAUGACUCAACCCCGUGAGAUUAUUAAUUGACUCGGGCAAUUCUUUAAUUUUUGACCCGGAUAAAUUAAGCUCUUCUAACUCCUCCAUACCUUCUGAAAUCUCUGGAAACAUCUCAAGACUGGAGCAAUCAGAAAGAUCAAAGGUUUUGAGAGAUCUCAUACGAAUUUUGCUAGGUAGAAUCUUAAGUUCCUUGCAAUCUUUUAGGUUGAAAUGACUCAACCCCGAGAGAUUAUUAAUUAACAGGGGCAGUUCUUUAAUUUUUGACCCGGAUAAAUUAAGCUCUUCUAACUCCUCCAUACCUUCUGAAAUCUCUGGAAACAUCUCAAGACUGGAGCAGUCAGAAAGAUCAAAGGUUUUGAGAGAUCUCAUACGAAUUUUGCUAGGUAGAAUCUUAAGUUCCUUGCAAUCUUUUAGGUUGAAAUGACUCAACCCUGAGAGAUUAUUAAUUGACAGGGGCAGUUCUUUAAUUUUUAACCCGGAUAAAUUAAGCUCUUUUAACUCCUCCAUACCUUCUGAAAUCUCUGGAAACAUCUCAAGACUGGAGCAGUAAGAAAGAUUAAAGGUUUUGAGAGAUCUCAUAGGAAUUUUGCUAGGUAGAAUCUUAAGUUCCCUGCAAUUUGAUAGGUUCAAAUGACUCAACCCCGUGAGAUUAUUAAUUGACGGGGGCAGUUCUUUAAUUCUUGAUCCGGAUAAAUCAAGCUCUUCAAACCCCUCAAUCACUUCUGAAAUCUCUGGAAACAUCUCAAGGUUCGAGCAACCAGAAAGAUUAAAGGUCUUGAGAGAUCUCAUACGAAUUUUGGUAGGUAGAAUCAUAAGUUCAUUGCACCCAUGCAGAUCCAAUAAAACAAGGUUUGAAAGAGUCGAAAUAGAUGGGUGAACCUCAACUAAGCUUAUACAACUUCGAACAAUUAGCCUCUCAAGAUUUGGCACAUUUGUGAAGUCAGGGGUUUCCUUAAGGGAUUGACAAUUACUUAAAUUGAUGAAUUUCAACUUUUCCUGUGUCUGUUAAAACAUUCAGGAAAACAUGCAUUACUUAAUAAGACAUCUCACUCAAAGCCCAAACAUUUAAAAGAAACAAAUACAUGUAAAUGAUUGUACGUACCUGGGUUCCUUCCCAAAGUCGGUCAAUGAGACUAUAUUGCAUGUCAAGUUCAACAAGAUUUUCGAAUUGAAAGUUGGAUGGCAAAGACUUGAGAGGGAAACCAAGCCAGGAGAGAUAUCUCAAGUUAAGCAACUUUAAGGACCCAAACAGGUGGUGUUUGCAGCACUCAUCUUUAAAAACGAAGUGCCUAUAAAUGAUCUUGAGAAGUCUUCGUUGAGUCCUUCUAACAACAGCUUCAGCAUUUAUGUGCCUAUGAUUGAUCUUGAGAAGUCUUAGUUGAGUCAUUCUAACAAAAGCUUCAGCAUUUAAGCAUGGCCAGCUUGAGUACGAGAAAUCCACAAUUAUGCUUUCAACUGUUUUUGUAGCCUGUGCAAAUCAAAGUAAAGGAAAAUACAGAGAACCUUAGUUUUGAUUAUGAAAUUAAUGAUUGUUUCUUAAGGAGCCGUCUGAUAAUCAUUUCAUUUUCUGUUUAAUUGUUUUCAAUUUUCAUUAUUAAAACAAUGAAAACUAAAAAUUGAAAACAAAAAUGGUUAUCAAACAGGCCUAAGAAAUUGAUUUUGAUCAAAAGUUGAACCUUUCUACUAACAAUUGCAUAAGAAAAAGAUUUCUCACCGUAUUUUCAGUUAGCACCUCACAAACAUCUUCAUAACUCCACAACCUACUUCGUCUCCCAGGAUCUUUGCUAGAUUCUUGGCGGACAAUUUCCCGACCCAUUUCCUCUAAUGAAUCAUGCAUCUCCAAUACCCCCAACGUUGAGACAGUUAUGAGAGCUCGAUCAAUUAGAACUUUUAUUCCUGUAUGAGGAUGGAAACCACAACUGUCCAGAAUUUCAGUUGCCUGGUCUUCCUUCAUCCCUCUAAAGAAACAUGCAAUAUCUAGAAAGAUGUCCUUCUGUGUGUCAUCUAGUCCAUCGAAGCUUGUUUUAAGCACAUCAUGAACUCCCCUUUGUGGGAUUUUCCUUAUUUUUUCUAACUCACCUUCCCACACGCGUAUAGUUUUUUUAUGCAAAAAAGCUCCCAAGACUUUGAGGGCUAAAGGCAGACCUUGAGCAUAUUCUACAACACGAUUCGAGAGAUCAUAAUAAUCUCUGUUGGGUUGGUCAUUUUUGAAGGCGUACUGCCAAAAGAGUUCCAGAGCUCCAUAAUAACUCAAAGUCCGGGGAUUAUAUAUCACAUCAGUUAUGCUUAGUAACUGCGAAUCUCUACUUGUUAUAAUAAUCCUACUUCCAACACCAAAGGAACGUUUCUUUCCAAGUAAAGCUUCAAUUUGUUCUGAUUCGUCCACAUCAUCAACAACAAUAAGAACUUUUCUCCGACCAAGUCUUUUUAACAUCUUCUUAAAACCAUAUUUUGAUAUGUCAGAACUCCCCACCUUGUUGUUCGAUAUACUCGAUAGAAGUUGUGUCUGCAUAUGUGGUUUGCCAUGCUUCAUGAAACCCUCCUUGACGUUUUCAAGAAAGCAAGAAGCUUCAAAUCGACAUGCGAUUUCAUCAUAAACUGCUCUAGCGAUGGUUGUUUUGCCUAAACCACCCAUACCCCAUAUUCCAACAACGCGAACAUUAUUCGCUUCACCUCCGGGAGGAUAUAAUAAUAAAUGCAUUUCAUGCAUGUGAGAAUCCAUGUCAACCAAGCCAUUAUCUUUGCUUGAUGUUGAUGAGAUGUCGAUCAAUUUCCUAUAAACAUAUUCUACAAUUUCCUCAAUAAGCUCUGCAUCAUUCCUGUCAAAUUAAAAAAAACAAUAUAAUAACACCACCAAAUAAUAAUUAAUGGGUUUUUUCAUCUGUUAGUUAAAAAAAAAAACAGAAAUUAAAACUAAAAACUAGAUAUUUAUAAAAUUACCGCAAAACGUUACAAAAAUCCCAAAAAUUAAUAGGAAACUAAAACAAAUUAGAAUUUACUCAUAUUUUCGCGAAUCCCAGCCGGAUAAACUGGUGGCAGUUGUAAGAGCGGAUCUCCAGCUCUGAACCUCUUCCAUUUCAGCGUUAGAAUCACGAUCGUGCUGAGCAAAAGCUUCCUCGAAUUUUCUCUUGAGUUUACGAACGUCAGACGGAUCAACUUCAUAGAAAAUGGGGAGUACAAUCUGGUUAUUGGUAUCCUUGCAUUUCAAGAUUUGCACGAGUUCUUUCAAGCACCAAGUGGAAGAAGCAUAGUCUUGAGAGAAAACUACAAUCGAAAGCCUUGACUCUCGAAUCGCUGUCAGGAGCUCAGAAAGGUGGUCGCCUUUUCUGAGCUUCUCGGCAUCAAUGAAGGCGUUGAUUGGUUUCUUAACCAGAGCGUUGUAGAGAUGGCUGACGAAGCCCCUGCGAGUGUCUUCCCCUCUGAAAUUGAUGAACACAUCGUAUUUGCAACCAAGGCCAGAAGAAGAUGAAGAAGAAGAAGCAGCCAUUAUUAAUCGAUCGCACCUGGUCAGCGACGAUCGAGCAGCUAAGACUAAGAGAAUUGUAAGUACAGAGAUACUCAAUAGAUCUACAAAUUGGAUCACCGGAAAUUAGUCUGAUCGAUACCAAGUCAAUGAGUCAAUGCAAAAGGGAAAAAGGGGAAAGUGAAAUUAUGCUUUAUGUUUUUUCACAUCUUCUUCGGGGAAAUUUCGGUGUGAAAGGAAUCUUAUCCUUUUGAUUUUUUAACCGAAGCAAAUGCGAAGAAAAGGGUCAAAGUGGAAAAUUGAAUAUACACUUGCCUAUCCAACAACCUCUUAAUUUAAUAUAUUUAAUUGAGAAAAGUAGUUUAGAGGAAUGAUGGUAUCUCCUUUUCUUCUCACUCAAUCUUCCGGCAUGCGAUUUAAUCAUUAUUAAAGCCAAGCUUAAUAAUAGGUCGUAUUAUUUAGGUCGUAUUGGAUUAUAAGUUUUUGUUGUGAACUUGUGAUACGAUAGUUGAAAAAUUAAAAAAAUUAUAAUUUAAAUGUACGCGGUGAAAUCUGUUAGAAUUUAGAUUCAAAAUUGAAAAUUUUAUUAACUUCGUUAAUUAUUAGCACACGAAGCUCACAAAUGAAAUAAAAUAAUAAAAUGUAAUCUUCACGUGCUAACAAUUAAUGGAGAGUUUCAUUUUAACCUAAAAUGUGUGGCUUACGUACUAAUAAUUAACGGAAUGUUGAUAAAAUUUUCAAUUUUAAGCAUAAAUCUUAAUAAACUUCAUCACAUGAGCUUAAAUCCUAAUUCAACUAUCUUCUCACUACCUUACCUUACCACUAAAAAAAUUAUUAAUCAAAUUAAGCUUAUUACUUACUUACAAAUACGUAACUAAAUCACUGAAAGCUAUCUCCGUUUCUUUGCUGGGUGGACAGCUGUCUCUUUGUCUUCUUUUGGCAGAUAGCUACUAGACUCCUAGGCCUCGUUUGUUUGACGUCCUUAGCUAGGACUGGACUAGCUAGGACUAAUAACCCUUGUUUGGUGCAAGCCGAGAUUGAGUUUAGUGGGAUUAAGUAGGACUCGUGCCGACUAAAUCCUUCGUUAGCUGGGCUUAGCGAGAGCCCCCGAAAAGGAGGGGAUUGCUAGUCCCGUUUCCUCGUCUUCCCUCUCACGCCGCGUCCUCGUGCUCGUCCUGCACGACUGCACCAUCUCUGACGACGACUCGUCUUCCUCCACCCACCCCCUUGCCGUCUGCAACUCCAAUCCCCACCCAUGGAAGAACAAGUGAAUUAAAGCAGCUAAUUUGCAAGAACAAGUGUAAUCAGAGCAAAAAAGUCAAUAAAAAUUCGAACGGAAGAGAGUAGAGAGAUGAGUGGAGCCUACCUCCUCCUCGUCUCGUAACACACGGACUGGAUCCAUCUUUGCUCCUUCCAAUCUCAGAAUUUUUUGUUUUUCACUUUGACGGACGACAAAUUCAAACACAAGCCAAGAUCAUAUUCAGUCAUGCAUUUCCUCAGAAGGCGGCACACUGCGAGAUGAACUUGAUUGGUGUUUUGUUUUUGGGAUUUGACCAAAAUCGUAAAGGCAGAUUUUCUUCAUCUGAGAACUGGAGAAAAAUUGGGAAAGUUUUGUUUGUUGGGAAGGGAAAGGAACGGUAGAGAUAAGGGAGAAAGAAUUAAAAUGAACAAAAGAAAAAUAUCUGAAUUUUAAAAAUAAUUUAGUCCGGUACUGCACCAAACGCUUCACUAAGUUAGUCAUGCUUAGUCUAGUCCAAGCCAGUCCAGCUUAGUCCCUGAACCUAGUCCAGUCCGAGAUAGUCCGGUGCAACAAACGCACCCCUAGUGGCCGGCCUAUUUUCCACAGCUGGUAUAGGACUCAGUUGCUAUACAAGAAGUGUUAUGUUGUAAUUCACUAUUGAUGGAAAUCCAACAGAAUCUUCUUCGACUUGUUGUGAGGAUUUGGGAUAUUUAUGAAUCGUAUCCAUUUAUCGUAUAUUGUGGGAUCAGUUUUUAUUAAAUAGUAUUUGUGUUUAAUUUUAAAUAAAAAAAUUUAAAAUAAAAUUUUACCGCACGAUAUACUAUGAACGAAUACAAUUCAUAGAUCUCCAAGAUCCUCACAAGGAGAAUCCAAAAAGGAUCCGGAUUCAAUGGAAAUAUUCGUAAAUGAUCCGGAUUCAAUGGAAAUAAGCUAAUUUUGAAUCAAAUAACAUUACUUUAUUUUGUAAGUAAAUUAAUUUUAAAUCAAACAACAUUAAUUUAUUAUGUAGCUAAUUAAUUUUGUAUGUGUCAUCAUAUAUAUUAGGCGCAUUUUAUUAUAGGUGAUUUUGUGGUAUUCAUCUUCAUUUAUAAGUAAAAAGUCUUAGGUUCGAUUCUCACAAAAGUGAAUUUGAACCAUAUUAUUGCUAGUCCAUUAUGAGGCCUAACCCACCCUCCUCCCCCUUAGUGUAGAUAGAUCGUUUGUUCAAAAAAAUAUAUAAUCAAAAUAGAACGUGAAGCGAAACAAUAGAUCAACAAUAUUUAUGUUAAUUAUAAAUAGGUCAACUAUGUAUGUGAUACUUAAAUUCAUUUAAAAUAAAAUAAAAUUACAAAAUCUGCCACUACAGUUGGCACGCACUUCAAUUAACAUUUUCUUUCUCAUAAUUUUUAUAUUUGGAAUGAGUCAUACGAAUCAAAUACUGCAAUGUAUUGUCUGUUUUCUGAUUCUAUUUUUUUACAUUUGGAUUCAGACACUGUGUUGUAGUGUCCAUUUAUUGGUUUCGUUUUUUCCAUCAGUCACACGCCUCCUACAUGUUCCUUUGUACAUUUGGAUUUAGACAAUGCAAUGCAGUGUCUGUUUCUUGGUUUUGGUUUUCCCUUUUGGAUUCAAACGCUGCAUUGCAAUGUAUGUUUCCUAGUCCUAUUUUUUUCAUCAUCCACACGUCUUCUACACUUCACACUUUCACGCGACUCCUGAUUUUUACAUUCAGAUUCAGACAUUGUAAUGCAGUGCUCAUUUCCUACCUCUGAUUUUUACAUUUAAAUCUAGGGUUAAACUCUGUUUACUACCCUCAUGUUUCGUGGUUUUCAACAUAUAGUACAUCAAGUUUUUUUCAUCCCAGUCAUACCUAAAGUGUUAAUUUUGGGACAGUCUCGUAUAUCUGUUAGUCAAACUGUUAGUUCUCCCGUUAAGUGAUGACAUAGCGCCCAUGUGGACAAUGACUAGGCCCCAAGUGUCAUUAAAAAAUAUUAAAAUAAUUAAUUAAAUAAAAGUUAUAAAAAAAAUCAUCCCUUCUCUCCCUUCUCCCCUCGCUGUCACACCCCGAUCCAGACAUACGUCCAAAGAUCGACACGUGACGUCACUAAAUGCCCGUAACUCAACGUACCCUGCCUUUUGGAUAUGUACAAAAUAUAAUUCCAGAUCCAGAUGCAUAAUAAUUUUGUGUAUACUUUAUGGCUGCAUCUAACCUCUUCGUUAGACUGCCUACGUACCCUCAAUAGGGAUCAAGUCAUUCGUAGUUCAACUUUUCACUACACUCGAAUAUUUAUCACAUAAAUUGCCAUAUUUCAACAUAAUGCACAAUUCAGAGCAUGCAACAUCUCAAGGAACAAUCGACGAGGUGCAAUAAUAAUCUAUAGCCAUAUUGGUCAGCGGUAUAUCAUAAUCAUAACAAUUACAUCCAACAAUCACACCAAAUAAUAACACAUACAACACACUGACAUGCAAGGCUAGAACGACGCAGUUCGGCUGAAGCCUACAUCUCUGAAGCUGAAAUCAAAUCCAAUGAACCAAGUCACCAAAGGGAUUCUGGACCACUCAACGGAAUCAAACUCAAGAUACGAUUCCGGACCAUCACUCAACGGAAUCGUGGAGUAGUAAGGAUUCCAAACCAUCACUCAACGGAACCGGGGAGUACCAUGCAUAUAGAACCACCCAAUGUAAUACAAGCUGGAUACGAUUCAGGAUCAUCACUUAACGGAACCGGGGAGUACCAUGCAUAUAGAACCACCCAUGGAAUACAAGCUGGACACGAUUCUGAACCAUCACUCAACGGAAUCACAGAAUAGAAGGGAUUUCGAACCAUCACUCAACGGAAUCCGAGUCAGGGUACGAUUCCGGACCAUCACUCAACAGAAUCGCAGAAUCGAAGGGAUUCCGGACCAUCACUCAACGAAAUCCGAAUCAGGAUACGAUUUCGGACCAUCACUCAAUGAAAUAGAGUGGAAGAUCAAGGGAUACAACAACGGCUUGCAGAAACAAUACAAGAACCAAGUACUUAAUUUAGAAUGGCUGAAUGAAAAUAGAUCAAUCCAAUCAUACAUUACAAACCCCAUGACAGUAGGUUAACGGUCCACUACUAGCCCUCACAUUUCAUCACAUCAAUCCAAUCAUACAUUACAAACCAUAUUUCCAAAACACAAGUAAAAUCAUACUUAAUGAAAAUAGAUCGAUGGCCAGAAAUAAAAAUAACACUUCAAUAGAAUUCACAUUCAAUAAACAUAGGUCUAUGGUGUGUGUGUGUGUGUGUGUGUUGUGUUUCACAUUUCAAUAGAAUUUCAUUUAUAACCUAUAUCUUAUUCACAUAUGAUAUUAAUAUAAGAAAUCAAGGUAAUAGCUAUAUCACAUAUAUUCAAGUCACUCUCAAACCAAUGUGGUCCCACUAGGUUUCACUUAGUUCCCCGUAGUACUAAUUUUAGUAUUUAGAACGUUUCGAGACAUGUUGACCAAAAGCCAAUUCUUGGUCGACAGUAGGAUCCACAACGCUACAAAAUUUGAUCCAGAAGAUCCGAACAUCAUAAUCAAGAUCCGUAACUUCCUAGGGUCCACAUUAUUCUCAAAGAACAACGUACUAAAAUCUCAUCGCAAUCCAACGGUCAGAUCUCCGCCCAUUGCUAGAAUUAGGUGGCGGUUAACAAUUAAUUUUACUAACUUAGAAAUCUAAUUCAUGAAGAUCCGUACAUCAGAUUCCCGAUCUGUAAGUUCUUAUGAUCCCAAAAUAUUACGUACUAUAACAUAUUAAAGUUUGGUGACGAUUCAACAGUCGGAUCGUCGAUUUCUAUUUUGACUUAUUCACGUAUCAAAAUGAAACUAAGUCCAAACAAUCAAAUUACGUCAUACGGAUAUCAAACAUGAACCCAGGGCAUCUAAUAGUGCUUAAAAAGACAUCAUUGGCCCACAGGCCACGCGCCGCCGUGGGUGGCGGUCGGCCACCCCAACUAAUCGAAAAAUUCAACUAUUUUAAAAAUUCUCAAAAAAUUACAAAAUUGAAGAUCUCAAAGAGUAGAAUAAACUUUAUAUCUAUGGCCAAGUCCAAUUUGGCCUAGAAAGUCCCCAAUGUUGUGAAAACCGUACGGAAACCUUAGAAUGGGUGUGUUCGAUUUAACCUCCAAACUUGCUCUGACGCCUCCACCACUGCUUGGGAUUUGUUCAUGGGUUAUAGGGGAGUGCUUUGGUGGUAGUAGUUGAAGAGAAACAUUUCACAAUUGAUGGAUUUUGAGCAAUGGUUCCCGCGUCACCCAUGGUGCUUGUUCCCCAAAUUCCAAGACUAAUUCCACUCCAAUUUUGGGUGGAAUAGGUAGAAGGAAUGAUGAGAGAUGACUUGAAGGGGGAUGACACUGGGCUGGAUCUAUCAGCAGCGAAUUCCCCAUACAAAUAGAGGCGCCUAUCAAAAAGAUACUCCGAAGACUUCGAGAUUGAGGUAUCAUUAGCCGAAGAAGGCCUUGGCCAAUCCACGUGGCCUGCUUGACGAACGUCAGCGACAGAGACAUCAGGUGGUGGGGGACCUUCAUCUCGCCGGAAAUUGGCCGGGAGACCAUGAAUCCCGCCGAUUUGUGUCUCACGGGUCAAAAGACCCGUUUUCCACCCCCCACCUUUUUUUUCUUUUUUCCUUUGUCUCGCCACUCCUGUGGCUUUCUUUCAUUUUCAUUUUUUUUAGCAACAACUUCAAACGUCCGUAACUAUACCGUUAUAAUCCGGACUCGCAAACGGCUUUCGCCUAUGCAUUCGUGAUCUCGAUAUCUAUUCAACAAUAUAAAUUGUGACCUCGAAUGGUCUACGGAUUUUAAAUAAUUAAUUUCCCGAAAAAUAAUAUAAAAUCUCUAUAAUACCAAUAUGUAGAUUAUAAUAAUGAAAUCCAAGAAUGAGAUUUCACACUCGUCCCCAACCCAGAAGAAGAAGAAGAAAAAAAAAAAAAACCGAAUCUGCAACCCAGAAGAAGAUGAAGAAGACAUGUUUUGAAAAGUAAACUUUAAUGCAGGAAAUCAAUACUACAAAGGAAGUAGCUGAGCUAUAAAUACAGAGGAAUGUUUGAACUACAAAGGGAGUAUGUGAAGAGUAGGAUGCAAAGCUUUUUAGAAGUCUUUUUUAAUAUGUUGAGUUAAGUGUCUUUUUUUUUCAACCUUUUUGCUGCCUUUUAUAGAACCGCCAUUUUCUUCUAGAGUAAGCCUUUCCUCCUCGAUUCAUUCUCUCUGGUGCAAGCAGCUGAUAUGAUUUGUUGUCAAAGGAUGAGUUCCCACUUGUAUACUUGAGCUUUUGAUCCCCUUGAAACGUAUCAUCGUUGGCGCAUUCAUCAUAGAAGCUCCAGCUUCAUACUAUCAUAAACACCGUACAUUUGAUAUUUAUUACAAAAUUUUCCUUUCUUCUUUUGCUUUUUCUAAUAAAAAAAUUAAGGUUGAACACAACAGGCUUUGUGGUUCAAAAAUCUAAUGGAAUAUUUGAUAGAAGGGUUGGAUUGUUAGCUUUGGGCUAAUGGAGAGUUGACAAAAAUAUUAAUUUUUGGCUUGAAUCCUAACAAACUUCACCACAAGGAUUUAAAUCCGAUUUUUUUUUUUCACCAUAGGGGUAAUCUUCUUAUUAUCCUAUCACCACGGGGACCAUUGAUCCAAUUUAGCCACUAAAUCAUAUUGCAUCAACUGAACAAAUAUAUUUUUUGUAUUGACGAAGAUAGAUAUAACCGUUAAUCGAUGGAAAAUUCGUUAUUCGGUGGGUAUAAUUAUGGAUAAUUACUGAUGAUUAAUUUACGUUUAUGGAGUGGUUAUUUUCAUGGUUAUUGGGAUGGAUAUAUCAUUUCCGUCCCAAACCAAACCGUUGUCAUCCCUAUAUUUGUUUAUGAGAAAAGUUAAUGAGACUUUCUCAAAAUGAGACUCUCCAUAAACGAUCUAUGCUAACUCAUGUUUUUUGUACAAUACUUUAUAAUGUUGGCAUGAAAAUUAUGCCAAAAACAUUUGAUGGUGGAGAAUCCAUAAAUAGUACUACUUAUGAAAGAGUCUCCUUAACAUUUUUCAUUUGUAUAUAGGCUAAAUAGCCAAAAUGGUCCUUGAGAUUUGCAUAACUCAUCACUUUGGUCCCUAACAUUUCAAAUCGAUAAAAUUGGUCCCUGAGAUUGUCCACCAUCCAUCAUUUUGGUCAUUCCAUUAAAAACUCCGUUAAGUGUCUCGGAACUCUUGGCCGGAAGUUUGGACAAUUUUCAAAGCUUCGUAACUCAAUCGUUUCUUAACCAAAUUCGACCCAUAAUAUAUGAAAAUGAAGAUAGAAAAGUGUAGAAUAAGAUUAUACUUAUUUAUAAGCCCAAUGGCUACCAGAGAUAGCCGGAAAAUAGUCUCAAAUUUGACUGGUCUGAAGGAAAACUGGAAAACUCGCCGGAAACUAGGUAAACUUUAAACGUUCAUAACUUUUUCAAUACGCAACGAAAUCAAGUGAUUUAAAAAAAAAAUCAUACUUCUCAACGAGAAGAAGAGAAUGAUAUCUUUUUCGAUGGCUAAUGCACCGUGGUUUGGCUGGAAAAUGGCUCAAAAGUGGCUGUCUUAGUCUCAAGUUAGCCACUUUCGAGCCAUUUUUCGGCCAAACCACGGCGAUUUAGCUGUCUACAAAGGUACCAUUCUCUUCAUCUCAUCAAGAAGUAUGAUUUUCGUUUUUGAAUCACUUGAUUUCGUUGAGUAUUGAAGAAGUUAUGAACGUUUAAAGUUGACCUAGUUUCCUGCGAUUUUUCCAGUUUUCCCUCGGACCAGUCAACUUUGAGGCUAUUUUCUGGCCAUCUCCAGCAUCUAUUGGGCUUCCAAAUAGGUAUAAUCUUAUUCUACACUUUCCUAUCUUCAUUUUGAUAUAUAUGGGUCGAAUUUGGUUAAGAAACAAUUGAGUUACGAAGGUUUGAAAAUUUCUCAAACUUCAGGCCAAGAGUUCCAGGACACUUGUCAGAGUUUUUAACGGAAUGAUCAAAAUGAUGGAUGAUGGACAAUCUUAGGGACCACUUUUAUCGAUUUGGGAUGUUAGGGACCAAAGUGAUAAGUUAUGCAAAUCUUAGAGACCAUUUUGGCUAUUUAGCCUUUGUAUAUAUGAUGGGUAAUAUUAGGGAGAGUAAAUUUAGAUACAAAACUAGCAAAUUAAAUGACAAUAAAAUGAGCAUGUUUAUCAGCGCUUAAGUAAUAAAUUAAUCAUCAACUUUCACGUUCCUGUUGUAAACAUUCCUAGUUUAAGUAUGAUUGUGUAAAUCCUAGAUAAGAUUUGAUUCUAGUUAUCCUUUCCUAUUACAACUUGUAUUACUUGGAGGAGAAGAAAUAUCUUCUCUACCUUUACUACUAUAAAUAAAGGCACAAUGUAGGAGGGAUAACAACACAUACAUUCCCCUACAAUUCUACAAACACACAUCUCUCUCAUCUCUCUCUCUGCCGCCGGCUCUAGUCUCUCUGUCAGAUAAAAUAGAUCACAACACAUUAUCAGCACGCUCCUACCGCUGCACUUAGGAAUCUGACGUUGGAGAUUUUUUUUUCUGCAUCAAACCAGUUCAUCCAUAUCAUCACGCAAUCAGGUUCUUUCCAAACAACGGUUUUUAACUCGAUAUUUUGCAAGCCCUGAUAGCAUGAACAUUCACCAUGAUGCAUGACCCAACUUUAUGUUUUACGUAUUUUAGAUUCUACAUAAAUUGUGUAUGCUUCAUAACCAAAAUUGCUACAAUUAUGUGAAUUUGAUAUUUGCCAUGAAUUGAAUCUUACAUAUGUACAUGCAUUGAAACUAUUAUUUGCAUAUGGAUCAACGUAAAUAUGUGAUUCAUUAAAUUUAUGCAUAUAAUAUAAUUGAAUUGAAAAAAAAAUAUUUUUUUUGCGAUUUGGGAAUUAGGGUUCUUCGAACCCGUGCACUUGCACCAUGCAAGCUGCAAGCCACCAGGCCAGCAGCUUGCGAUGGCCCAGCUUGGUUUCCUCACCAGGCCUGCAGCCUGCAUCAAGUCCCCACGAGGGCUCCAACCCAGAAACCCGACGUCGUUUAUGGCGUCUCUCCCAUUGUAGGAUGGCUUGCAGCCCAUCCUCACACCUCGGGUUAACUUGUCUAACAGCCUGAAGCUCGUCCUUGACAUCGAUUGACCGAGAUUCAAUUGAAUCUCAUCGGUUUUUAAAAAAAAAACCCAAUUCGAAAUUUCUAGGGUUUGAUUGCAACAAUUGAGAUUUUAAUUUCUCCAUGUUGUAAUCAUAGUCGAAAACACCCCAGAAGGGUACCUCCGAGUCUUCCCGUCCAAGUUUUGGCCACCUGCAGUGGUGGCGCCGAUCAUCUUCUCCGAUGGAAUCACCUAACCUCGCUAGGAUUUCUUGGAUCCAGCCCGAUCCCAAAUUUUUUGGGCCUGGCUUCGACUCAGGCUGAAAAAUAAUAAAUUUUUUUCUUUUGGGCUCGCCAUUGCAAGCCCAGUUCGACCCCCUCAUUUUUUCAGCCUAGCGUUACAUCACACCAGCCCAAAUGGGCUCUGGUGUUCUCCCAUGCCCCAUACUGCAGCAGAACCCAGCCCGUGUGGCUGUUGUGCUUUCCCUGCAUCGUGAUACACACGAUUGAGGCAUUCUUUGGGCCUUUGCCACCUGGGCUUACCUGAAGCAGCCCGUGAGUGAAAAAAAAAAAAAAAAAGAGAAAUUUUUUUUAGGGCUGCACACAGCAGCCCAUUCCCCUCUUCUCACCCCGUGGGCAUGCAACCUACACCCGAGGGUCCUCGGCCUAUAUUUUUAGACCCCGAGAUUUUAUUAUUUAAUACUUUUAAAUAAUAUGGGUUUUUAUAUUUUCACCCACACUUUAAUUUGGCCCCGAAGACCAAAAAUAAAUUAAUUCACUUAUCAUUAUACAAUAUUUCUGCAUAUAUUCUUUGCAUAUUUGUUUGCAUAUAUAUUUGUGUUUGCCUGCAGGAAUAUAUGAACCUAAAGUUCAUAAUUACUUUGAAACCCGAAGUUUCUUCUAAACAUGCCUUGUUUGAAAACCUGAAGUUUUCACUUAAACAUAUCACCCAUGAAACCCGAAGUUUUUCAUGCGAAAUUAUUAGUUUUUGGAUAUUAAGUUUUUAAUCCUUGAAUAAAUGAAAUUAUUUUGAAUUGAUACUUGUUUUUAUAAACUUUUAUGCAUGUGACCGAUUCAAAUUAAUUUUUCAUUCUAGGUAUGACUAGUGGGAAAGUUAGUUGUCUGGCAGAUAGUGCAACCACGCAUACUGUUUUGCGUGAACGCAUCUAUUUCACUAACUUCGUACCUAAGAAUGCACCUCUGACAACCCUCUCAGGCCCAUCCAACCUGAUCGAAGGAUACGGUAAGGCACGUAUAAUGUUGUCCAAUGGUACAAUCUUGACCAUUGCUGAGGCACUCUAUUCUCCACGUUCCGGAAGAACGUUACUAAGUUUCAAGGACAUUAGAGAUAACAAUUACCACGCUGAAACCCACGUAGAAAACGGAGUUGAAUUUAUGUGCGUAACUUCCUACGAAUAUGGCCAGAAGCGUAUUCUAGAGAAGAUGGAGCGUAACCCGAGUGGUCUGUAUACUACGACCAUACGCCCCAUAGAAUGCCACUAUGUGGCCGGCCCUACCACAGGGACUGCGCACGAAAUUACACUUUGGCAUGAUCGUUUGGGACAUCCUGGACGAAUAGCGAUGCGCCGUAUCCUCAAAACUUCACACGGGCAUCCACUAACCCGAAGCUUAGGUUCGAUCCAUGAAAUUGCAUGUCAAACAUGUUCUAUAGGAAAGCUUAUUACUAAGCCUUCUUAUGACAAGAUUCGUUCGAAUCCUCCCAUUUUUCUACAACGGAUUCAGGGGGACAUUUGUGGACCGAUUCAACCUCCUUGCGGACCAUUUAGAUAUUUUAUGGUUUUGGUUGACGCUUCUACACGUUGGUCACACGUGUGCUUGUUGUCCACAAGGAACGCUGCAUUCUCCAAACUGUUGGCUCAGGUUAUCAAGCUCAGGGCUCACCACUCUGAUUAUCCGAUCAAAUCUAUUCGAUUGGAUAAUGCUGGAGAAUUCAUAUCUAAAACUUUUGAUGACUAUUGCUUGUCGGUUGGGGUUAACGUUGAACAUCCUGUACCCCAUGUUCACACCCAGAACGGCCUGGCAGAGGCUUUCAUUAAGCGUUUACAAAUGAUUGCUCGAUCGUUGGUCAUACAUACCAAGCUCCCGAUCGCUGCUUGGGGCCAUGCAAUAUUGCACGCAGCAAAGUUGGUCCGCCUGAGGCCUGCUGUGACACAACCAUUUAGUGCCCUUCAGUUGGUCACCGGAUGCGAACCCGACAUAUCGCAUCUGCGCGUUUUUGGUUGUGCGGUCUAUGUGCCGAUCUCGCCGCCCUUACGUACAAAAAUGGGGCCUCAGCGAAGGAUGGGAAUCUAUGUCGGAUAUGAUUCUCCUUCGAUUAUUCGUUACUUAGAACCUUUGACAGGCGAUCUGUUUACCGCUCGUUUCGCGGAUUGUCACUUCUAUGAGACAGUCUUCCCGUCGUUAGGGGGAGAUAAAAACGUCAACGUUCCUAAUGAACGACGUGAAUUAUCAUGGACGACUCCCACUUUGUCUCAUUUAGAUCCCCGCACCGCUCAGUCUGAAGCUGAAGUGCAGCGCAUAUUAGAUCUCCAGAGCAUAGCUCAGAGCAUGCCAGAUGCUUUCACCGAUCUAGCGCGCGUGACAAGAUCACAUAUUCCAGCUGCGAAUACGCCUGCAAAGAUAGAUGUACCAAAUGUACGACGGACUACUCUCCUGGAAGCCCGGGACGCAAAUUCUGGUGAUCCACGUACAUUAACGGCUAGCCAAUCAUCUGCCCCUACACAAAAGCGUGGCAGACCCCUUGGUUCAAAUGAUUCACACCCCCGGAAGAGGAAAACCACGGCACAAGGUCCUGAAGAGCCUACCGUGAAUCCGACUAUCGCUUACUCAUUUUACCCAACUCAUGAGGAAAUUCUAGAUUAUGGAAGCGUCCUUGAAGAGACGAAUCCUCCUCCCGAGAAUCGUGAGAUUUCGGUCUAUUAUGCUAGUUUAGAUGAUGUGUGGCGUAGAAAUGAGAUGAUUGUCGACGAUGCAUUAGCAUUUGCAGUAGCUACUGAGAUCAUGUUGAGCGAUGACAUUGAACCGCGUUCCGUUGAUGAAUGUCGACGUAGAGCUGAUUGGUCAAACUGGAAACAAGCAAUCCAAGUCGAACUUGAUUCACUUGCGAAACGUAAGGUGUUUGGACCUGUAGUUCCUACUCCUCCACAUGUGAAGCUCGUUGGCUACAAAUGGGUUUUCGUUCGGAAGCGUAAUGAGAAGAACGAAAUUAUGCGUUACAAAGCUCGUCUUGUAGCACAAGGUUUCUCACAACGUCCCGGGAUUGACUAUGACGAAACUUACUCACCCGUUAUUGAUGUGAUUACUUUUCGAUACCUUAUCAGUUUGGUAGUUUCCGAAAAACUAGAUAUGCAGCUAAUGGACGUAGUAACCGCGUAUCUCUAUGGGGAUCUUAAUAUGGAAAUUUAUAUGAAAGUUCCCGAAGGACUUACAUUGACUGGUUCAAAUAUUUCCAAACCCCGGAACACGCUCUCAAUUCGGCUGAGGCGUUCACUAUACGGUUUGAAAUAAUCCGGAAGAAUGUGGUAUAACCGUUUGAGUGAGUAUUUGACUAGUCAGGGAUAUGUGAACAAUGAACUAUGCCCUUGUGAGUUCAUUAAGAAGUCACAUUCCGGAUUUAUGAUUGUUGCAGUAUAUGUCGAUGACAUGAAUCUCAUCGGAACUCCUGAAGAGCUCGCGAGAACUGCUUCGCACCUGAAGUCGGAAUUUGAGAUGAAAGAUCUAGGAAAGACUUGAUACUGUCUCGGUCUCGAGAUAGAGCAUUGUUCGGAUGGAAUCUUAGUACAUCAAUCGAACUACACCCAGAAGAUGUUACGCCGUUUUAAUGAGGAUAAAGCGAAGUCUUCGAGUACUCCUAUGGUCGUUGAUGCGUAAAAUAAGUUAACACACAAAAUUAAACCCUCUUUUUGACAAUUGUAGUAUAGAUGUAAGUAGGGUAUCGUUCUAGGCCGGGGAUUAGGAGGGAUUGCUAAUCUAUUAAAUUAACUUAAAAAUAUUAAAUAAGACUCAAGGACACAAAACUAGGCUAAAAACUCUAAUAACUCGAAACACACUUAAAAUGACUCAAAAUAAUGAAAACAAUUAAAUUAAAUACUAGGAACUGAAAUGGACGGAAAUUAAAUUAAAAGACUAACAAUAAAGAAAACUAAAUAAAUAAUAUAAUUUAAUAAUGGAUGGGUGUUUGGUUUUGAUGAAAAGUAAAUUAAACUUAAUUAAAUUACAGAAUUGACAAAAACAUGAAAUUAAGGUGAAAUGAUAAAUGACGGACUAGCUAGAGGGUUCUUCUCCACACAUGACACAUAUGCAACCUAAAUUGAUUUUCAGUUGUUCUUUCAAUAAAUUGUGAAUCUCAAUACUCCAGAUUAACCGUGAAUAGCACUUUUUUAAUCUUCAAGUUUUCCUUAAGUUAUUGAAUUGGACGGAAAAAACGCAUACAACAAUUCAAAACAUUCUUCAAAAGUCCCCUACGUGAAAAGCACAAUAGCGAUACAAUCAAAGAUCAUUAAACUUUGUGAAAACUAUAAGCAUUGACGAGGCAUUCGUAACUAUGAAAAGCAUGAUACUCUUGCCAAGAAUUUACUUAACGUGAUUGUGACUAGCAACCUUUACUACUUGUGAAAAUAAGUUCAUAACGAUUAGGUGAAAUUCACUUAUAUUCUAGCAUCAAAUUCAUGCAUGUAAAUUAAGCGUACACUCUCAACCAACAUACACAAAUCAGUUUUUAUACGAACGGAUAAGUAAAUUGAAAUCACAACUUAUGAAAUCACAACCGAAGGUAAUCAAUUCAUAUUACAAAUAUAUUCAUGGUUUCGAAUUAACCUCUAGCCAAAAUAAAAUUAAUUACACAUUAUUAAAAUAAAAAUAAAAUAGGAGUUUGGAAAGAUUAAACCGAAAGAAAGGAUCUGCUGCUUGGACUCUGAACUGCAUUUUCAUGCUGACCUCCUGUCCUCCUCGCCACUGACUUCCCUUCUCUCCGCAGCUUCACGCUGCCCAAAGGGCAGCCCUCUGCCUUCCACCAAUUCCCCCCCUCCUUCUCUCUUCUGCCAAUCCCAUCUAUAUCCUCAUGCUCCUGACCUCCUCCUUAUUUCUUUUUUUUCUAUUUUAUUUUUUUUUGUUGCUGUCCACCACAUUCUCUGCGCCUACUGCGCUCCCAGCUGUCUCUCCUGCUUUCCACUGACUUUUCCCGCUCCCACUUCUCUCUAUCCUCUUUCUGCUGCCGCAAGGCAGCUGUCUGCUUGCUGCUUCUCUCUCCCUUUUUCUGCUUGUUUAUAUUUUUUUUUUUCUUCUUUUCCUUUUCCUUCUUUUCCUUUUCCUUUCUUUUUCUUUUCUUUCUUUUUCUUUUCUUCUUUGCCGUUCCUUUCUUCUUCUACAAAACAUGAAUCAUGAUGAUGUUUCAAACAUCAUCAUGACUUGUUAUUAUUAUUAUAUAUUUAUUUAUUUUUAAUUUUAUUUAAAAGCUGAUCUACACAGACAGUUUUGACGAAUUUAUUACAUAAAAUUUCACUUGUUCUAUUUUUAUUUUCUUUGCAUAACAAAUCCUAUAAACACAAAAAUAACGUAAAUAGCUCAAAAAUAUAAGGAACUAACUAAGAAAAGACGAGUGAAUUCGAAGUAAAAAUAUAUAUAAAUAUCAUCCGAUCAAAUACCCCCACACUUAACUUUUGCUAGUCCUCGAGCAAAACAAAGAAAACUAGAACAAGAAGUAACAAGAAAAACAUUAGCUUCCCCCUAUGUGACCCUCAUAGAAUUUCAUUCGAGAAAACAAAUCAUCAAGAACCAUAGCUAGCAUCAAGGAAAUAAUCCAAGUUCAUCUUCCUUAUUCAAAUAUUAGCAGUAAUCUUUAAAUCAUCCUUGAAGUGUAGUGUGUGAGAUAGCCAUGCUAAUGCAAUUUCAAGUUUUUAUUUUUAAAAUCAUCAUAUGCAAACUAGCGACCUUCUCACGGGAUAUGCACUCAAUCACACAUGUGUUUAGUUUUAAUGUGUUUCGCUCAAAGAAUCAAAUGUGAAAUUUCUACCAUAAGCUUGCAUAAAGAUCACUUCUCCACAGUCAUAAUUGCAAAACUUAAAUCAAGAGGACUUUUAUUGGAUGUAAUGAGGCUUAGGGAUAGGGUUAUUGAAAUGAAAGAAUAGGAAAACACAAGUUCCAAGCUAUAUUGCAAGCAAUUCUUUUGUUUAGAUUUAUAAGAACUCAAUUUUUUCAGCGAUUCUUCUAGCACCUCCAACCAUACCCUUAAACUGAAACUUUAAAAACUUUUUAUUUUCUUUGUAUACAAUCUUUCUUUUUCUUUUCUUUUUUUCUUCUUUUUUUUUAUUUUUUUUUAUUUUUAUUUUUUUUAUACAAACAUGAAAUACCCCCACACUUAUUCUUUUGCCAAACACCUUCAAAGUACUUCACAAACAUUUCUCAUAAGACAAUCUCACAUUGCUCACUUGGAAAGGGUAAGGAAAAAAUGUUUCAGGCAUAAGGGUAGACAUAUCUGGUGAUAAGAAAUAAAAGGCUCAACAUACACGGCUCAAAUUGGCAAUCUAAUGAUAUCAUUUUCUUUGGGAAACAUAGUUAUUUGGGCCAUAGUGGUAAACCUAAUGCCUCUAUCAUUUCCAAGUUCAUGCAAUCAAUGACAAACAUUUCGAAAGAUCGUUACGCAAGUUCUAGAGAUGUAUCUCACAUAAGUUCAUCACACAUGAAAGAAUAGGAGUGUAUGAAAAAUGCACACUUUCAAUAGGCUCAAAAACUCACAUAGGAUGUAUAUGGUCACUAAAUUCACAUAUGAAGCUUUAAGUCAUACUUUAGUUUCACAUUAACAAGGCUAUGUGCAUUUGGUUUUUCAAAGAUGGUCAAACAUGUACAAAACUAACAAGAGAAUUAGGAAUUUCACCAAAACACAUGUUAACUAAGUUCUUGAUGAUCAUGGUUCAAAUUUUUGAUCCAAUUAUAUCAUUGGGUCGGGAAACUAACAAAAAUCUGAUUCAGAACAAUAAGGGAAACAAGACAAUAUUUUUUGGAUUUUUAAAUUUUUCGAUUUUUUUUUUUUUUUUUUUUUUUUUUUUUAAGAAAACAAAAACUAACAACACAGAAACAAAUGAAAUUCUAGAGAUUUCUACCCCCACACUUAAACUUGACAUUGUCCCCAAUGUCAGAAAACACUAUAACGCAAAUAAAAAUAAAAUAAAUAAAUAAAUAAUAAGAAACAAAAUAAAAACAAUGGGACUGAAAACUUCCCUAAUUUGCAGUAAAAUCAAGCGAUGACCCCCAAGCUAAAAUUCUGCAAUCAACUUCAAGGGUGGAAAUAACCAAAAGUUUCCUGCAAAGAAAAGAAAUAAUACAGUUAAGUACGCAAGAAAAUUAAUUAAAAAAAAAAAAAUUGCAAACGAAAAAUUGAAAAUUACGAUAAAAAGAUAAUGAAUAAAACUAAUAAGUAAUCAUUGGUCGUGCUUGUUGACUUUCCACAGCUUUCCUCUUGAACAGGGUGACACUUAGCUUUUUUACUAUUUGAUGAUAUUGUACGGCGGAGCUUUGCUCUUUGGGAAUGUUGCAGUUCCUUAUUUGUUCUCCAAGCAGAUGUGGCAGCUUCUCUAGUUCCUCAGUUCGGACUCCUUCCGCUGGGAUGAUUGUGCAAGCUGCAUUCUUCUCUGCUUGUUUCUUCUGCACAACGGGCAGGCACGAGGGAAAGGUGUUGGUCCUUAUUUCUUUCUUCAAUCUUUCCAAGUGCCCACCUCUUGCUUUCUUUCUCCUUGUCCCUAGCUGAAUUGUCUCCACAUGCUUCGAGGUAUCAUUUUCACUUUCCUUACUGUCCCCCAGGCAGAUGUGGUAGACGAAGAGAAAGCAUAAAAUGAUGAAGAUGAGUACUCGAGAGCAAGGCUAGGUAAGCAAUCAGGAAAGGGUUCCAGGCAGUUGGCUCCAGAUUGGAAGAUUGAUACCAAAUGCUGGCUGAUUGCUCUCUUUCUCCUUGUCGGAAAACAAAGACAAGGAGAAGGACAUGGAGAAAGCAUGAUAUGAGAUACUCUUGCUUUCAACCUUUAUGAUAUGAAAUACUUUUGCUUUGAAUGGGUUGUUCGCAGGAGUAUCCCAAGGAAUGAGGAACACAGAGUGACUCGAGAGGAUUCUUUGGGAAUGCAUUUUCGGAGAUGAAGAGGUGUUGAGAGGGUGUGCUGAGAGAGUGUGCUUUUGCUGUGGAAGGCGAAGGUAGAAACUUAUAGGACUUGUCUUCACAACCGGAACUGUUCUCUCACUUAGUGUCGGCAGCCGGUGGAUGGGUGAAGAAUACAAAUUACGCGCUUUCUGACAAAGCUGCCCGUAAUUUCCGCAAAGCUGCCAGUUGCAUGUGACAAGUGCUGACUAGGCUGAGAGAGACAGAUGGUUGGAAUCGGCACUUCGACAGACUGCCCGUGAUUUUCGCAGAGCUGAGUUUGCGUGUGACGGGUGACAACACGUCUGGACGAAUUGAUCUUGCGAAAUCCGGGGUUCGGCUCGUGGUUUCUGAGCAAGCCCAACUUUUAAGAAAUGAACGCCUCUUUUGAGAAAAGAAUCCGGCUUUUGAGAACGGAAACUCCUCUUUUGAGAAAAGAAUCCGGCUUUUGAGAAAGGAGCCCCGACUCUUCGAUUUGCGAGAUGACGCUUCUCUGAGGAGCGCCUCUUUGAUUUCUUCUUUUUAUAGAGGCGUUAAUUUUGUUCCACAACACACUUGAGUACCCUCCUGUAAACACUCCCAUCUUGCACUUGUUUAAUCUUGAUCAGUCCAACUCUCUUCUUUCUUUACCACCUCUGAAAAAUGUCUGGCCCUUCUGAUCGUCGUUUUGACUUGAACAUUGGUGAAGAGGCAGCUCCGCCUUCACCAGACAACAUAUGGCGGCCAUCCUUCAUAUCCCCUACCGGUCCCCUUACCGUGGGGGAUUCGAUGAUGAAAAAUGACAUGACCGCUGCGGUGGUGGCCCGAAACCUUGUCACUCCCAGAGAUAACAGACUGCUCGCAAGGCGGUCUGAUGAAUUGGCGGUCAAGGAGUCUCUGGCUCUCAGUGUGCAGUGUGCGGGUUCCGUAUCCAACAUGGCCCAACGCCUAUAUGCCCGAACCCGUCACGUUGAAUCCUUGGUGGCUGAAAUACAGAGUCUCAAGUAAGAGAUUAAAGGGCUCAAGCAUGAGAAUAAGGAAUUGCACAAGCUCGCACACAGCUAUGCCACCAGCAUGAAGAGGAAGAUUGACCAGAUGCAGGACACCGAUGGUCAAAUUUUACUUGAUCAUCGGAGGUUUGUGGGUUUGUUCCAACAACAUCUGCCUUCGUCUUCUGGAGCGGCACCGCGUAGUGAAGCUCCAACUGAUCAACCUAUGCCGCCUCCUCCUUCUGUGGCCCCGCCGACUGCUGAAGCCCCGCCCGACCAAUGAAUACUAUUAGUUUACAUCAUUGUAAAAUAUUUGUACUUUUUUUUUUUUAUUUUUUUAUUUUUUUAUAAAUGUAAAUUAAUGUAAAGAGACUUUGGUUAACCUUCCCACACUUAAACUAAAUAACACAAACUCACAGAAAUCAAACAAAUAACACAACUAACUAAACAAGACAAAAUGAAAGCAUUAAAGAUAAGGGUGUAAAAAUGCAAAUCUGAUUGGGUUAGCGAUUCCAAAGUCUCCCUUCGUUGAAUGCUUGGGUUGCCUCCCAAGAAGCGCUUGAUUUAACGUCUUUAGCCGGACGCAUCUUUCCUUUAAAUUUCCCUCGGCUCCAUUUGAACCUAAAAUCAAAGAAAGAAAAAUAAAUCAAAUAUCAAAAGUAAAAUACACAAACACCAAUAUAAACAUAAACAAAAACAAAAAUAAAAGGAUUAGCAAAGUUGCUAAUCCCCGGCAACGGCGCCAAAAUUUGAUGCGUAAAAUAAGUUAACACACAAAAUUAAACCCUCUUUUUGACAAUUGUAGUAUAGAUGUAAGUAGGGUAUCGUUCUAGGCCGGGGAUUAGGAGGGAUUGCUAAUCUAUUAAAUUAACUUAAAAAUAUUAAAUAAGACUCAAGGACACAAAACUAGGCUAAAAACUCUAAUAACUCGAAACACACUUAAAAUGACUCAAAAUAAUGAAAACAAUUAAAUUAAACACUAGGAACUGAAAUGGACGGAAAUUAAAUUAAAAGACUAACAAUAAAGAAAACUAAAUAAAUAAUAUAAUUUAAUAAUGGAUGGGUGUUUGGUUUUGAUGAAAAGUAAAUUAAACUUAAUUAAAUUACAGAAUUGACAAAAACAUGAAAUUAAGGUGAAAUGAUAAAUGACGGACUAGCUAGAGGGUUCUUCUCCACACAUGACACAUAUGCAACCUAAAUUGAUUUUCAGUUGUUCUUUCAAUAAAUUGUGAAUCUCAAUACUCCAGAUUAACCGUGAAUAGCACUUUUUUAAUCUUCAAGUUUUCCUUAAGUUAUUGAAUUGGACGGAAAAACGCAUACAACAAUUCAAAACAUUCUUCAAAAGUCCCCUACGUGAAAAAGCACAAUAGCGAUACAAUCAAAGAUCAUUAAACUUUGUGAAAACUAUAAGCAUUGACGAGGCAUUCGUAACUAUGAAAAAGCAUGAUACUCUUGCCAAGAAUUUACUUAACGUGAUUGUGACUAGCAACCUUUACUACUUGUGAAAAUAAGUUCAUAACGAUUAGGUGAAAUUCACUUAUAUUCUAGCAUCAAAUUCAUGCAUGUAAAUUAAGCGUGCACUCUCAACCAACAUACACAAAUCAGUUUUUAUACGAACGGAUAAGUAAAUUGAAAUCACAACUUAUGAAAUCACAACCGAAGGUAAUCAAUUCAUAUUACAAAUAUAUUCAUGGUUUCGAAUUAACCUCUAGCCAAAAUAAAAUUAAUUACACAUUAUUAAAAUAAAAAUAAAAUAUGAGUUUGGAAAGAUUAAACCGAAAGAAAGGAUCUGCUGCUUGGACUCUGAACUGCAUUUUCAUGCUGACCUCCUGUCCUCCUCGCCACUGACUUCCCUUCUCUCCGCAGCUUCACGCUGCCCAAAGGGCAGCCCUCUGCCUUCCACCAAUUCCCCCCCUCCUUCUCUCUUCUGCCAAUCCCAUCUAUAUCCUCAUGCUCCUGACCUCCUCCUUAUUUCUUUUUUUUCUAUUUUAUUUUUUUCUGUUGCUGUCCACCACAUUCUCUGCGCCUACUGCGCUCCCAGCUGUCUCUCCUGCUUUCCACUGACUUUUCCCGCUCCCACUUCUCUCUAUCCUCUUUCUGCUGCCGCAAGGCAGCUGUCUGCUUGCUGCUUCUCUCUCCCUUUUUCUGCUUGUUUAUAUUUUUUUUUCUUUUUCCUUUUCCUUCUUUUCCUUUUCCUUUUCUUUUUCUUUUCUUUCUUUUUCUUUUCUUCUUUGCCGUUCCUUUCUUCUUCUACAAAACAUGAAUCAUGAUGAUGUUUCAAACAUCAUCAUGACUUGUUAUUAUUAUUAUAUAUAUAUUUAUUUUUAAUUUUAUUUAAAAGCUGAUCUACACAGACAGUUUUGACGAAUUUAUUACAUAAAAUUUCACUUGUUCUAUUUUUAUUUUCUUUGCAUAACAAAUCCUAUAAACACAAAAAUAACGUAAAUAGCUCAAAAAUAUAAGGAACUAACUAAGAAAAGACGAGUGAAUUCGAAGUAAAAAUAUAUAUAAAUAUCAUCCGAUCAGUCGUUCGUACGCUAGAUGCAAAACGAGAUCCCUUCCGUCCGAAUGAGGAUGAUGAAGAGAUUUUGGAGCCUGAAGUUCCUUAUCUAAGUGCGAUAGGCGCUUUAUUGUACUUAGCUCAAUGCACUAGACCCAGCAUCUCAUUUGCUGUUAAUCUUUUGGCAAGAUACAGCAAUGCACCAACACGCAGACAUUGGACUGGCGUGAAAGACAUCUUCCAUUACCUUAAGGGUACUAUGGAUUUGGGCUUAUUUUAUCCCUACGAAUCCUCGAGUGAUGCCGCACCCUAUGCUCAUCGGGUUGAUUCUCGCCUUGUUGGUUAUGCCGACGCUGGAUACUUAUCUGAUCCGCACAAGGCGCGUUCUCAAACGGGUUAUGUCUUUACCGUUGGAGGCACCGCAAUAUCUUGGAGGUCAACUAAACAGACCUUAGUUGCCACUUCGUCUAACCAUGCUGAAAUUCUCGCCUUACAUGAAGCAACUCGGGAAUGCUUUUGGUUGAGAGCAGUAAUGGGCCAUAUUCGAAGCUCCUGUGAUCUUCAUCCUGCCGUUAAUGCCCCGACGACGAUUUUUGAAGACAACGCAGCUUGCAUCGAACAACUCAAGAAGGGUUACAUCAAAGGAGACAACACCAAGCAUAUUGCGCCGAAGUUCUUCUUUACACAUCAACAACAAGAACAUCAGAAGAUUGAAGUCACGCAAAUCCGAUCACAAGACAAUAUGGCCGACCUCUUCACCAAAUCACUACCGAAGGCGACGUUUCAGAAGCUUGUUCAUGGAAUUGGUAUGCGUAAACUUUCUGAGUUGUAACUUUGCUAUUUCUCUUUGGAAUUAUGUCAAACUCAGGAGGAGUAUCCUCUGGAUACUUGCUUGAUCUUAAUGUAAUUUUUUUCCCUAUGAUUAGGAGCAUUUUUCCCACUGGGUUUUUGCUACCUAACUAGGUUUUAACGAGGCACCCACCUUGGGCUGGUCAUAUCCCUGAUGACGUCCUGUAGAUGUUUCUUUUGACUUUGCAUUUCUCACACAUUUUCCUUAGACUAUGGAUUUUGUCCCUACUCGGGUUUUUGCCAUAGCCUUAGGGUUUUUUAGUGGGACUUACUACUUAUGCAAGUUCCUACCUUAUUGAGAAUAAGCGUUGUUCCUUGGAAUCAAUGCCGACGAGUCAACUUCCUCAACUUCUGCAUGAUACUGAAUCUACCUUGAGUAUUUACACACUCAAGGGGGAAUGUUGUAAACAUUCCUAGUUUAAGUAUGAUUGUGUAAAUCCUAGAUAAGAUUUGAUUCUAGUUAUCCUUUCUUAUUACAACUUGUAUUACUUGGAGGAGAAGAAAUAUCUUCUCUACCUUUACUACUAUAAAUAAAGGCACAAUGUAGGAGGGAUAACAACAUAUACAUUCCCCUACAAUUCUACAAACACACAUCUCUCUCCUCUCUCUCUGCCGCCGGCCCUAGUCUCUCUGUCAGAUAAAAUAGACCACAACAGUUCCUUAGUUUUCAAAAUUUUAUUUUCAUAUUUAGUCUCCUAACAUUGUCCAUGAAAUCACUUUAAUUUUGAGAUUAGAAGUGUCAACGACUCAGCAAGAUUAUUUCGCCAUCGCAAUUCCAGCAGAUUGAUUGGCAAUUAACAUGAAUUGAUUGAGUAGUAUACUAUAUUUUAUAACACAAAUCAAAAGAAAUUAACGAGAAGAAGCAACCCACUAGCAACAGUGCCGAUAAAAGCAAACCAAACGAAAAGGUGUGUGAACAUCCGAGCCAAAGUUACACUCACCUUUCAGGAGAAGCGAUAAGGCGGUGAAGAUAAGUGAAAGCCGAUCCGAACUGCAAAGUCAAUGAUGGAUGAAGCCGAUCCGAAUUGAGGAACUUGGAGGGAAACAUGGAUAAAGGUGGAAGAAAAUAGGGGGAAAAGAUGGAAAAGGUGGAAGGAAGAUAGAUGGAAGGAAACACGGAGAAAAAGUAGUCUUUAAAUUUGUCCCGCCAACAACUUUUUUUUCUAUUUUUUUUAACAAAAACGAUAAUAUCUACCAUAAGAGAGGGGUGUGCCAAAAUGACAAAAAUAUCCUUCAUUUAAUAAACAAUGGGCUAAAAUAAUUUGAUAAAAAAUAAGAGUAUUUUUGUCAUUUUUUCCUUAUUUAAUAGUGAUUUUUCACGGAAAAAUCAAAAUGAUCGAUGGUAAACAAACUCAGGGACUAGUUCUUAGAUUCUAAAUCUCAAGGACCAAAAUGAGGACUUAAAACCAAUCCUAGAGACUAUUUUGACUAAAAAGCCAUUAUUUUACCAAUGACACCAAUUUUAUUAAUCUAGAAAGAGGUGAUUCUAAAUCUCAAAGACUAAAAUGAGGACUUAAAUCAAUCUCAGAGACUAUUUUGACUAAAAGAACCAUUAUUUUACUAAUGACACCAAUUUUAUUAAUCUAGAAAGAGGUGACUCACCAAUUUGAUCUAUCAAACCUAAAAUGAAAAACAACGUAGUUUGGUCAUAGCACAAAAGAACUUGUGGGGUAAACCAAAUAGGUGGAGCAGUGUGUUCGUCUCUUAACACUUAAUUUCAAAUUCCUAUACCUAUAUAUUUGAGUAGUGGAAGUAAACAUUGUAAACCAGAGUGGUCUAACACCUCUUGAUCUGCUAAUCUUCCCGAGUGAAGCCGGCUAUAGGGAAAUUGAAGAGAUCCUUCGUGGUGCCGGAGCUUCGAGAGCACAGGACAUACACCAUACUCCCUCUCAUUGUCCCAUGGAAACAAAUUGUUGAACUAUAAGUAUUUGAGCUGAAAUGUUUUAGAAUAAGUUUUGUUUAAAUUGGUGAAUCCACUUGUGCAGAAUGAGGCAAAGUGUAAAUGUCUAGUUUUGUAAAAAGGCCAUGAGUGCCAUGUGUUGGUAGAUCCAUGAAAUUAGAGAGAUGUGUGUCUAGGAUGAAAUGUAGUAGUUUAUGUGGUCCCAAGUUAAGGACCUUCAGUUAAUGUAAAGCACGUGAGUGCUCAUUUCUGAAAAAAAAAGAAGCAAUUUUCCUCUGUAAAGUUUCUGCAGAGAAAAGAACAAGAAACCGUUCGCUUUCUCCAACCUUUGUUCAUCGUGUGUUUUCUGUACAGCUCCAUCUUCAUCAAAACUCUCAUUGAAAUCAAGUUACACUAACAUGGCCUCAGAGCCAGGUUGGGUCUAACAAUCUGGGCGUAAAUCUGUGAAGCUAUUUUUGAGCUCAAUCGAAGCUCUCUUGAAGCUCCGUGAACGUUGUCGAUUCAGAUCAAAACAUGUCUGGAUCUGGAGGCUCGGAAGUGAGGACUCCAAUUUUCUCCGGUGAGAACUACGAGUUCUGGAGAAUUAAAAUGGCAACGAUAUUCAAAUCCCUUGGGUUAUGGAACCUGGUAGAGAAGGGGAUUGAAACCUCCAAUCCGAAGAAGAAGGAAGCUGGAGAAGCAUCGAAGGAUGAUGAAGAAAUGGUAGCUGUUCUGAUGAAAGACACAAAGGCUUUGGGAAUCAUUCAGAAUGCAGUCUCGGAUCAGAUCUUCCCACGAAUCGCCAAUGCCGAGUCAGCUAAGAUGGCAUGGGAUUUGUUGUACGGGGAGUAUCAUGGUGGUGAUCAGGUACGAUAUGUGAAAUUGCAGAAUCUUAGGAGAGAGUUUGAAUAUGCUAGGAUGAGAGAUGAUGAGUCUUUAUCUAGCUAUCUUACACGGCUGAAUGAGCUAAUUAAUCAAAUGAGAACAUUUGGUGAAUCUCUGUCGAAUGAGAGACUGGUGCAAAAGGUUUUGAUUAGUCUUAGUAAACCUUAUGAUUAUAUCUGUUUGGUUAUAGAAAACACAAAGUGUCUAGAGACUGUAGAGUUGCAGGAAGUAGUUGCAAUCUUAAAAAGUCAAGAACAACGGUUUGAUCUGCAUACUGUUGAUACUACUGGGAAAGCAUUCUCAUCUUUCUCAAUGAGUUCAAAAGAGCAGGAUAGGGGUGAAGGUCAAUCUGGUUCAUCUCGGUUCCAGAAAAAUUGGAAUAACAAGGGCAAGAAAUGGGGUUCAAAACCUAAGUUUCAGCAUAAAUUUCCUGCUAAUCCUGCACAUAAUGCACAGUCAAUGAGGCAGAUAGGUACAAAACCACAGUGCAGGGUAUGUUCUAAGUUUCACUUUGGAGAGUGUAGGUAUAAAGGGAAACCUAAAUGCUAUAACUGUGAAAAGUUUGGUCACUGGGCUAGAGAGUGCACAGUAGGUAAAUUAGUGCAAAAGGCAAAUAGUGCUAAUCAGGUAGAGGUGACAGGGAACCUGUUUUAUGCAAAUAGCACAAUCACUGAAUCAAAAGUGAAUGGAGAAUGGUAUGUAGACAGUGGUUGUAGCAACCAUAUGACAGGGGAUUCUAAGUUGUUGAUAGACAUGAAGACAAAUGUGGUUGGCAAGGUUCAAAUGCCCACAGGGGAACUCAUGAAUGUGGCAGGUUUUGGUACACUUGUGAUAGACACUAGCAAAGGCAGAAAAUAUGUCAAAGAAGUAAUGUACCUACCUGGGUUGAAGGAAAAUCUGUUAAGUGUGGGGCAGAUGGAUGAACACGGUUACUACCUGUUAUUUGGGGGAAAGAUGUGUAGUAUCUUUGAUGGACCUUCAUUGGAUUGUCUUGUACUCAAAGUUGAAAUGAAAAAGAACAGAUGUUAUCCUUUGACACUGAUACAAAAUGAUCAGGUUGUACUGAGAGCAGGUAUUUCUAAGUCUACUUGGAUAUGGCACAAGAGACUAGGCCAUCUGCAUUUUAGAGGUCUUCAACAGCUUAAGAACAAAGAAAUGGUGCAUGGUCUCCCAGUUUUAGAAGAAAUGGAUGAAGUUUGUAAAGGUUGUCAGUUUGGGAAACAGCAUAGAGAGUGGUUUCCAAAGAAUCAAGCGUGGAGAGCAAGUAAACCUCUAGAACUGGUGCAUGUAGAUCUGUGUGGUCCUAUGCAGAAUGAUUCUCUUGCGGGCAACAAAUAUUUCAUGCUUCUUGUAGAUGACUGUACAAGAAUAAUGUGGGUUUAUUUUCUGAAAUACAAGUCAGAUGCAUUGAUCUGUUUUAGAAAAUUCAAGUCCAUGGUGGAAUUACAAAGUGGUUUUAAGAUAAAAUGUUUGAGGAGUGACAGAGGGGGUGAAUUCACAUCUUGUGAAUUCAACAAACUGUGUGAAGAUGCAGGGAUUCAAAGACAGUUAUCUAUGGCCUAUACUCCACAACAGAAUGGAGUGGUAGAGAGGAAGAACCGAGCUGUGGUUGAGAUGGCAAAAGCUAUGCUUCAUGACAAAGGACUACCAUACUACUUAUGGGCAGAAUCUGUACUCACAGCUGUCUAUAUAUUGAACAGGUGUCCUACAAGAGCUCUUGGAGAAGUAACUCCAUUUGAAGCAUUCAGUGGUCGAAAACCUGGAAUUGCACAUCUUAGAAUCUUUGGUUGUCUGUGUUAUGUACACACACCAAAUGAGUUGAGACAGAAACUAGAUGCAAAGAGUGUCAAGGGCAUAUUUGUAGGUUAUGCAACCUGUGAAAAGGGGUACAGAGUGUAUGAUCCUCUUAGUAAAAAGCUUAUACUCUCAAGGGAUGUUGUGUUUGAUGAAAAUGCAGCCUGGGAAUGGAAGACAGCUCCUGAGAACUAUGUAACUGUGUUUAAUCCUAUUGAGUUAUCUGUGCUGCCUAAAUGUAUCUCAUCAGAGACAACUCCAGAGGAAAAUGAUUAUGUUUUGUCACCAAAUCUGGCAUUUUCUCAUGAAUCUGUAAGUGAUGUGGACAGCAGCAUGAAAAUGACUCAAGCCUUUGAUCACACUCCAUUGAAAUGGAGGAAUCUAGAUGAUGUCUUGGCACAAUGCAAUCUUUGUAUUAUGGAACCUGAAAAAUUUGAAGAGGCAGCCAAAGAUGAAGCAUGGAUGAAGGCUAUGAAAGAUGAACUGUCAAUGAUUGAGAAGAAUGCAACAUGGGAUCUGGUGAACAGACCAAGUGAUAAACCCAUAAUUGGGGUUAAGUGGGUGUUCAAGACCAAGCUUAAUCUCGAUGGGACAGUGCAAAAGCAUAAGGCAAGAUUGGUAGCCAAAGGAUAUGCUCAGAAACCAGGUGUGGAUUACAAUGAAACGUUUGCACCUGUAGCUAGACUGGAUACAAUUCGGACUCUAAUUGCUUUGGCAGCUCAGAAAAGUUGGAAAUUAUACCAACUAGAUGUGAAAUCUGCUUUUCUGAAUGGAGUACUCGAAGAAGAAGUUUAUGUAGAACAACCAGAUGGUUUUGUGAUCAAGGGGAGUGAAGACAAGGUGUACAAGCUUUAUAAAGCUUUGUAUGGUCUAAAACAGGCACCAAGAGCCUGGUAUAGUGAAAUUGAUACCUAUUUUGCUCACUAUGGGUUUGUGAAAAGUCAGAGUGAAGCUACUCUUUACAUCAAAGUAAGGGGAGGAGAAAUUCUGAUUGUUUCAAUCUAUGUGGAUGAUAUAGUGUAUACUGGGAAUAGCACUGAGAUGUUGAAGGAGUUCAAGGAAGACAUGAUGACAAAAUAUGAGAUGACAGAUUUGGGGCUCCUUCACCAUUUUCUUGGUAUGGGAGUGAUUCAAACUCACACAAGCAUAUUUAUCCAUCAAAGGAAGUAUGCUGGUUCUUUGUUAGAUAAGUUUGGUUUGAAUGAGUGUAAAUAUGUGUUUACACCACUGGUUUCAUCAGAGAAGCUAUGCAAAGAUGAUGGCAGUGGUUCAGCAAGUGAGGAACAGUAUCGAAGAAUUGUUGGAAGUUUGUUGUAUCUCACAGCAACUCGACCAGAUAUAAUGUAUGCUGCAAGCCUUCUAGCUCGAUUCAUGCACUGUCCUACAAAUAAACAUCUUGGAACAACCAAAAGAGUGCUUAGGUACAUCAAGGGAACUUUAGAUUAUGGUUUAGAGUAUGUAAAGGGAAAGAAUGCAAUGCUAAUCGGAUUCUGUGAUAGUGAUUGGGGAGGAUCUGUUGAUGAUAGCAAGAGUACUUCUGGUUAUGCAUUUUCCUUUGGCAGUGGAGUGUUCUCAUGGGCCUCAGUGAAGCAGAAUUGUGUAGCACUCUCUACAGCAGAAGCAGAGUACAUCAGUGCCUCUGAAGCAACUGCUCAAGCCAUUUGGCUUAGAUUUGUUCUUGAAGAUUUUGGUGAGAUGAAAACUGAAGCAACUCCAGUACACUGUGAUAAUACAUCAGCAAUUGCAAUUACUAAAAAUCCUGUUUUCCAUCAGAAAACCAAGCACAUUGACAGAAGGUAUCAUUUUAUCAAGAAUGCACUCCAGGAAGGGAUAAUCGAUUUGGUGUACUGUCCAACAAAUGAGCAGGUGGCAGACAUAUUUACUAAGGCUUUGUCUAAGGAUCGAUUCAACUAUCUUCGAGAUAUGCUUGGUGUGAAAUCAGCUCAAAACUUAAAGGGGAGUGUUGAACUAUAAGUAUUUGAGCUGAAAUGUUUUAGAAUAAGUUUUGUUUAAAUUGGUGAAUCCACUUGUGCAGAAUGAGGCAAAGUGUAAAUGUCUAGUUUUGUAAAAAGGCCAUGAGUGCCAUGUGUUGGUAGAUCCAUGAAAUUAGAGAGAUGUGUGUCUAGGAUGAAAUGUAGUAGUUUAUGUGGUCCCAAGUUAAGGACCUUCAGUUAAUGUAAAGCACGUGAGUGCUCAUUUCUGAAAAAAAAAGAAGCAAUUUUCCUCUGUAAAGUUUCUGCAGAGAAAAGAACAAGAAACCGUUCGCUUUCUCCAACCUUUGUUCAUCGUGUGUUUUCUGUACAGCUCCAUCUUCAUCAAAACUCUCAUUGAAAUCAAGUUACACUAACACAAAUACCCUUCAGCUGCAGCAGCCAAACGACCCGAUGGAAUACUUCAAGUUCAAAAAGGGCAGAGACUCUCCCAGCGAUGCACGCACGGCGCUGCUAGUUAUUGCUGUACUAGUGGCCACCACCACCUUUCAAGCCGGACUCAGCCCUCCGAUGGGCAUUUGGCAGGACAGCCCUGGAUCAAACAUGAAUGGGACUGGCAGUGGGAGCAAUGAACCAGCGCACACAGCAGGGCAGUCCAUCAUGAGUUCUUACAAGAUAUUAGGAUUUUUCUUCUUUUACACUUCCAACUCGAUUAGACUUUCGUUUUCGCUUUACAUGAUCCAUGUCCUCACCACCAAUUUCCCUCUGCAGUUGGAGCUUAACAUUUGUAUGUUCACGAUGUUCUUGACGUACUGUUCUGCAAUUUCCGAAAUUGGACCGGAGAUCAUGUCCCACCCUGUGUUCGCUUUAACUAUGCCAGCGUUGGUAGCGUUGGUAAGGGUGUGGUAAGCGUAAUGCACCCGCUUAGAUGACCUGCAGUAAAUUGGACUCGAAGGCUCAUUUUAAAAUAGUUGUACAUUACACGUCUGUUUCCAGGAUCAUCGUUGGCGCAUUCAUCAUAGAAGCUCCAGCUUCGUAUCAAAGUCAGUCGUGACUAUCAUAAAUACCGUACAUUUGCUAUGUAUUACUAAAUCUUUGGUGUGGACUUCUUAUAUGAUAUAGCGUUAAGAAUUCAGUACGAAAACAGUAAAACAGAAUUAUUUGCACUAAUUCUUCCUCUUGAUUUAUGAUGGUGUUAGUUCUAUAAGUCGACAUCUUUGCCAGCCGCAAUUGAUACUGCCGUUUGAUACUGCAAAUGAAAGCCCGGUGGAUGCGCAAAAUUUCAAGCCAAUCUUACAGAUUGUAUGAAGAAAGGAACAAUGUAGUUGGUAGCACAGAAGUUUAUAAUCUUCUAGUUGGAGUAAUCUAAUUAAGGCUAUAAUAUUCAUACAGAAGGUUUUACAAAAUGAUCAUCUUUCGACAUGUAUAACAAUGGCGAUCUUUAAUCACAAUGACUUGUACAGCUCGAUCAAAUGAGAAGCAUGGAGGCACCACGUAGGAGCCACGGUGCAGCCCAAACUUUGCAGAUAAGAAAUCUGGUAAUUCACAGCAUAAGAAUCGAAUUACCGGGUCUCCUGACCAUCCUACGUACCAAUGUGCGCACAAGGAAAUGAGUAAGGUAAUCAAAUGCUGAGUCCUGCGUACCUGUUUCGGUGUUGGUUCGGAUGAACCCAUUUAGUUCUCAAUCCGUAACUUCUGGAAAUGCUCCUGAAAGCAUAAAUUUAAGCACAUCAUGAAAUCCCCCUUGCGGGAUUUUCCUUAUUUUUUCUAACUCAUCUUCCCACUCGCGUAUAGUUUUGUUACCAAGAAAAGCUCCCAGGACUUUGAGUGCUAAAGGCAGGCCUUGAGCAUAUUUUACAACACGAUUCGAUAGAUCAUCAUAAUCUCUGGUGGGUUGGUUUUUUCCGAAAGCGUGCUGCCUAAAGAGUUUCAGAGCUCCAGAAUCACUCAAAGUCUUGGGAUUAUAUAUCACAUCAGCUACGCUUAGUAAUUGCGAAUCUCUAGUUGUUAUAAUAAUUCUGCUUCCACCACCAAAGAAAUGUGGCUCUCCAAGUAGAGCUUCAAUUUGUUCUAAUUUGUCCACAUCAUCAACAACAAUAAGAACUUUUCUCUGGCCAAGGCUUUUUAACAUCACCUGAAAACCUUUACUCGAUAUGUCAGAGCUCCCCACCUUGUUGUCCGAGAUACUAGAUAGAAGUUGUGUCUGCAUAAGUAGUUCGCCGUGCUUCAUGAAACCCUCCUUGACAUUUUUAAGAAAGCAACAAGCUUCAAAUCGACAAGCGAUUUUAUCAUAAACAGCAUUAGCGAUGGUAGUUUUACCUAAACCACCCAUACCCCAUAUUCCAACAACUCGAACAUUAUUCGUUUCACCUCCGGGAGGAUAUAAUAAUAAAUGCAUUUCAUGCAUGCGAGAAUCCAUGUCAACCAAGCCAUUAUCUUUGCUUGAUGUUGAUGAGAUGUCGAUCAAUUUCCUAUAAACAUAUUCUACAAUUUCCUCAGUAAGCACCACAUCAUUCCUGUCAAAUUAAAAAAUACAAUAUAAUAACACCACCAAAUAAUAAUUAAUGGGUUUUUUCAUCUGUUAGUUAAAAAAAAAAACAGAAAUUAAAACUAAAAACUAGAUAUUUAUAAAAUUACCGCAAAACGUUACAAAAAUCCCAAAAAUUAAUAGGAAACUAAAACAAAUUAGAAUUUACUCAUAGUUUCGCGAAUCCCAGCCGGAUAAACUGGUGGCAGUUGUAAGAGCGGAUCUCCAGCUCUGAACCUCUUCCAUUUCGGCGUUAGAAUCGCGAUCGUGCUGAGCAAAAGCUUCCGCGAAACUUUUCUUGAGUUUACGAACAUCAGACGGAUCAACUUCAUAGAAAAUGGGGAGUACAAUCUGGUUAUUGGUAUCCUUGCAUUUCAAGAUUUGCACGAGUUCUUUCAAGCACCAAGUGGAAGAAGCAUAGUCUUGAGAGAAAACUACAAUCGAAAGCCUUGACUCUCGAAUCGCUGUCAGGAGCUCAGAAAGGUGGUCGCCUUUUCUGAGCUUCUCGGCAUCAAUGAAGGCGUUGAUUGGUUUCUUAGCCAGAGCGUUGUAGAGAUGGCUGACGAAGCCCCUGCGAGUGUCUUCCCCUCUGAAAUUGAUGAACACAUCGUAUUUGCAACCAAGGCCAGAAGAAGAUGAAGAAGAAGAAGCAGCCAUUAUUAAUCGAUCGCACCUGGUCAGCGAUGAUCGAGCAGCUAAGACUAAGAGAAUUGUAAGUACAGAGAUACUCAAUAGAUCUACAAAUUGGAUCACCAGAAAUUAGUCUGAUCGAUACCAAGUCAAUGAGUCAAUGCAAAAGGGAAAAAGGGGAAAGGGAAAUUAUGCUUUAUGUUUUUUCACAUCUUCUUCGGGGAAAUUUCGGUGUGAAAGGAAUCUUAUCCUUUUGAUUUUUUAACCGAAGCAAAUGCGAAGAAAAGGGUCAAGGUGGAAAAUUGAAUAGGACAAGGAUUGUCAGCCCUUCCACAUCUGGUGCUCUUCCGUGCCCUUUUGUUUAUGUUGUCACGGUUAAACCACAUUAACAUUUUAUAUUACUAUUUAUUUUUGUCUUAUUAUCUCUAUAAAAAAACAAUAUAAAAUGUUGACGUGACUUAACCGUGACCACACAAAACAGAAGGGCACGAAAGAACACCGAAAAUAGGAGAGCUGACAAUCCUUGUCCAAACUUAACCGUAAGACUUUUUGUAGUGAGCUACACCGGAUGACUUGAUAUAUUAUGACGAAAUAAACUAUUUAAAUAUACGGCUUACAUUGCGCAGUGCGCAUACUGGAUAAACAAUUAGCGCACCUGAUUGUAGGGAAUGGUGAUGCUCAUCGCUUAAUUUCGUUAUUGGAUUAGUUUAAGUUUUGAGGUUUGUGAAAUGGACAGAUAUAAAUUUUAAAAUUUAAACUCAGUCAAUAAUAAUAAAUAUGGUAGUGAGAAAAAAUGCACCAGUGACUUGUGGUUUAGAGACACACUCUCAAACUUAAAUAACAAUUUUCAUGCUUUCCAACAACACAAAAAUUUUAUAACUAAAAAUCAAUCAAAACAUAAUAAUUGAAUGAACGAAGAAAGCGUAUUAAAAUAAGGUUUUCUGACAUAUUUUGAGUGACACUUGCCACAAUAACGAAGAAAGCGUGGUAUUGUUGCACCUGCCAUAAAGUCAAGCUUGACAUUCUACAGUUGGAAGGCUAGCUGGCUGACUAGAAAUGGCCAGCCCGUUGGCUUGAUUUGGGGGUUUUGGCCAGAUGGGGCCCACAAGCCCUUUGGCCUAGCCUUCGAUUGAAGAUGGUUUUCGUGUCAUUCCGAGCUAUUUUUAGCCCUAUGACCUUUUGGCUGGGUCAGUUAGAGAUGGCUUUAGGUGCGGUGAUCGUAAUACCCUGAAAAUUUAAAUAUAUGAAUAUGUUGGGAAAAAUUGAAAAAAAAUCGAUUUAUGGUUAUGGAAAAUUUAAUUGAGAACUUUUAAAGUUUUUCCGGAAAUUAUUAUAAAUUACGUAUUUGUAUUCUUAAGAUUUUAUAUGAAUUUUCAAGAAUUUAUAAUAAUUUAAUUUAGUUUAGUUUUAAAUUAAACUAGUUACAAAGUUGGAAGUUUGGAAAUUAUUUAUUUAAAAUAUGUAGACCAUUCGAGGUCACAAUUUAUAUUUUUGAAUAGAGCUCGAUCUCAUGAACGCGUGGCGCAAACCGUUAGUAAAACGGAGUUCUAACGAAGAAGUUAUUAACAUUUAAAGUCAUGAAAAUUUUGGUAAUUUUAUUCAUUUUAGAAGGCUCCAGAAAAUCUAGAGCAAUGAGUUGUGCCACGUGUGUGGCUGGGAUGAAAACAAUUGGAGAGAUGGAUGGUUGUGAUUAAAGGAAAAUAAUAGAAAUGAGGGUAACCAAUGGGGAGAGAGAAUGAGGAGGGGAAAGGAGAAAAAGGAGAAGGAGGGGAACCCGACCCUCUCCUUCGACCCGGUUUUCUGACCCGAGCCCCACGCACACCCAACACCGAUUUCGGUGUUUUUUCCCGGUGAAUUGAGCGCCGCCACCACCCCUCCUGACUCCUCUCAUUGUCACGAACGGUAUCCGUCCACAUUUGGCUCAGUUUUGAUCAUGAUUUCAGAAGAAAAGGGAGAUGGACCCGUGAGGGUUUCAGAGUUUUCCGACGACAAAUCCGUCGUCUCCGGUCUCCACCGUUCCCACCACCACCACCUCCAGUUGAUUUCACUUGAACCCAGGAGCAAGGCCUAAGCACUAGCAGGGGCAUCGGAACAUCAAUGGAGUCGAAUCGAAUCCCACCAUUUCUAGGGUUUCCGGCGAGUUUGAGUGAAAUUGGGGCACUUCCACGCCAAAUUGGACUUAGCCAUAGGUAUGAAAUUUACUCCACUCACUGAGAUCUACUUGCCUGUAAAAUUUGGUAAUUUUUUGAAAUAGUUGAAUUUUCCGACAAGCCGGAGUGGCCAACCUCCACCCACGACUGCGGGUGCGGCGGCGCACGGUCAGGGAGCCGACAUUGUGUUAUUAUGCGAAUUUCGUUAUUCUAAUUAGGCUUUUGAGACCUAACUUCUGUGGUUUGAAUAUUAAUACGAUUGUGGUAUAUGUUGGAUUAAAUAAAUAUAUUCGGAUUUGGUUUGAGUUUUGGAAAUGUGAACUACGAAUGACUUGAUUCCUGUUUAGGGUACAUAGGUAGUAUAACAAGAUGUUAGAUGCAGCUAUACAAUAAGUUAGAUUAAAUAAACGAGACAAAGCUUUGAUUGAGAAAGUGAACUGAGUAAGGAGUUUGGAAUUUUAUUAUAAAAGGAAAUCUUAUGUUUUGUACAUAUAAAUUCUUGUUAUAAAUUGUGUGAACGUUUUAUAAAUUUAAGCAAGAAAUUAUGUAAUUAUGAUAAUUGGACAAUUGAGUUUGAUCUCUUGUUGGGAAAUAGAGUCGAUAUGAAGGUAUUGGUGUUGAAGUAAAAAUAUAAAUGUAUGUUUUGCUAAGUAAGUUUGGUGGAUACUUAUGUGAGUAGUUAGGAAAAUUUUUUUUUAAAGAAUAAAGUGUACCGAUAAUAAAUCAAACAAGAGAAGUGAAUUGGGCCUAUCAUUGGAAAUAUUUCCUGAAAAUAAAUAUUUCGGGGUUGGGGCGUUUCAGUGAUUGUCUUUGAGAUAUCGAAGGUUCUGUGUGAUCGAAUACUUCGUCCUCCUCCAGAGCCGCCACUGUUGAGAGGGUUACUUGCCUCAUGCAAACAUUAUGAAUUGUAAGUGAUGAAUUGUUCUGAUGAUGAGGUUUAUUUUUUAACUCAUUAUGUUUUGAGUUUAAACAUUUUUCCCUCUCUUUAAUGUAUAUAAGAUUAGUGUAAAAUAUUGUUCGUAAUAAAAAAAUAUAAAAAUGAUACAUUCUCAUUCAUAUAUAAGAUGAUCAAGUGUGGAAUUAAUACUUUUAACGAGUGACUCAAUUAACCAUUUUCAUUUCUUACGCAUUCAAAAUUAGACAAAUUCUUUGCAUACAUUUAAAAAAAAAAAGAUAUUCAGGAGACUUUGAAACUAUUACAUUACGGGAGAGGGAAUUUUGAACUCGGGACGCAUGAGUAGAACCCAAACGCUUCUCCACUAGGAUAUUAGACUAGUGCCGGUCCUGAAUUUUUUGGUGCCUGGAGCGAAUAAUGUGCCCUUUUCAAGUACAACAACAUAAAUUAAAAAGAAAUAUUUAAAGAGGGUUGGAACCCAGUCGAAGCCGGGGGGCUAGGCCCUCACGCCCAUAUUAUAUUACUCUGAAAACAAAAAAACAUACAACAUGGGAACAUAGUACUGAAACCUCGACAAUCAAAAGCAAAAUCAAAUACAACCACUCCAAGCAGUUAACAUAGCCAUCACAUAUUGAAUCCAAAAGGUUGACUACCCAUUCGCUGCAUAUAAUGUGCAGAAGAUAACAAAUUCUGAAGUGAUAUGCUCCCAAGUAUGAUAUUGGGCAGAAAAGAGCGGCGGCUUCAACCACUUCUUCAGCUAUAUCCGGCUGGGUGAGAGCAGCUAAAGACAUGAUUGUUCCCUAAUUACAUGAAUACAUGGAGUAAACACCAAAAGUAGCAGCAAGGGAAGGAGAUUUGAAGUAGAUGAAGAGGUGUGAAGAGUCUAAAGACCUGUGAAUGUCCAACAACAAAGACUUCGGAGCUUGUUGUCGAAUAUAUGCAGCGUAUCAUUUCUGACAGAUCAAAUCGAGCCAAUUCCUGCCAACUCCAAUCCCAAAAAUCCUACAGUAAAGCAUAAAUCUUAUUCUUUUCUGAUAAAGAUGUGCCCCUAACUCCAAUGUGUUUGACGCACAAUUCCUACCCAUACAUAGAAACCUUCAUCUGCAAAGACAAAUUCCAGCGAUUCUUCUGGAGAAUUUAAGAACCAUGCAUCACCUGGUUAGAGCCUAAUUUAAAAUGUAUCCGAUGGAUGUUCAUCAAUUUACACAAUAGUUAGUUUCAAGAAAGGAAAUUUCAACAGAACCUGAAAACUUCAGAUCAGGGGGCACCAAAUAGUGAGCUAUACAUUCAAAAUUUAAAAUAAUCAACUUAGUAGGACCAAUAUGUUGAAAAAAUUAGAAGGAGCUAUGAAAGUAAGGCUUUUCACUAAUCAGGCGUCCAGAGAAUCAAUAUUUUACUCACGUAUCAGUUACGGGGAACAAUCCCCACCAGAGCAAUCUCAUUAGUUCUUCACAUCUCAACCGUACAGAAAUUACACUAACAAACACGACUCCUGUUAGUCCUUCACAUCUCAAAUCCAGGAAGUACCCAUCUUUCGUCUGAAUCUGGAAAAUAAGCAGCACUCAAUUUAACAAUCUGGGUAUCUCAAAGUUACUCACUUUAAUCACAAAUUUAACAAUUAAACAUAUAAAUGGGCAUUUUCUAGUGAAAUAUUAGUAUAGUACUCACUGUGUGCUCGGAGCAAGAGCACCCAGAAAGCUCAAUGAGCUGUGCAGUGAGGGACUGUAGCGGUGAAUGACGGCAACCGAUUCUGUAAAAUUCAGUCGAGUUUUAGGCGAUUUCGGAGGUCAAGAGGCUGAUGAGGAAAGCUGGGACGGAAGGGCACUGGUCUGGAAGAAAGGCUCUGGUCGCCGCUGUCGCGAUUUGCAAAGGAAGAAGUGACAUUCUUCCAAAUAGGAAGAUGAAAUCGUUAAGGCUUUUAUUUAUUCCUCCUCUUGAUGCGCCCUUUUAGACUGCCAAUUCCAGACGAUCCAAUCUCAUAUAUCUUCCCUGCAAAAGCAUGUGUGCCAGACUUCAAGAUCAAAAUUUUCCAACAAAAGAAACUUAAAGAUCAAACUCGUUAGCGGAAUAAAUGGUGCACAAAGGGAGUUAAAAUCUUGACAGAUGUAUAUUUUUGGCAGAUUUUAUGUGAGCAUGCAAUUUUCUGUAGAACUUAAAAGCUGCAUAGCUGCUCUUGUUCGUUGUAUUGAAUACCAUGGUUUUACUGAUGAAUGCAGAGUUUGCUGACGAUUCAUACGACAAGCAAAUGAAUCAUCCACUGUAAUUUGCAGAGUUUACUGAUGAAUGCCCCACAUAUACCCAAAAAAAAAAAGUCAUUUAAACAAAUUCAGAGCGUUCAUCCACUGUAAUUUGCAGAUAUAGACACGUUAAGAUAAAAGGAAAUGCAAAGUACCUUUCACCCAAAUUGGAGGAGCAACGGUGGCAUUAGCAAGUUAGCAACGGGAAUUGACAUACCAACAUCUUCACAGUUUCUGCACAAGCACAAAUCAAUAGAAUCCGGCGGUGGAGUUAUGUACCUCUCCUUGGAAAAUGCCACCUCUUGGGAUUUCAAAAUAUGCGGCCGUGGCUAGCCAUCUGACAACGCCAAUUCCACCAAAGCCGCCGCAAUGGGGCAUAGUGUCCGAUUGAUUGCUUCAAACAGAGUACCCAAAACCCCUGAAAAUUAUUUCUUUAUUCAGAUAAUAAAAUUUCCCAAAUUUCGAAUUUUAAUUCCGUAUCAAAAAUAGGGUUUGAAUUUUGAUUACCUAGAAAUUGGAGGGUUGGGGCGAACACGGAGCGUGUCGGGAAUACCUACAAGGCUUUUGCAGUGUAUCAGAUUUAAAUACUGAAGCCCCGUAAGCCGUUCAAUCCAGGGGGAAAGCUCUUUGAUAGAUGUUCCAUCCAAGAAAAGCUCUCUUAAUCCUUCCAUAUCUUCUUUAAUGCUUGGAAACACCUCAAAUUUUGUACAACCGGAAAGAGAGAGAGAGACAAGGGACUUGAGCUGACAAAUGCUGCUUGGAAGACUCUUAAGUUCCUUGUAAUUUUUUAGUUUCAAAUGAUUCAAUCCUGUGAGAUUAUUAAUUGAUGAUGGCAAUUCUUUAAUUUUUGACCAUGAUAAAUCAAGAAUUUUUAACCCCUCAAUCACUUCUGAAAUAUCUGGAAACAUCUCAAGAUUCCAACAACCAUAAAAAUAAAAGGUUUUGAGAGAUUUCAUACGAAUGCUGCUUGGAAGACUCUUAAGUUUUUGACAAUUUGAUAGGUUCAAAUGAUUCAACCCCGUGAGAUUAUUAAUUGACGAGGGUAGUUCUUUAAUUUUUGACCCGGAUAAAUCAAGCUCUUCUAACCCCUCAAUACCUUCUGAAAUCGAUGGAAACAUCUCAAGGCUGGAGCAAUCAUAAAGAUUAAAGGUUUUCAGACACUUCAUAUGAAUGCAGCUGGGAAGACUCUUAAGUUCCUUGCAAUCUUUUAGGUUGAAAUGACUCAACCCUGUGAGAUUAUUAAUUGACAGGGGCAGUUCUUUAAUUUUUGACCAGGAUAAAUUAAGCUCUUCUAACUCCUCCAUACCUUCCGAAAUCUCUGGAAACAUCUCAAGACUAGAGCAGCGAGAAAGAUUAAAGGUUUUGAGAGAUCUCAUACGAAUUUUGCUGGGUAGAAUCUUAAGUUCCUUGCAAUUUGAUAGGUUCAAAUGACUCAACCCCGUGAGAUUAUUAAUUGAUGGGGGCAGUUCUUUAAUUUUUGACCUGGAUAAAUUAAGUUCUUCUAACUCUUUCAUACCUUUUGAAAUCUCUGGAAACAUCUCGAGACUGGAGCAGCCAAGAAGAUUAAAGGUUUUGAGAGAUCUCAUACGAAUUUUGCUAGGUAGAAUCUUAAGUUCCUUGCAAUGUGAUAGGUUCAAAUGACUCAACCCCGUGAGAUUAUUAAUUGAUGGGGGCAGUUCUUUAAUUUUUGAAUAGGAUAAAUUAAGUUUUUCUAACUCCUCCAUACCUUUUGAAAUCUCUGGAAACAUCUCAAGAUUGGAGCAGCCAGAAAGAUCAAAGGUUUUGAGAGAUCUCAUACGAAUUUUGCUGGGUAGAAUCUUAAGUUCCGCGCACCAAUUCAGAUCCAAUAAAACAAGGUUUGUAAGAGUCGAAAUAGACGCGUGAACCUCAACUAAGCUUAUACAACUUCGAACAAUUAGCCUCUCAAGAUUUGGCACAUUUGUGAAGUCAGGGGUUUCCUUAAGGGAUUGACAAUGACUUAAAUUGAUGAAUUUCAACUUUUCCUGCGUCUGUUAAAACAUUCAGGAAAACAUGCAUUACUUAAUAAGACAUCUCACUCAAAGCCCAAACAUUUAAAAGAAACAAAUACAUGUAAAUGAUUGUACGUACCUGGGUUCCUUCCCAAAGUCGAUCAAUGAGACUAUAUUGCAUGUCAAGUUCAACAAGAUUUUCGAAUUGAAAGUUGGAUGGCAAAGACUUGAGAGGGAAAUCAAGCCAGGAGAGAUACCUCAGGUUAAGCAACUUUAAGGACCCAAACAGGUAUUGUUUGCAGUACUCAUCUUUAAAAACGAAGUGCCUAUGACUGAUCUCGAGAAGUCUUUGUUGAGUCCUUCCAACAACAGCUUCAGCAUUUAAGUUCCUAUGAUGACUGAUCUUGAGAAGUCUUCGUUGAGUCCUUCUAACAACAGAUUCAGCAUUUAAGUGCCUAUGACUGAUCUUGAGAAGUCUUAGUUGAGUCAUUCUACCAAAAGCUUCAGCAUUUAAGCAUGGCCAGCCUGAGUACGAGAAAUCCACAAUUAUGCUUUCAACUGUUUUUGUAGCCUGUGCAAAUCAAAGUAAAGGAAAAUACAGAGAACCUUAGUUUUGAUUAUGAAAUUAAUGAUUGUUUCUUAAGGAGCCGUCUGAUAAUCAUUUCAUUUUCUGUUUAAUUGUUUUCAAUUUCAUUAUUACAACAAUGAAAACUAAAAAUUGAAAACAAAAAUGGUUAUCAAACGGGUCUAAGAAAUUGAUUUUGAUCAAAAGUUGAACCUUUCUACUAACAAUUGCAUAAGAAAAAUAUUUCUCACCGCAUUUUCAGUUAGCACCUGACGAACAUCUUCAUAACUCCACAACCUACUUCGUCUCCCAGGAUCUUUGAUAGAUUCUUGGCGGACAAUUUCCCAACCCAUUUCCUCUAAUGAAUCAUGCAUCUCCAAUUCCCCCAACCUUGAGACAGUUAUGAGAGAUCGAUCGAUUAGAACUUUUAUUCCUGUAUGAGGAUGGAAACCACAACUGUCCAGAAUUUCAGUUGCCUGGUCUUCCUUCAUCCCUUUAAAGAAACAUGCAAUAUCUAGAAAGAUGUCCUUCUGCGUGUCAUCUAGUCCAUCGAAGCUUGUUUUAAGCACAUCAUGAACUCCCCUUUGUGGGAUUUUCCUUAUUUUUUCCAACUCACCUUCCCACACGCGUAUGGUUUUUUUAUGCAAAAAAGCUCCCAAGACUUUGAGGGCUAAAGGCAGACCUUGAGCAUAUUCUACAACACGAUUCGAGAGAUCAUCAUAAUCUCUAGUGGGUUGGUCAUUUCUGAAGGCGUGCUGCCUAAAGAGUUUCAGAGCUCCAGAAUCACUCAAAGUCUUGGGAUUAUAUAUCACAUCAGCUAUGCUUAGUAACUGCGAAUCUCUACUUGUUAUAAUAAUCCUACUUCCACCACCAAAGGAAUGUUGCUCUCCAAGUAAAGCUUCAAUUUGUUCUAAUUUGUCCACAUCAUCAACAACAAUAAGAACUUUUCUCUGACCAAGGCUUUUUAACAUCACCUGGAAACCUUUACUCAAUAUGUCAGAAAUCCCCACCUUGUUGUCUGAGAUACUAGAUAGAAGUAGUGUCUGCAUAUGUAGUUCACCCUGCUUCAUGAAACCCUCCUUGACAUUUUUAAGAAAGCAACCAGCUUCAAAUCGACAAGAGAUUUCAUCAUAAACAGUUCUAGCGAUGGUUGUUUUGCCUAAACCACCCAUACCCCAUAUUCCAACAACGCGAACAUUAUUCGUUUCACCUCCGGGAGGAUAUAAUAAUAAAUGCAUUUCAUGCAUGUGAGAAUCCAUGUCAACCAAGCCAUUAUCUUUGCUUGAUGUUGAUGAGAUGUCUAUCAAUUUCCUAUAAACAUCUUCUACAAUUUCCUCAAUAAGCACCACAUCAUUCCUGUCAAAUUUAAAAAACAUAUAAUAACAACAUCAAAUAAUAAUUAAUGGGUCUUUUUCAUCUGUUAGUUAAAAAAAAAUAGAAAUUAAAACUAAAACUAAAAUCUAAACGUUACAAAAAUCCCAAAAAUUAAAAGGAAACUAAAACAAAUUAGAAUUUACUCAUAGUUUCGCGAAUCCCAGCCGGAUAAACAGGUGGCAGUUGUAAGAGUAGAUCUCCAACUCCGAACCUCUUCCAUUUCGGCGUUAGAAUCGCGAUCGUGCUCAGAAAAGCUUGUGCGAAACUUUUCUUGAGCUUACGAACAUGAGACGGAUCAACUUCAUAGAAAAUGGGGAGUACAAUCUGGUUAUUGGUAUCCUUGCAUUCCAGGAUUUGCACGAGUUCUUUCAAGCACCAAGUGGAAGAAGCAUAGUUUUGAGAGAAAACUACAAGCGAAAGCCUUGACCCUCGAAUCGCUGUCAGGAGCUCGGAAAGGUGGUCGCCUUUUCUGAGCUUUUCCGCAUCAAUGAAGGCGUUGAUUGGUUUCUUAACCAGAGCGUUGUAGAGAUGGCUGACGAAGCCCCUGCGAGUGUCUUCCCCUCUGAAAUUGAUGAACACAUCGUAUUUCCAACCAAGGUUAGAAGCAGCAGCCAUUAAUCGAUCGCACCUGGUCAGCGAUGAUCGAGCAGCUAAGACUAAGAAUAAUGUAAGAACAGAAAUACUCGAUUGAUCUAUAAAUUGAAUCACUGAAGAAACUGGUCUGAUCGAUACGAAGUCAACGAAGACAAAGAAAAUAAUGCUUUAUGUGUUUUCACAUCUUCUUCCGGGAAAUUUAACGAAAAUAAUUUUCCUUUAGGCAAAAUUGACUUCAAAAUAUAAAAAUAUUCUUUCAAUUAUGGACAUAUGACAUUUCGGUGUGAAACGAAUAUGCUUAUUUGGUUUGGUUUGGACCCAAGAAAGGACAAAGAUUGUCUGCCCUCCUACUUCCGGUGCCCUUCCAUGCCCUUCUGUUUGUGUAGUCACGGUUAAGCCACGUCAACAUUUUAUAUUACUAUUUAUUUUUGUCUUAUUAUCUCUAUAAAUAAGCAAUAUAAAAUAUUAACGUGGCAUAAUCGUGACCACAGAAAACAAGAGUUGGCACCAAAAAUAGGAGGACAAACAACCCUUGUCCCCCAAGAAAAUGCUAAGAAAGGAUGGUUUAGCAGCUGUGCAUGAGGGGACUGGGUCAAAGUACCCUGUUGAAUCCACUCUUGCCUACCCAACAACUUAUUUAGUUAUUUGUAAGCCCGAAAUAUAUCCCGAUCUUUCUAUUCACACCAAAAGUAAGUAGAGUGAUAAGAAAUAUUUCCGGUUAAGUAUAAGCAUGUCAGUCUGCAGCAGCAUAGCCACGUUAAGGGCUACCGUGGGCUGUAGUCUAUGUAAUUUUCAGUGAAAAAUAAAAUUUUACAUGUAAUUUUUAUUGAUUUUCAAAUAUACUUCUUCAUAUAUACAGUCUUUAAUCUGAAUUAUCUCAUUUUAAUUAUAUAAUUAUAUAAUACAGUUUACAAACUGUCUCUUUUUCUUACAUCAUUUUUCUCACCGCUUCUUGCACAUGUACAAGUUUGGAUUUUGUUUGAAUUUUAACACGUAUUUGUUUAAAAACGAAAAUCCUUGGCUUACAUAGUGAAAAUUUUCUUAAGUUAGCUGAUACUUUGAAAAAUACAGGAUCAAGUUUCUUUGUUUAUAAAGAUUUAAAUCUUUAAGCUAGCCCACCCGGUGAAAAAUUCCUAACUCCGUCAUGCAUUUUACAUAUAAUUUUUAUUGAUUUUCAAAUGUAGUCCAUCAUAUAUACCGUCUUUAAUCUGAAUUCUCUUGGUUUAAUUAUAUAAAAUUAUAUAAUACAGUUUACAAACCGUCUCUUUUCUUACAUCCUUUUUCUCACUGCUUCUUAUACAUGUACAAGUUUUGAUUUGUUUGAAUUUUAACACGUAUUUGUUUAAUAACGAAAAUCAUUGGCUUACAUAGUGAAAAUUUUCUUAAGUUAGCUGAUACUCUGAAAAAUACAAGAUCAAGCUUCUUUGUUUAUAAAGAUUUAAAUCUUUAAGCUAGCCCCCUGGUGAAAAAUUCCUAGCUUCGCCAUUGAGCAUGUGGUAUAUCCUAUGAUAUCAUGGACGGCAAACGAGCGAUUAAUGGUUGUUUGGCAUUUAAUUUGAUGUCACGGUAGUAACGGUACUCUAAAAUCUUUGAUAUACUUGCUUUCAGCUACAAAACUACUAGAACUCCGAAAAUUGCUUAUGAAAAUAAAAAUAUUGACUAGAUUUGAACUUGUAUAAUCUAUGUCUUCACUACACAUUGUUGUGUUCGCUCGUGUUCUAAAGUUGACGCUAGCUAGAAGGUCACAGCAAGAAGCAGAGGAGGCUAACUAUUGCAGAAAUUUGUUUAUUCAAAAGCAUUUGUAAAAACACAUAUUGAAAUUAAUUCACGCCAAAAAUAAAUAAUACAGUGGUGGCAGGCACACUACAACAAUAGGGUUUUAACCCUAUGCAUUUUUAUAUUGGCUUUUGUGUUAUCAGUUGCGACCGCUCGGUGGAGAGAGCAUUUUAUGUUAUGAAUAAAAAUACCACUGCGUAACAAAAUAGAAGAUUAAUGGUUGAGUGAUAGCUGGUUUGUUUGCAAUGAGAGAGAUGUUUUUGCUUUUAUUGAUAAUGAAUCUAUAUACGCGAUGUUUUCAUAGCAUAAAACAUCGCCGACAACAAUUGUAACUUUUUGUGUUGAUAAAUUAGGAAAGACAUUAAUAUUUUCUAAUAUCUAAAAGAAUUUGGAUGUCUACAUUUUUUUGGAAAACUUUUUACCCUUCUAAAUUUCGCGCCUCUCCCGACAAUUCCUAGCUUCGCCACUGCUAUAGUCAACUCCAAGUCUUGUCCAUGAUAUCAAUAUCCCUACUGUAAACGGUGACUUCAAUAUAAGCUAACAAAAAGUUUGUAUAGAGAAGAUAUAUGCAUGAAAAAAUGGCAGUGUUUGUGUUGCCGAACGGAUGAUACUGAAAUACCUAAACCCAAGUCAAGCUCCUUUAGUCCACAAAAACAAAAGUUUAGAAUACAAUAAUGUUUGCAUAUAGAUUGGAGAAACGACAUACCACCGGCCAGGAAGGUGCAGUGAAAGAGAGAGGAAAAGAGGAAAGAAACAAAUACGAAAUGACAAAGACUAUCAAAUAGAUUAUAACAAUGACUUCUUAGCGGUGAUCACAACUAUUCAACUAUCGAUGAUGCUUUAUUUUAGAUUGAGAUGUGGAAGCAUCUGAGAAGUAGCAUGUCAACAACCAUUACACAAUAAUAUUGUCUAAUAUCUAAAAGAACUUGGAUAUCUACAUUUUUUUAGAAUCUUUUACCCUUAUAAAUUUCGCACCUCUUCAGACAAUUUCUAGCGUUGCCGCUGCUUCAGUCAACUCCAAGUCCUAGUGGUUCUUGUCUAUGAUAUCAAUAUACCCAUUGUAAAUGGUGAUUUCAAUAUACAUAGAGUGUGUACAGGGGAGAUAUAUGUAUGAAAAAAUGGCAGUUGUUGUAUCUGUGUUGACGAACGGAUGGUACUGGAAUACCUAAACCCAAGUCAAGCUUCUUCAGUCCACAAAAACAAAAUGUUUAUUAUAUAAUAAUGUUUGCAUAUGGACUUGCGAAACAACAUACCGCCGGUUGGGAAGGUGCAAUGAAAGAGAGAGGAAAGGGGGAAAUAAACGAACAAGAAAUGACAAAGGCUAUCCAAUAUAUUAUAAAAUGACUUCUUGGCAGUGAUUAAGCUAUUCAAUUAUCAAUAAUGCAUUAUUCUUAAAGUUUAUAAUAUAAUAAUGUUUGCAUAUGCACUUGCGAAACGACAUAUCGUCGACUGGGAAGGUGCAAUGAAAGAGAGAGGAAAGGAGGAAAUAAACGAACAAGAAAUGACAAAGACUAUCCAAUAUAUUAUAAAAUGACUUCUUGGCAGUGCUUAAGGUGUUCAACUAUCAAUAAUGCAUUAUUCUUAGGUUGAAAUGUGGAAGCAUCCGAGAAAUAGCAUGGUAACAACCACACAAUAAACAAAAGUGAUUAGAGAAAAGAACCAAAUGUGAAAGGAUAAUUAAAAACAGUUAUUCAAGAUCGGCGGUAAAUCAUUCAGCUAUUUACAAGAUUUGAACUUAGAACCGCAAUCUACUAGAUUGUUGUAUCAACUAUUAAGUGGUGUUCUAAUAUAAUUCUUAGGAAUUUCAAGGAGGCAUAUGGGGGUGGAUCAUUUUUUUUCUAAAUUCGACAGUACAAAGAAGAAUUUAAUUGAUAACGGAAAAAAUAAGUUACAUAUAGAGCUGGAGCAUAUAAUAGACCCAAAUUGACCAUUUUUAGGCUCCACUGCUAAGAACUAUUGCAAAAUGCUCAUUAGGAUUACCCUGUGAACUCCGUCCUUCCACACCAAGCCUCCAAACUCAGUCCGAUAUGUUGCAGCUAGUUUAGAUACUUGUCCCCUGCAUGUUACAGAAUCACAAGAGCAAGCUUACAAAACUGCAGUUUUUACUCAUAGUUAUUGCAAAUGAAAAUACAGGUUGGUGCCAGCAAUUAUCAGUGUAAUUCUCUAUCCGACGGUAUUUCUCUCGCCUUCUCUUGAUAAUUUCGGAUGUGACAUGUUUAAGAUAACUCUUCCAAACACGUUGCUUAUGCCUAAUUUUUAAUACCACCAUAUCAUAUCAUAGUAAAUCCAAAUAACUAUCGAAUGGCAUUUAGGCAUCUAGAAUAUCAAAUGCAUUACUUUACAUUGAAAAUUCAUUUAUUCAAUAGCAUUAAUACACUAGUAAAAAAAACACUUUGCACGACGUAGGUCCUUCGUCGCGCAAAGUCAAAACAUGUCGCGCAAAACUUUGCCCAACGAACCUUCGUCACGCGCAAACCGUCGCAGCAAGGCAGUGACAUAAGGCUUUGCACGACGAAGGGUUACAUGCAUCGCGCAAAGCCACUUUGCGCGACGCAUGUAACCCUUCGUCGCGCAAAGCCAUUUUGUGUGAUGCAGGCUGCGUCGCUCAAAGUGGCGUCACGCGAAGAUGCUUUGCGCGACACAUGUCAUUGAGUUGCACAAAAUGACUUUGCGCAACGUAACCUACGUUGCGCAAAGUGUAUUUUUGGUUUUGGUCAAAAAUAUUAUUUUCUUAAUUUUUAAUAAUGUUGUAAUUAAAUUCUAAACAAUAAUUAAUUAACCAAAAAAAGUAUUUAAUUAUAAAAUAUAUGGAAAUGUACAUACAAGAUGUCCGAAUAAAAAAGAAAAAACUACAAGUAGUCUUCUAGGUGAAGUGGCUACUGGGUAUCAACAUGGUGAAGUGGCUUCUAGGUGAAGUAACAUUUCGAUGACGUGAAAAAGUUUCAAUUGGUCAUCUACAAGUGUCAAACCUAACACAUUUUACUUAAAAAAGAAAAAGGUAAUAACAUAACUCAAAACGAAAAGCAAAAGGGAAAAAAAAAAACUUUGCGCGACAUAAGUACAUAUGCAUCUCGCAAAGUUUUUUUUUCCCCCUAUUGCAGAUACAAAUAACAUCAUCCUUUUGCAAGAAUCAGUCUCUGCCCUCUCGCCCUCCCUCUCCCGCUCCCUCUCCUUCUCCUUCUCCCCUGUGUAGUUGUUGGUUGUGUUGUACGAAGUCGUCCCUCUCCCUCUCCCAUGUGUUGUUGUUCGUUGCACAAAGUAUUUUGCCCGAUGCAGGUGUACCUACGUCCCGUAAAGAUUUUUUUUUUUGCCCUUUUGCUUAUGAGUACAAAAUAAAUAAAUUAAAAUCUACUUACUAAAUCAACUAUGGAGCUUUUGACUUGUGUUAGAACACUGGAAAGAAAGACAAAAAGAGACAUUUUCAUGUUGACUUUGCACGACGCAUAGUACAUCAUGCGUCGCGCAAAGCUGUUUUGAGUGACGUAGUGUACCUGCGUCGUGCAAAGUUGGAAAAAAAACGGUAAAACAUUCUUGGUUUGGCCCCAAAAUCUUGCGCGGCGCACAAAACGUCGUGCAAGUGGUCUUUAUGCGACCAUACUUUGCGCAACGAAGGAGUGCGUCGCGCAAAACAGUUUUGAACGACAUAGAUGUACCUUCGUCGCGCAAAACAAUUUUGUGCGACCCACUCCUUCGUCGCACAAAGACCACUUGUGCGACAUCUUGUGUUUAGCGUUGCACAAAGUAUGUUUGCGCGACGAAAUUUGCUACGUCACGCAAACAUGUUUUUGUACUAGUGAUAACACACACAUUGAAUCUCCACUUGCCCACCCAAAAACUUCUUUGUAAACUAGAAAUAUAUUCCAAUCUCCCUAUUCACAUGAAGAGUGAGUUAGAGUGAUUGGAAAUAUCUUUGAUUACGUGUACGCACACCACAUAUGUGCCAUAUCCAACGGUAUUGCGGACAUAAAGCAAGCAAGUAAUGGUUGUUUGGCUUCUAAUCUGAUGUCACGGUAGUGACGGUACUACUUUGAAAUCUUUGAUGUAUAUGUUUUUAACUACAAACUACUAGAACUUCACAAAUUGCUUAAAUACAAGUUCAAGCAAUAAUAAGAAUAUUUCCAAUAGAACACCUUUCAUAGGGCCGGUCCAGAAAUUUUUGAGGCCCGGGACGACGUAAAAAAAAGUGCCCUAACUUCAUGUAAGAAAAUUAUUUAUUUUCACACGUAAGACAUCGAUAAAAUUAUACUUAGAAAAACACUUCAAACUUAAUAAUUUAAAAACACAUAAAGACUAAUUUAUUUUGUAUUGAGAGAGGGAAACAACAAAACUUCGGGCUUACAAGUAGAUAGAUGAUGAGUUUUGUUUUCCAUCUGAACUUUGAAUGUGUUUUUGAAUAAAUCAUGAGGUGUUUUUUUCUUAUUUACUAAUCUUGUCAAUAUGGGACUAUAAAAAAAUGAUGUUUUCGAGUCUUUAAUUGAUAUGUAUUAUUAAUGAAUUGGCACUAAAUUAAACAUUUUGAUGACAUGUCAUAUAAUUUGCAAAUUUGGUCUACGUAUUAUUCUUUGUUGAAGAUUAGACUUGAAUUAAAACGAAUAUUUAAAAAUAACAACCCACAUAUCUACUAGAUAGUAACUAAAAAUAAAUUAACAACCAAACAAAAAUUUGUAAAAAUUGAAAAGAAUAAACAUGCACAUAGCACUUCAAACAAAAAUCAUUGUUUCUAAGGGGGGUGUAUUCAAUUGAGAAUGUGAAAGAUUUUAAUGGAUUUAUAAAUCCAUGGAUUUUUAUGGAGUUUAAUUGAUUUGUAGAGAUUCCAUAUAAAAUUUUGAUUCAAUUCCUUCGAAAUCUCAUGGGAAGAGGUGAGAUUUGUGGAUACUUAAAAUACACUACGAAAUCUCUCCAAUUCCCUCUAAUUCUUUAACUUUCUCAAAUUCUUUAAAAUCAAUUUCUAAUUGAAUACACUUGGAAUGUUAUAAACUUCUUUAAAAUCUUAAUUGAAUACACCUGGAUUUCUAAGGAUUUUAAUAAACUAUUUUGAAAUUCUAAUUGAAUACACCUAGAAUUUCAGAGAAUCACUUAAAAUCCUAAUUGAAUACCCCUGGAAUUAUUAAUUCCCUGAAACUCUCUCAGAAUCCUAAUUGAAUACACCCCUCUAAGUAGACUUCUUGAUCCUUUUACCAAAUUUUAUAAAUUUAUUCUCUUAUGAAAAGAAAUUUGUAAAAAAUGAAAUGUAAAUAAGCACACAUGGUGUUUUGAACCCAAUACCUCCUCAUUAUUUUCAAAUGACAAACCACCACUUCUAGUUAAAUUUCUAUGUCUUUGAACCAAAUUUUAUAAAUUUAUACUCUUAUAAAAACAUACAUAAAUUGACACACCCCAUCCCGAAGGAGGGCAUGCUGGCCGUCACGUGAGAGUGACGUAACCAUUUGCACAGUACGGAAGCUUUAAGAUACAAUUUAUAAGUUGAUACACCCGAAGGUGAGUCCUAAUUUUGUCCAAUCUGUCAGAACACCGUCGAAUUCCUCGUAGUCACCACACCUUUGUGAUUCUUGAACCUGGAGGGGCGCAAAACCAAAAUUGAGUGGGUCAGUAAAACAAUUCUUUUCCAAAUCCAAACAUUUCUCAAAACGUUGUAACCCCUCUCCGUAAAACCUGUAUACUUUCCCAGAAAUGUAAAAUAUAAAUAUACAUAUAUAUUCUCAAAACUUCAUUUUUACUAUCUCAACAUUUUUCUUUAUCAAUCAUGCCAUGCCAUGUCUAAUUCAACAGUUAAAUAUGGAUGCAUCAACAAUAAUCAUAUCAGGUGCAAGAAAGUAAUCAACCGGAGGCCCUCUAAUAGCCCUGUACGGUUGAACCUAGAGCUCAAAAUCUAUCACUAUCACUCUACCGGAGUCACCUCUGUGACCCGUCCGGCCUUCUGCACACAAGUUAUGCUCUAGUGCUUUCUCAUCAAUCAUCUGUGCACAUAAUCUAAGGUCACCCACCAGUCGGAAUCUCACUAACACUCUCGCGACUGGCCUGUCGUACCCACUCCGCGUGGACUGUACGACUAGCAUCUACUUGGAUCCAAGGCGAGCGUGCGAUGCGGUGAAUACUAUAAGCACUAAACCAUUGGUGCAGGAUUUGAGCUCAAUAUAUAUCAACAUCAUCAUAACAGUAAUUAAAUACUCACCUGAUACUCACCUGUGCGUCCGCCGCACCAUUCAUUCAUAUGCAUCAUAUCUCAAUUCAUACUUUUCAUAUCAUUUCAUGCAUGGCAAUUCGAUUCACAUUUCUAUAUACUUUUCAUAUACUUUUAUGCAUGGCAUUUCAACUAAUAUAUCUCAUAUACUUUUAUACAUUUUCAUUAAAAACAUAAUUUCAUGCAUUUUCAAUUUCUGGGAAACGGCAAGUAUAUAUGUAUACGGAAAACAAAACUGCCCACUCACCUGGAGUUCGCCCUACAACUCCCUAGCACAAUACGCCAAGGCGUCAUGACGAUCGGCGCCUAAAAACAAUAAUUAAUUCCAACCUCAGAAUUCAUAGUGAUAGAAUAUAUAACUUAUAUAAAAUACGUCACUACGUAGUUCGAUCCGGAAGAUCUGCCACUCAGAUUUUAAAUCCAUAACUUCCAGAGGUCCACAAUAUACCUCUAGGACAACUUCCUAAAAUUUCAUUACCAUCCAACGGUCGGAUCUCCGUCAAUUUCCAAAACUAAGUGACGGUUAACAUUUUAUUUUAUGAACUUACAAUUCCAAUUCCGGAAGAUCCGUAACUCGGAUUCCCAAUCCGUAAGUUCCAAUAAUCCUCAAAUAUUACGUAUUACAACGUAUCAAAGUUUGGUAACGAUCCAACGGUCGGAUCGUCAAUUCACAUUUUCACCAAAACUAUAAAACGUUAUUCGAACACCUAACCAACAAUCCUUAAUAACUUUCUCAUACGGUGCUCAAAUUGGGUAUAUGAAUAUACCACGGUGAUCUACUCGACGUCACGGACGUCGACAUAUUUUUAAAAUAAUUUUAUUUAUUUAUUUUUUUUAACUGUAGCACCUUCUUCUUCCUUGGGUCGCCGGACUGGUUUUUCCGGCGGCCGUUUUCCGGGCAGUUUUUCAAAUUGUCAUAACUUUGUCAUUUCUCAACGAAAUCAAGUGAUUCAAAAACGAAAGUUGUAGCCCUUGAAGAGACAAAGAGAAUGGUACCUUGCACAACACCUAGUUCGCCGUGGUUUGGCCGGAAACUGCCUCGAAAGCCUCGGAGGUCGCCGGAAACUGGGUAUUUUUCAAAUGAGUAUAACUUCUUCAAUACUCAACGAAAUUGAGUGAAACAAAAAGGAAAGUUGUAGUACUUGACGAGACGAAGAGAUUGAUACCUACCUCGACUCCUAACUCGCCGGGGAUUCGCCGGAAAAUGCCUCGAAGCUCCGGCCAAACUUUGAACUUGUCGAUCUCCGUGUUCUUACGUCCAAAAACUUCCAACGAAGCACUCCGAGCUUCCUUGGAACCUCACUAAGCUCACUGUGAGCUUGGAUUGUCCUAAAACAAAGUCAAUUCGAAGAUCAUGAACAGUGCACUUUCACGGGGAGUUUAGAAUCUAGGUUUUUCCGAAGUAAAACUUACCUGAAAUUGGUGUCUACGUGAUCGUGGAGUCUCCAGGAGUUCGAUGGUGGUCUUAACUCCGUCGUUGGUAUAGAUUUAGGGUGGUUUUGGAGCUCGUCUGUGUGAGUUUGAAGGAGAGGGAGAGAGACAGAGAAUGAGAGAUUGUGAGGGAGGAGAGAGAGACAGGGUACGGGAAAUAGGGAGGGAUUUGAGGUGUGUGGUCCUACCUAACCCCAAAUCAUAAAAUUCCAUCUCCAAAUAACUUAGAAACAUAUAUUUCACCAAUAUAUGAUUCACAUAUCUUAAUCACGUUUAAGGGAAAUUCCGUCAAUUUACAAUCACGAGUGUAAAACUUUGGGACGGGCUGUGACAUAAAUAUAUCACCCUAAUAAUUUUGGUGCCCCUAAUUUUUCUGGGCCCUGGACGGUCGCCCUGCCUACACUGGGCCUAGGCCGACCCCCUUUCACAAUCCCUGGAGAGCUAGUUCAUUAAUAGACCGAGGAAUAAGUAAAUUGACUCAUUCAUAUAUUUAGAUCAUGAAUGUUUGGAAUCCAUAUUAUGUAAGGAGACAUUGCUUUUGCUAUUAUGAAAUUUAAAAAAAAAAAUGACUAGAUUAGAACUUGCAUAAUCUACGUUUUAUUCAUGGCAUGCGAUUAUUAAUGAUUAAAGCUAAGCUUAAUACUAUGGGAGGUAAAGUAGUGGAAAGCAAAUCCUUGGCACUCAUGGCACUUAUGGAGAAGAUGAAGAAAAGAAACCUAGGUCGUAUUUAUAUACAAACAUGUGACUAAAUUACAGAAAUGAUAACGAGAGAGCAUGUGAUUGUUGACAACCAGUGACAUGAGAAACACACUCUGGGAUCAUAUCCAUCAGAAGCCCAAUUCCAUCCUGUGUAAGAAAGAGAGCAUGAGAACACGAACAUGAAAAAUGAAAGAAUUGUAUUCAGCAUUUUGUCAAGCUAUCAAUUGGUACACAAGCAUUAUGAUGUAAUAAUCAUGUUAAAAUAAAAUAUAAAUAGUAAAACUACACGUCCAAGCUUUAAUCCAAAGAAUUCUCACUUAGUAGUCCAAAGCUAAUUGAUUACCAUUCGGUUGAUCCAGAAACACUCAACCUAUCCAACUAUUUUGCGACGUUACCAAAAACUACUACUACUUUCCAGGUGAAACAUGAAGGGUGAAAAAGCAAACAUGAAUCACUAGAUUUACUACAAAUGAUAUACCGAACAAUCUAACAGUAAAUAUCAACAAGACCAAUCCAACGUUAUCACAAAGCAUAUAUCAAUAAGAAAAAUAUAAAAAUAUUGUUACCUUACUGAAAGCUCCAAUAUUCGGUAAGGUAACAUUGGAGGUCACUAUCAUCUUUCCCGCGAUCAGUGAAUAAAAGCCAAAGAUCUGACUCUUGGAUUCGAGUCAUGGGUUUGGGUCGCAAUUCUCUCGUCGCAUGUUUGAAUACCAAGUUCAUCUUAACAGACUUGGUUUUUUUUAUCAAACAUCUUAACAUAUUUAGGGGUGUGUUCAAUUGGGGAUUUAAGAGAUUUUAAUAGAUUUAUAAAUUUAUAGAUUUAUAUGGAGUUUAAUUGAUUUGUAGAGAUUUCAUGUAAAAUUUUGAUUCAAUUCCCUCGAAAUCUCAUAAGGAGAUGUGAGACUUGAGGAUGUUUAAAAUACACUACGAAAUCUCUCCAAUUGAAUUCCUCAACUUUUUCAAAUUCUUUAAAAUUAAUUUCUAAUUAAAUUCAAUUGAAUGUUGUAAAAUUCUUUAAAAUCGUAAUUGAAUGCAUCCAGAUUUCUAAAUAUUUUAAUAAACUAUCUUAAAAUUCUUAUUUAAUACAUUGAAUUUUAGACAAUUACUUAAAAUUCUUAUUGAAUACCUUUAGAUUCAUUAAAAAAUUUAAAAUUUUUCAAAAUCCCAUUUGAAUACAUCACCCUUAAUAAAUUGUACAUUACAUUAUAUCCCAUUUGAGCACAUUAGCUUAUGCCUCCGGAUUCUGCAUAUCGGGUCGGGUUCCGAAGUUCGAGCUCACAUUUGAUAAUCAAAUUCAUCACAUUUGAUCCAACGGUGGUAAUUGGCAAACCCACCUCGGAGUCAAAAGAUGCGGCCCACGCUCCCUCUCUUUUCCAAAACCCUAGCAAAACCUCGGCCCUAUAAAUACCUUCCACAUCCGCCGCAGGAGGCACCCAAAUGCCCCUUUCUCUUCCCUUUCACACACUAAUCCCUCGCAGAGGCGAUGGGAUUCCCAGUUGCUUCUCCGUCGGAGAAACCUUUCCAACUGCUCCAUCUCUUUGCACCAUCGCCUCUGUUUCUUUUUUAUUUAUUUACUUAAUUAUUUGAGCAAUUUCCUUUAUCCUUGCCAUUCAUAUUUCAGAUUUUCAGCUUGUUUUUUUUUAUCCGAAAAAUAAAAUCGAAGUUGUAUGAGUUUUUUGCAAUUUUGUUGGGUGAGGCCGGUGAUGAUCGAAACAUAUUUUGCCUACAUUGCUUGAUUAUCUUAUUUUAUUGAGAUAAUGAUAAAAUCCGAUGUAUCUGAGGCCUUCCCGGAAGAACGAGCUUUAUUUUAUUUUUUAUUUUUUGGGUAAAAUGUAUUAUUUCAAAUCUUAAUAUUUCAAAAAACUGAAUUUUUAAAUUUCGACUAAAAUGAUGAGUUUUGUUGAUAUUUGCGAUAUAUCACUUAAAUAGUGAAGAAAUUCUUAAUUUCGUCUUAUUAAAUAUGUCAGAUUUUGUUUGAUAUUUUCUCGAUGUCAGAAGUCGAACUUAGAACUCUUAACCAUAAGAAUUGAAUUGAGCUACACUGGAUGCGUUGGAGAAAAUAUUAAUAACUGAAGGAGGAUUUAUGUUAUAACAAAAAUAAAAUAAAAAUGGUAUUCCGGUGCCAGGAUUCGAACCUGGAUGAAAACUCUUAACCAAUAAGACUUUUUGUGGUGAGCUUCACCGGACGACUUGAUAAAUCAUGGCGAAAUAAACUAUUUAAAUGUACUCCUUACGUUGUGCCGUAGAUAAACAAUUAGUGCACAUAAUGUAGUUAUCUGAUUUGUGGGGAAUGGUGAUGCUCACCGCUUAAUGUCGUCGUUGGAUCAGUUUAAGUUUUGAGAUCUGUGAAAUGAAUAAAUACAAAUUUAAAAAUUUAAAUUUAUUUAAUAAUAAUAAGUAUGGUAAUGAGAAAAAAAUGCAUCUUAUGGUUCAGAAACACACUCUCAAAUUUAAAUAACAAUUUUCAUGCUUUCCAACAACACAAAAAUUUUAUAACUAAGAAUCAAUCAAAACAUAAUGAUUGAAUGAGCGAGGAUUUCUUUUAUUUUUUCCAAAUUUUCUGAAGGUUUUUUCUAUAAAAUUUAUGGUGUCAUGAUUGCCUUAAAAGAAUCGUAAAUGUGUUCCUUGAAAAAUAAUAUGAAACCGUAUUUUGAGUUCUUAUGUUUAUUGUUUUAAUUCGAUCUAUCGUUUGAAGCCGCCUCCACCAAAAUAAAUUCAUAUCUAUAUUUUUUCUAUAACGAGUGAUUAAUAAAUCCAACCGUUUUUCAGCACCACAAAAUAAGUUACAACCCGAACACUAACGAGCGAUUAAUGGGUCCAACCGUUUUGCCACAUAUAUAUUUUCUUUUUAUCAAAACAUGCAAAUAUCUUCUUUACCAACUUGAAUCUCCCAUCGUUUGUUUUCUCUUCAUCCACAGAUUUGAUCUGUCUUUUUUGGUGAUCAAACCAAAAUUUUCUUGGACAUGAUUGUACAUACAACCAUUAAUAAACUAUCUCCAACAAAAGCCUAAACAUAGCCUCGUCCAAAAUUAUAGUCUUGCAAAAAAAUAUUUUUUUAAUAAACGAUGUCAAACUAUACUCAUGUACUAUCUUUAACCUGUAUGAAACCUUAAAAUGUAGUGAGCUUCAUCAGUUCAUGUUUAGUGCAAUUAUAUAGAACAAAAUGGUUGUAUUUCAUUUAGGAUUAGGACUUAUAUGUGUGACUUGUAAGGGAUUUAGAGCCACAAAGGAGGGAAACUUGAAGUUACAAUUAUUUGAAUUUGGCGACAGUUAAUCGAAGGAAAUUGCUUGUAACUGCAUCCUUGAUGGGAGGAUGAGUUGCGGAACGUACAUAUAUAUAUAUAUAUAUAUAUAUAUAUAUAUAUCACUUUGAUCUCUCUUCUUAGGUGUGUGUGAUCCCUCACGUAGAAAUAGUCCCAUUGAGUGUUCUUGGAUCAAUUUUGUGACCAAAGGAAGAGAAGAUAUCACAUCCUGGCCCGGGACGGACCACUUCCCGGGCCCACUCCACCACCGUAGCACGAUAUUGUCCGCUUUAGGCCCCGAUUAAGCCUUCACGGUUUUGUUUCUGGAAACUCACGAGCAACUUCUUAGUGGAUCACCCAUCAUGGGAGUGCUCUGCCCACCUUCUCACUUAACUUCGGAGUUCAGACAAAACCCGAAGCCAAUGAUCUCCCAAAAUGGCUCGUGCUAGCUAGGGAUGAGAAUAUACAUUUAAGGAUCACUCCCUUGGACGAUAUGGGAUGUUACAGAAGACAAAUGAUCAAACUUGUUGUCAAUGUCUUCUUCUACAAGUAAGUAAAUUCUCAUUACUUGUUAUAAUCGCUGCAUGCAUAAUGACACAAUAAAUGCAACAAUUAUCAUUCAAUGUUAAGAUUUCUGAACUAGGAUCAUGGUUUAAUUGUUAAUGAUAUAUAUAUCCAAGCAUAACCGAAAUAGCUAAACAUAGCCCCAUAAUAAUUUAUUAUUUUAAACCUUAUACUUUAAAUUAAUUAAUUAAUUUAAUUUAAUUAUCAUUGUAUGUUUUCAAAUUUAGCCGUUUAAUUUGAAUUAAUUGUUGCAACUGAGGAGCUGGAUCCCCAAAAAGGGCUAAGAGGGGUUCUAUAUUUGACCAACUUGAUACCCCUUAGGCUAAUAAUCAUCUGGUGGGCUCCAUAAAAUUAUAGUCUAGUCAUCGGUUGGAAAUAAAUUUUUAGAUAAAUCAAGGUCAUUUUUAGUUUUUAAACCUUUAGUCAUCUCAAUUGAAAAUGACCUUAUGUCUUUAUACGAUGUGCCUCCUAUUUCCAGCUUCAACUCCAACUGAAGGAUGUAAACGUAAUUAUCAUCUAUAGAGAUUCAUCAGAAUUUGAGGGGUUAGAUGACCCCUACUUGCCUCUUAAUGGAUUGGCCUAGGGGUGGGCAAACGGGUAUAGGAACCGCGGGUCGGGGCGGGUACGGACCGGUUCUUAUUUUGUAAAAAUAAAAAUGAGGCGAGGUAGGGCGGGCUUUUGAAAUUUUCGGUUCGGGCUGGUUCCUGAAGUAUGGUAGCGUUUGGUACGUGGGACGGGACGGGACGGAACGGGACGAGCCGUUCCGUCCCACGUUUAGUGCGCCUAAAAACUGUGGAACAGGUUGUUCCAUGGGACAAAAUUUGGCUGAUUUUUCGUUCCACCUCUUCCCCCUGGAACGACCCGUUCCACAUCUGUGGAACACAAAUUUAUAACAUUUUAUGACAAAAUUUCUCCUUAUCUUUUUCAAUAUUUACAUCAUCUGUUCCGUCCUGUUCCAUCUCGUCCCGUCCAGUCCUGUUCCGUCCCGUUCUGUCCCAUCUGCGUACCAAACGGUACCUAUAGGAACCGCGGUUACCCGGACCUGCCCGUUUGUAGUUAGAAUGGACGUAUAAGAUUGAAGAGAUCAUCUCUCCAUCCAAUCUGAAUCGUUGGUUUUAGGUUUGCUCAUCCUCAAACUUAUCGAAUUCAACUGUCACUCUUACUCUGUUGAUCGAGUCUCUCUCGCCGUCUCCAGUGCGUCGUCUCCUUCCCUCCACCACCCCGACAACACGACGGCCCAGACGACCACCAUCUUCUCGAUUUGUCACCUCUCUCUCACCUCUCUCUCGCCAUCUCGAUUUGACAUCCCAAGGACCCAGACUUACAUAACCCAGCCACCCCACCACCCAUCUUCUCGAUUUGUCACCUCUCAUUUGCCGUCUCGAGUGUGUCUUCCCCUCCUUCACCGAGGAGGACGAGAUUCAAAUCCUGCUGGUUUACUCCAAGGAGAUUAACAAGCGCAUGCUCGACACCGUCAAGUCCAGGAACGCCAUUGCUUCCGCUGCUCAAAACGGCGCCAUGGAGUCCGAGACUGUGAGCUCUGCGGUGGAAUGUACCGCUGUUGCCGCCAAUGAAGAUGCUAAGGCUGAAGAGCACAGAUCUCUCCAUGUGUGUUAGGUCACUCUUAGCUUCAUAUUAGCCUAUUAGAGCUUUCAUAUCGAGAUCUGUUCAUAUUUAUCAUGGAUUUCUUGUGAUGCCUAUAUACCUAAUGACCUGUUAAAUAUUUAAACUUUGUUAAUUUCGCUAUGCGCUUCAAUUUUCUGUGGAUUAUAUUAUCUGGGUUUCUGUUGUGAGUAUUGAUCUACUGAGUCUUGAUCUGCUUUGUUCAGAGAUGUUUAUGUUGAAGAUUUUAUAAGGAAGUGGGUGCAUUUGGAAUUGGAAAAUUAUCGAAAUCUUUCCUCUUGCAUUAUUUAGGUUUCCUAUUGCAUAAUCUGCUGCAUUAGUGAAUCUGUGCAAAUUCCAAUUUUUUUUUUUCUAAACAAAAAGAAAACCAAGAACCCGUGGACCCGGCCUGAACCGGCCCAUUUCAACCAGGCCGAGUAAGGUCCAAUUCCUAUAUAAGAAAAUGUAAUCCCCAACUCGGUCCGGCCCAUCUCCUUUGCACCUGGAUCCACCAGUGGCCAUAUGCUAUUGCCCUUUUAUUUUCUUUUUUCUCCUGCCAUGGGCGCAGUCAUGGGUAAGUAGGUAAGUUUGAUUACGCAAUUAAUUGGGCACUCUAGGAGACGCGUAGUGUUAGUGCAGGCUCAAAAGUCAAAAGGUUAAUGAGGAGUGUGGAUGGAAAGCCUGCCCUAAAUACGUUUGUAUUCCUUUGCUGAGUUACUGUACUCUGCCCUUUUCUCCUCUCUUCCUGGAAAAUUCACUCUAUUGAUCUCUGGCCGUGUUUUGCGUGGCAUGAAACAAAACGGUCAAGUAGUGUAUAACAAUUUCAAAAAAAAAGGUCAAAUAGUGUAUAACAAUUUAUCAUAUAGAAAGUUGAUGGUGCUGCAGAUGAUUAAUGAGAGUUUUAACGAAAAACUCACAGCACUGUUUACUUUAACGAAAAGCCACAUUUUUACAUUAAAAAGUCAAACCUAGUACUAUUCAUUUUAUCCUUUAUUUUGUCUUUAACAUUAAAACUCAAAGUUUUCAAACAUUUUUCAUUAGUUUUCCUAUGAUUAAUUGGUGUCCGUAGAAAUUACAUGAUAUCACUCAGACUUUAUCCAACAUAUUAGGCCAUCUCCAACAAAAGUCUAAACAUAGCCCCAUCUAAAAUUAUAUUCUUGUAAAAAAUUAUCUUUUAAUGAAUGAUGUUAGACCAUACUCAUAUAUCAUCUUUAACCGAAAUGGUUAAACACGGCCACUUAAUAAUUUAUUAUUUUAAACCUUAUACUUUAAAUUUAUUGGUUAAUUUAAUUAAACUACCAUUGCAUGUUUUCAAAUUUAGUUGUUUAAUUUGAAUCAAUUAUUGCAACUGAGGAGCUAGAUCCCCAAAAAGGGCUAAGAGAGGGUCUAUAUUUGGUAAGCCUGAUACACUUUUGGCCAAUAAUCGUCUAGUGGGCUCCACAGAAUUAUAAUCUAGUCAUCGGUUGGAGAUGAAUUUUUGAAUAAAUCAGGUAAUUUUUAGUUUUUAAUCCUUUAGUCCUCUUAGUUGAAGAUGACCUUAUGUCUUGCUUUAUAUGAUGUGCCUCCUAUUCCCAGCUUCAACUCCAACUGAAAGAUGUAAACGUAAUUGUCAGCAAAGAGUUAGAAACAUACCCGAAUCCACGUUUUAUAAGCAGAAACUACACUUAUUUGACAUGUUUCCUCAUUUUUUUUACUUGCAAAUUCAAAACCGUCUUGUCGGACCAGUAUAACAAAAUAAUGUUUACGAACAACUGUUAAAACUAAUCACAACAAGUUAAUGCAUAAAGAACUUACGGAUACGGAGGGUGCUAUGAGGCCACCGAAAAGGGUAAACCCCGCAAUAAAUGAAUUCACCUUGUGAUUAAUACUUUGCACAACUUUUUAUGAACCGACAAAAGGCUACAACAAAUUAUGGCUAAAACAGGUCGGGGAUAUGAAAAUAAAUGUCUUCACAGGGUCAGCAGCUUACCAGGGGAGGCAAAAAUGGAAUGAAUGAUGGAAAACUUGAUCUUCAUUUACCGCUCCAAGCUCUGCGCGUUUAAUCCGCUGUUGUAUCCUCAGCCUGCGAACCUACGCAUAUCGAAGCUCAUUCUUAAAGAACACAUUUCUAAUGGCAAUUGGAGAGUAAUUUAAAACAUGCUAAACUGAGAAAGUGGUAGCAACAAGCAAUUGCUCUCACCUCCUCCAUAUGCAAGAAAAUUUUGUUGCGACGACUCCGAAUAUUAUCUUGAAUUUCCUGCAGCUCCAUUGUCGCAAGGUCCUGCACUGUUUCAGGCCCCUCUAUGAUACAAAAUCUGCACAAUUAAGCAUGUAAAAACAAAAAUUUACAGGCUACAAAGCAAUUUCCAUAAUUUUUGGGUUAAUUAACAUCAACAGCAGAUAAAUCACAUGGGUUUUUCACAUAAAGUUACAAACUUUCAAAGACCAGUAAGCUGUCUGCAAUCUCAUAAAUUUCACAGUGCAAAGUAACAAUCCAAAGCUUGGAAAAUUUUCAUUUUCUGUUAAUUUCCUAGAGAGAGAGAGGGGGGAGUACCCGGCGGGGUUUGUAUCGGCGGCGGGAUUGGGAUCAGAAUCGACAGACGGAGCGAAAGAGGAGGAGUCGGGCUCCGAAGCCAUGGCCAGGGAUCACCAUCUGGAGCUGCUUGUUGAUAUGGGGCUUCUUGGGUAGCUGAAUUUGGAGCAGCCGGAGCUACGCAGUUUGUACGGACAGCACCGAUUUACGGGGAAAGAAACGGCAAAAAGUCUGCCGGAGCAGAGCAUCUCUCUCUCUCAAACCAGAAGGCAGAGCUUUCUGUUUCUCUACAGGUUUCUUUCACUGGUAAAUUCCGGAGAAGCAGAGAAGAAGGGUCAAAGGGCCAUGUAUAGUUUUAUAGUCAUACAAAAAAUUAUAUUUUAAUAAAAAAUGUAAGGCCAUAUUUUAUUAGGAAAAUUAAUGAAAAGGCUUGAAAACUUUGAGUUUUAAUGAUAAGGACAAAAUAAAGGGUAAAGUGAAUAGUACCAUGAUUGACUUUUUAGUGUAAAAAUGUGGUUUUUGGUUAAAGUAAACAGUACCAGGUGCUUUUCGUUAAAGUUCCCUAUUUUAUUCCAUAUCCAACUUAGUGGGCCAAUGGACCGUAGGCCAAACAUAGUCAUUUGACAAAAAUCUUAUCUCUAACCGAGAGAGCUAAAGGACCGUAGGCCGAAUAUAACUCCUUAAUAAUUUACUUUUAACGAGUGACUCAAUUAACUAUUUUCAUUUCUUACACGUUCAAAAUUAGACAAAUUCUUUGCAUACAUAAAAAAAAUAUAUAUAUAUUAAGGAGAGAGUAUUAAACUAUUACAUUACGGGUUUCGAACUCGCGAGAACCCUAAUGCCUCUCCACUAGGAUAUUAGACCAGUAAAUUAAAAAGAAAUAUUUAUAGAGGGCUGGAACCAGUCGAAGCUGGGGGGCUAGGCCCUCACGCCCAUAUUAUAUUACUUGAAAAAAAAACAUACAACAAGGAGGACAUAGUACUGAAACCCUGACAAUCAAAAGCAAAAUCAUAUACGACCACUCCAAGCAGUCAACAUAACCAUCACAUAUUGAAUCCAAAAGGUUGACGACCCAUUCGCUGCAUAUAAUGUACAGAAGAUAACAAAUUUUGAAGUGAUGCUCCAAGUAUGAUAUUGGGCAGAAAAGAGCGGCGGCUUCAACCACUUCUUCAGCUAUAUCCGGCUGGGUGAGAGCAGCUAAAGACAUGAUUGUUCCCUAAGAACAUGAAUACAUUGAGUAAACACCAAAAGUAACUGCUAGGGAAGGAGAUUUGAAGUAGAUUAAGAGGUUUAAUACCUGUGAAUGUCCAACAACAAAGACGUUGGAGCUUGUUGAAUACAUGCAGCGCAUCAUUUCUGAUAGAUCAAAUCGAGCCAAUUCCUGCCAACUCCAAUCCCAAAAAUCCUACAGUAAAGCAUAAAUCUUGUUCUUUUCUGAUAAAGAUGUGUCCCUGACUCCAACGUGUUUGACGCACAUUUUCUACCCAUACAUCGAAACCUUCAUCUGCUGGAGAAUUUAAGAAUCAUGCAUCACCUGGUUAAGAUCAAGAAAAGCCAGUAACCAAUUUCAAUUGAGUUUGAAGCACAUUAGAGCCCAAUUUAAAAUGUAUCCGAUGGAUGUUCAUCACUUCACACAAUAGUUAGUUUCAAGAAAGGAAAUUUCAACGCAACCUGAAAACUUCAGAUCAGGGGGCACCAAAUAGUGAGCUAUACAUUCAAAUUUUGAAAUAAUCAACGCACAAUAUGUUGAAAAAAGUUGGAAGGAGCUAUGAAAGUAAGGCUUUUCACUAAUCAGGCGUCCAGAGAAUCAAUAUUUUUACUCACGGAUCAGUUAGGGCGAACACUCCCCACCAAAGCAAUCUCAUUAGUACUUCACAUCUCAAACCAAACAGAAAUUGCAGUAACAAACAUGACAUCUAUUAGUCCUUCACAUCUCAAAUCCAGUAAGUACCCAUCUUUCGUCAGAAUCUGGAAAACAAGCAGCAGUGGAUUUAACAAUCUGGGUAUCUCAAAGUUACUCACUUUAAUCACAACAUAUAAAUGGGCAUUUUCUAGUGAAAUGUUAGUGUAGUACUCACUGUGUUGCUCCGAGCAAGAGUACCCAGAAAGCUCGAUGAGCUGAGCACAGAGGGACUGCAGUGGUGAAACGGCGACCGAUUCUGUAAAAUUCAGUCCGGUUUUGGGUGAUUUCUGAGGCUGAUAAGGAAAGCUGGGACGGAAGGGCACAAGUCUGGAAGAAAGGCUCUGGUCACCAUUGUCGCGAUUCGUGGAGGAAGAAGUGCCCCAAAACAAUUUCAGUCCUGAACAGGUGCACCGUUUGCACUGGGCCAGGGCCGACCCUGAAUCGCUAUAGCGUCCUUCUCCAAACAGUAUAUAUACAGAUGCUAGAAAUAUCUACCAGAACCAUUCAAAUCUAGCAUCUACAGCUUUAGCAUUUAGUUGGUACAAGGUACACUCUUCCGAAGGGAGAUGAAAUCAUUGAGGCUCUUAUAUAUUCCUCCUCUUGAUGUGCCCCUGUAGACUGCUAAUUCCAGACGAUCCAAUCUCAUACAUGUUCCCUGCAAAAGCAUGCGUGCCAGACUUCAAGAUCAAACUCGUUAGCGGAAUAAAUGGUGCACAAAGGGAUUUAAAAUCUUGACAUAUGUGUAUUUUUGGCAGAUUUUAUGCGAGCAUGCAACUAAAACUGGCAUCACUAUCAAUGGUGCACAAAGAUCGGCAGAAAAAACGUAAAGAGAAGCAAUCACAACGCAAAAUGUACGAAGUAAUCUGUCCACGUAUUGGGAAAACAUUAACACUGGAUGAGGGGAAUAAACAUGGAAUUUUGAUAAAAGUCAGAAUUUAUAAAUUGACAUGCAGUAAUUUUCUUGUUUGGAUUUAUAAACAUAUAAAUUUAGAAUUUCCGCGUGGGAAAAACAAAACUUGGAACUUAUGACCUCCAAUUCUCAAGUUUAAAUUUCAUGUAAAUAUGUGUCAUUUCUAAAUUUCCAUGAGAGAGUUUAAAGAUAACAAAUACUGUUAUUUCAAUUUCUAUCAUUUUAAAAUUUCUUAGUAAUCUUAAAUUUCCUCUUCCAAACAGAGUGUAACAGUUUGUAACUUCUCCAUUGUAUUUGUUCAACUAUGCAAUUUUCUGUAAAACUUAAAAGGCUGCUUAGCAUCUCUUGUUCGUUGUAUUGAAUACCAUGGUUUUACCGAUGAAUGCAAAGUUUGCUGAUGAUUCAUACGACAAGCAAUUGAAAAUCCCAUUAUUAUGCCCCACAUCAUUUACACAAAUUCAGAGGGCUCAUCCACUGUAAUUUGCAGGUACAGAAAUGUUAUGAUUAAAGGAAAUGCAAACUACCUUUCACCCAGAUUGGAGGAGCACCGGUGGCAUUAGCAAGUGAGCAACAGGAAUUGACAUACCAAUAUCUUCACAGUUUCCGCACAAGCACAAAUCAAAAGAAUCCGGCGGCGGAGUUAUGUACCUCUUCUUGGAAAAAGACACCUCUUGGGAUUUCAUAAAAUCCGGCUGUGCCUAGACGUCUGACCACGCCAAUUCCACCAAAGCUGCUGCAACGCGGCGUAGUGUCCGAUUGAUUGCUUCAAAACAGAGCUUCGUAUCCAUGUGUUUAUAAGCACAGAGUACCCAAAACCCCAGAAAAUUAUUUCUUUAUUCAGAUAAUAAAAUUUCGCAAAUUUCGAAUUUUAAUUCCGAACCAAAAAUAGGGUUUGAAUUUUGAUUACCUAGAAAUUGGGGGUUGGGGUGGAGAGGGACUGAGGCCAAGACGCAGCUAUGUGUCCGUGAUCAGGUGUGCCAAUUUACAGAGGGUGUCGGGAAGAUGCACAAGGCUUUUGCAGUUUCUCAGAUUUAAAUACUGAAGCCCCGUAAGGCGUUCAAUCCAGGGGGAAAGCUCUUUGAUAGAUGUUCCAUCCAAGAAAAGCGCUCUUAAUCCUUCCAUAUUUUCUUCAAUGCUUGGAAACACCUCAAACUUUGUACAACCGGAAAGAGAGAGAUAGACCAGGGACUUGAGCUGACAAAUGCUGCUUGGAAGACCCUUAAGUUCCUUGCAAUCAUCUAGCUUUAAAUAACUCAAUCCCGUGAGAUUAUUAAUUGACGAGGGCAGUUCUUUAAUUUUUGACCCGGAAAAAUAAAGAACUUUUAACCCCUCAAUCACUUCUGAAAUCUCUGGAAACAUCUCUAGACUCGAGCAACCAGAAAGAUUAAGAGUUUUGAGAGAUUUCAUACGAAUGCUGCUUGGAAGACACUUAAGUUCCUUGCAAUCAUCUAGGAGCAAAUGACUCAACCCCGUGAGGUUAUUAAUUGACAGGGGUAGUUCUUUAAUUUUUGACCCGGAUAACUCAAGCUCUUCUAACCCCUCAAUCACUUCUGAAAUCUCUGGAAACAUCUCUAGACUCGAGCAUCCAGAAAGAUUAACGGCUUUGAGAGAUUUCACAAGAAUGCUGCUUGAAAGACACUUAAGUUCCUCGCAAUGAUCCAAGCUUAAAUAACUCAACCCAGUGAGAUUAUUAAUUGACGAGGGCAAUUCUUUAAUUUUUGACCCGGAUAAAUCAAGAAAUUCUAACCCCUCGAUCACUUCUGAAAUCUCUGGAAACAUCUCUAGACUCGAGCAACCAGAAAGAUUAAGCACUUUGAGAGAUUUCAUACGAAUGCUGCUUGGAAGACACUUAAGUUCCUUGCAAUCAUCUAGGUGCAAAUGACUCAACCCCGUGAGGUUAUUAAUUGACGGGGGUAGUUCUUUAAUUUUUGACCCGGAUAACUCAAGCUCUUCUAACCCCUCAAUCACUUCUGAAAUCUCUGGAAACAUCUCUAGACUCGAGCAGCCAGAAAGAUUAAGGGUUGUGAGAGAUUUCAUACGAAUGCUGCUUGGAAGACACUUAAGUUCCUCGCAAUUAUCUAGGCUUAAAUAACUCAAACCACUGAGAUUAUUAAUUGAUGGGGGCAAUUCUUUAAUUUUUGACCCGGAUAAAUCAAGAACUUCUAACCCCUCAAUCACUUCUGAAAUCUCUGGAAACUUCUCAAGACUCAGGCAGCCAGAAAGAAAGGAAUUUAAGAGAUUUCAUACGAAUGCUACUUGGAAGACACUUAAGUUCCUUGCAAUCAUCUAGGAUCAAACGACUCAACCCCGUGAGGUUAUUAAUUGACGAUGGCAGUUCUUUAAUUUUUGACCUAGAUAAAUCAAGCUGUUCUAACCCCUCAAUCACUUGUAAAAUCUCUGGAAACAUCUCAAGACUCCAGCAGCCAGAAAGAUUAAAGGUUUUGAGAGAUUUGAUACGAAUGUUGCUUGGAAGACUCUUAAGUUCCUUGCAAUUUUCUAGGUUCAAAUGACUCAACCCCGUGAGAUUAUUAAUUGACGAGGACAGUUCUUUAAUUUUUGACUUGGAUAAAUCAAGCUCUUCUAACUCCUCCAUACCUUCUAAAAUCUCUGGAAACAUCUCAAGACUGGAGCAGCCAGAAAGAUUAAAGGUUUUGAGAGAUUUCAUACGAAUGCUGCUGGGUAGAAUCUUAAGUUUCUCGCACCCUUUCAGAUUCAAUAAAACAAGGUUUCUAAGAGUCCUAAUAGACUGGUGAACCUCAACUAAGCUUCUACAACCUUGAAGAAUUAGCCUCUCAAGAUUUGGCACAUUUGUGAAGUCAGGGGUUUCCUCAAGGUAUUGACAAUAACUUAAAUUGAUGACUUCCAACUUUUCCAGCGUCUGUUAAAACAUUUAGGAAAGCAUGCAUUACUUAAUAAGACAUCUCACUCAAAACCCAAACAUUUAAAAGAAACAAAUACAUGUAAAUGAUUGUACAUACCUGGGUUCCUUCCCAAAGUCGGUCAAUGAGACUAAAUUGCAUGUCAAGUUCAACAAGAUUUUUGAAUUGAAAGUUGGAUAGCAAAGACUUGAGAGGGAAUCCAAACCAGGAGAGAUACCUCAAGUUAAGUAACUUAAAGGGCCCAAUCAAGUGGUGUUUGCAGUAAUCAUGUUUAGAAAUGGAGUCCUUAUGACUGAUCUUGAUAAGUCUUAGUUGAUUCAUGCUAACAAAAGCUUCAGCAUUUAAGCAUACCCAGUCUGAGUACGAGAAAUCCACGAUUAUGCUUUCAACUGAUUUUGUAGCCUGUGUAAAUCAAAGUAAGGGAAAAUACAGAGAACCUUAGUUUAGAUUAUGAAACUAAUACUUGUUUCUUAAGGAGCCGUUUGAUAAUCAUUUUGUUUUUAGUUUAAUUGUUUUCAAUUUUCAAUUAUUAAAACAAUAAACACUAAAGGUUGUACCCAGUGCACAAGGCUCCCGCUUUACGCAGGGUCUGGGAGAGAUGAAUGUUGGCUAGCCUUACCCCCAUUUAUGGAGAGGCUGCUUCCAAGUCUCGAACCCGAGACCUACCGCUCAUGGGCGAAGGCACUUGUCAUCACACCAAGUGCGACCUCUUAUUAAAACAAUAAACACUAAAAAUUAAAAAUUAAAAACAAAAAUACUUAUCAAACGGACCUAAGAAAUUGAUUUUGAUCAAAAGUUGAAACUUUUUAUUGACAAUAAGAAAAAGAUUUCUCACCGUAUUUUGAGAUAGCACGUGAUGAACAUCUUCAUAACUACACAACCUACUUCGUCUCCCAGGCUCUUUGAUACAUUCUUGGCGGACGAUUUCCCGACCCAUUUCCUCUAAUGAAUCAUGCAUCUCCAGUUCCCCCUCCCCUGAGACAGUUAUGAGAGCUCGAUCGAUUAGAACUCUUAUUCCAGUAUAAGGAUGGAAACCACAAACUUCCAGAAUUCGGGUUGCACAGUCUUUCUUCAUCCCUUUAAAGAAACAUGCAAUGUCCAGAAAGAUGUCCUUCUCCUUGUCAUCUAGUCCAUCGAAGCUUGAUUUAAGCACAUCAUGAAUUCCCCUUCGUGGGAUUUUCCUUAUUUUUUCUAACUCAUCUUCCCACUCGCGUAUAGUUUUGUUACCAAGAAAAGCUCCCAAGACUUUGUGUGCUAAAGGCAGGCCUUGAGCAUAUUCUACGACAUGAUUCGAGAGAUCAUCAUAAUCUCUGGUAGGUUGGUUUUUUCUGAAGGCGUGCCGCCUAAAGAGUUUCAGAGCUCCAGAAUCACUCAAAAUCUUGGGAUUAUAUAUCACAUCAGCUAUGCUUAGUAAUUGCGAAUCUCUAGUUGUUAUAAUAAUUCUGCUUCCACAACCAAAGGAAUGUGGCUCUUCAAGUAAAGCUUCAAUUUGUUCUAAUUCGUCCACAUCAUCAACAACAAUAAGAACUUUUCUCUGACCAAGGCUUUUUAACAUCACCUGAAAACCAUUUUUUGAUAUGUCAGAACUCCCCACCUUGUUGUUCGAGAUAUUCGAUAGAAGUUGUGCCUGCAUAUGUAGUUUGCCAUGCUUCAUGAAACCUUCCUUGAAAUUUUCAAGAAAGCAACAAGCUUCAAAUCGAUUAGCGAUUUUAUCAUAAACAGCUCUAGCGAUGGUUGUUUUGCCUAAACCACCCAUACCCCAUAUUCCAACAACGCGAACAUUAUUCGUUUCACCUCCGGGAGGAUAUAAUAAUAAAUGCAUUUCAUGCAUGUGAGAAUCCAUGUCAACCAAGCCAUUAUCUUUGCUUGAUGUUGAUGAGAUGUCGAUCAAUUUCCUAUAAACAUCUUCUACAAUUUCCUCAAUAAGCACCGCAUCAUUUCUGUCAAAUUUAAAAAACAAUAUAAUAACACCACCAAAUGAUAAUUAAUGGGUCUUUUUCAUCUGUUAGUUUUCAAAAAAAUAGAAAUUAAAACUAAAAACUAAAUAUUUAUCAAAUUACCCCUAAACGUUACAAAAAUCCCAAAAAUUACUAGGAAACUAAAACAAAUUAGAAUUUACUCAUAGUUUCGCGAAUCCCAGCCGGCUAAACUGGUGGCAGUUGUAAGAGCGGAUCUCCAGCUCCGAACCUCCUCUAUUUCGGCGUUAGAAUCGAUAUCGUGCUGAGCAAAAGCUUCCGCGAAACUUUUCUUGAGUUUACGAACAUCAGACGGAUCAACUUCAUAGAAAAUGGGGAGUACAAUCUGGUUAUUGGUACCUUGCAUUCCAGGAUUUGCACGAGUUCCUUCAAGCACCAAGUGGAAGAAGCAUAGUUUUGAGAGAAAACUACAAUCGAAAGCCUCGACUCUUGAAUCGCUGUCAGGAGCUCGGAAAGGUGGUCGCCUUUUCUGAACUUUUCGGCAUCAAUGAAGGCGUUGAUUGGUUUCUUAGCCAGAGCGUUGUAGAGAUGGCUGACGAAGCCCCUGCGAGUGUCUUCCCCUCUGAAAUUGAUGAACACAUCGUAUUUCCAACCAAAGCCAGAAGAAGAAAAAGAAGAAGAAGAAGAAGCAACCAUUUAUCGAUCGCACCUGGUCACCGAUGAUCGAGCAGUUAUGACUAAGAGAAUUGUAAGUACAUAAAUACUCAAUGAGUCAAUGCAAAAGGGAAAAAGCGAAAAGGAAAUGGUUGUGAUAUCCAUACUUUAUUUUACUUUUUUAUACAUUUUUGAUAAUUUAUUUUUGUUAAUUUUUUUUAAUUCAUCUAGUUUUACAUUUAAAAAUUAAAAAAAUUUAUGAGAAGUUGAAAUGUGUGAAUAUCACGUCCAAAGGAAAAUUAUGCUUUUAUGUGUUUUCAGAUCUUCUUCAGGGAAAUUUCGAUGGGAAUGGAAUCUGCAUGCUUUUGAUUUUUAACCCAAGAAAAUGCCAAGAAAGGGGUCAAAGUAGUAAAUUUAAUCUACACUUGCCUACCCAACCACCUCUUAAUUUAAUAUAUUUAAUCGAGAAAAGUAGGUUAGAGGAAGGAUGGUAUCUCCUUUUCCUCUCUCAGUCUUCCAGCAUGCCAUUUAAUCAUGAUUAAGGCUAAAGCUUAAUUAUAGAUCUUGAUUGGAUUAUUAGUUUCCGUUGUAAUAUGGUGGUUAGAAGAUUAAAAAAAUUAUGAUUUAUGCUUUCAUAUGCUAACAAUUAAUGAAGAAUUAACAAAAUUUUAAAUUUUAAAUCUAAAUCCUAACAUAUUUUACCAUAGAAGCUUAAAUCUUAAUUUACUUAUCACAUGGAUUAUUUUAUAACUACCUUACUAUUAAUUCAAUUAAACCUAUUAUUUCUACGAAAACUAAAGAAAAGUUAAAAAAAAACUUUAGUUUUAAUGAAAAAAGAAAAAUGAAUGUGUAGUAAAUAAUACCAGAAAAAAAUAAAAAAAAUAAUUUUUUAUUAAAAAUAAACAGUAUAAAAAAUGUUGCAUUAAUACUCUCAUUAUUUAUUUACAAAUACGUGACUAAAUCACAAAGUGUUAGAAUGAAAGGGAGCGCUCAAAACGAUGAAAAGCAGGAGCACAGAAAGCUAUCUCCGUUUCUUUGUUGAGCGGACAACUGUUUAUUUGUCGUUCUUUUGGCAGAUAGCUCCUAAUGGCCCAUUUCCACAGCUGGUUAUAGGAUUCUGUUGCUAUAUAAGAAGUGUUUUGUUGUAAUUCAAUAUCGAUGGAAAUUCAACAGGAUCUUUUUCAAAAUUUUGUGAGGAUUUUGGGGUGUUCGUGAAUCUUGUUCAUCGUAUAUUGUGUAGUUGUUUUUUAUCGAAUAUUAUUUUUGUUUAAUUUUAAAUAAAGUAAUUUAAAAUAAUUUUUUACUGCAAGAUGUAUGAUGAACGUAUAUGAUUCACAGAUCUCCAAAAUCCUCACAAAGAAAAUCCAAAAAUGAUCUGAAUUCAAUGGAGAUAAGUUAAUUUUGAAUCAAAUAACAUUAGGAAAGAAAAAUAACAUUAGACGCCAGUCGGGCGAAGGAUUGGAGCCUAGUGCCUAGGCAGCUAGGCGAAGCCUGGGCGAUUAGGCGGCUAGGCGGCCUAGACGGUUUUAAAUAAUUUAUUGUAUAUUUGUAUAAAAUUAUUAUUAGCACUUCAAAAAUCUCAUUUUAUACUCCAAAUUUUCUAUAUUAAAAAAGAAAAAUACACUUAUGAUGAGUGUAGAAUGAGAUUUUUGAAAUGCCAAUACACUUCUCUAUUUUUAUUAUAUAAAUCAGUUGGACUUAAAAAAGAAAAUAAAGAAAAUAAAACAUUGUUCAAAAACUAAAACUCUAUAAAUAUAAAAAGUCAGGUCUUGAUUUAUCAUUACAAUUGAUAAAUAAAGGAGUGUGCUAUCUACACAACUUUUUUUACUUCUCACUCCUAAAUAAAAAAAUGAUGUGUGGAUAUCACAUCCCUAAAUAAAAUAUAUAAAUAUAGAUAGUUGGAGGAUAUCCAAGAGACAUUCUUUGGAGGAUUUUAGAGAAGAAAGGAGUACGAGUAUAUAUCCAAGCUAUAAAGGAUAUGUAUGAAGGAGCAAAGACUGCCGUAAGAACUCAUGAAGGACAAACCGAAAGCUUUCCCAUAACUGUAGGAUUACAUCAAGGCUCAUCCUUAAGUCCUUACCUUUUUGCGUUGGUAAUGGAUAAGUUAACAGGACAUAUUCAAGAUGAUAUUCCUUGGUGUAUGCUUUUCGCAGACGAUAUAGUGUUGAUAGAUGAAACUCAGGAAGGGGUAAAUGCAAAGCUUAACCUUUGAAGAGAAGUGUUGGAAUCUAAAGGUCUUCGCCUAAGCCGAUCAAAGACAGAAUAUAUGGAGUGCAAGUUCAGUACAAAUGAAGGCCAAAACGAGUUAGGGGUGAGGAUCGGAGAUCAAGAAAUACCAAAGAGCAACCGUUUUCGUUACCUAUGAUCUAUCUUGCAAAAGAACGGAGAAUUAGAUGGAGAUCUCAAUCAUAGAAUGCAAGCUGGAUGGGUGAAGUGGAAGAGUGCAUCCGGCGUGUUGUGUGACCGCCGUAUGCCACUGAAGCUCAAGGGAAAAUUUUAUAGGACGGCAAUAAGGCCGGUGAUGCUGUAUGGCACAGAAUGUUGGGCAGUGAAGCAUCAACACGUACACAAAAUGGGUGUAGCGAAGAUGAGGAUGCUUCGUUGGAUGUGUGGGCACACGAGAAAGGAUAAGAUUAGGAAUGAGGAUCCGGGGUAAAGUAGGAGUAGCCGAAAUUGAAGGAAAGAUGAGAGAAAAUCGGUUACGGUGGUUUGGACAUGUGCAAAGAAGGCCUACUGACGCUCCGAUUAGAAUAUGCGACUAUGGGACAGAGGUUCAGGGCCGAAGGGGUAGAGGAAGACCUAGGAAAACUUUGGAAGAGACUUUAGGAAAAGACUUAGAGUACUUGGAUCUAACGAAGGACAUGACACAGGACCGAGCACAAUGGCGUUCUAAGAUUCAUAUAGCCGAUCCCACUCAGUGACUUGGAUUUUCCAAGUCUCCAACCGAGAAGUUUUCCUCACUCGGGAAAUUAAGGGAACACUACCUCAACCUACAUGCUCCACUCACAAAGCUUCAACAAAAGAAAAUUCAAAGAACUUAGCGAAGAAUGAUUUGGUGUAUUUAACACAAACGUUGAAAUGAAGGAAAGCUUAUUUAUUGAUAUUCCCGAUAAGCUACAAAUAUGUACAUAUACAUAAGGUUGCUUAGGAGAAGUCUCAGCAGCCGGUAGAGCCCCAGAAAGAGAAGGCACCAGAGGGGGAUCAUUCGGAGCCUCAGAACUGGACAGAACCCUAGAAGGAUGAGGCAUCAAAGGUUGAUCAUUUGGAGCUUCAUUACGCGGUACAGCCCCAGAAGAUGAAGGCAAUAAAUGCCUUUGGAACAAACCCACAAAUCUCUGAUGAUCAAGUAAAACCUGACCAUCAGAUUCCUUCAUCUGGUCAAGCUUCCUCUUCAUGUUUGUAGCAUAGUCAUGUGCGAGCCGGUGCAACUGUUUAUUCUCAUGCUUGAGCCAUCUAAUCUCCUGUUUGAGACUCAUCACUUUAGCCGCCAAUGAUUCAACUUGGCGGGUUCAAGCAAAUAGGCGUUGGGCCGUAUUAGACACAGAACCUGCACACUGAACACUGAGAGCCAGCGAAUCCUUAACAGCUAACUCAUCAGACCGUUUGGAAAGUAGUUUGUUAUCUUUGGGAGUGAGAAGGUUCCUGGCCAUCACCGCAGCGGUCAUAUCAUUCUUCAUUACGAAAUCCCCAACGGUAAGAGGACCAGUAGGGGAGACGAAGGAUGUGCGCCAUAUGUUGUCUGGAGAAGGCGGGGCUGCCUCUUUAACAAGGUUCAAGUCAAAACGACGGUCGGAGGGGCCAGACAUUUUCAAAGGUGUUGAAGAGAGAAGAUGUCGGAUAAAUCAAGAUCUUAGAAGUGCAAGAAUGGAGCUUCUACUGGUGGAUUUCAAGUGUGCUUUAGAACUUAAUGACAGCCCCUAUAAAAAUCUGCACUCGACGGAGCUUCAGAAAUCGAAGAGGCGUUUGCUUUCUCAAAAGUUGGGCUGCUCAAAGACCACGAAGGCCAAUCUCAGAAAUCGAAGAGGCGCUCGCUUUCUCAAAAGCUGGGCUACUCAGAGACCACGAGGGCCGAUCUCAGAAAUCGAAGAGGCACCUACUUUUCCAGCCUUGUCAGCACCUGUCACACGCACACUCAGCUUUGCGGAAAUUAUGGGCAUUCUGUCGAAGACUUCUGGUGAAGUAAAAAGCACAUGAAUCUUACUGUUCAAUCACCCACUUCCCACACGCAACAAUAGCUCAUGGGUACCACAGAUAACUUUGCCAAAGUUGAGCACGUGAAGCUUGCAGCUCCUACUACAUCGCUCUGACCAAGAAGGGUAAAAGAAUAGCAAAGAAACAGCACUAACAAAGUUUAGACCCAUAAAUUUUGAAGGUCUAGCUACCAUAUUAUUACCCACAAGGGUAAAGGAACAGUACCACUGCUGGAUAAUUGGAAAGUCCCUGUGUGUCAACCUCUGUGCUUCGUGGCAAGGUAGACUAGCAAACAUGCCCAACCUUUACUCACAUUCGAGAAAACACUCCCAAUAAGAUUGCUUGCUCCAAAAUCGAAGAGGCACCGUCCUCCGAAUCUCGAGAGCCAGACUCCCAACAUGAAUACUUUCUCAAAAAAAUCGAAGAGAGGGUAAAGGAACAGUACCAUUGCUGGAUAAUUGGAAAGUCCCUGUGUGUCAACCUCUGUGCUUCGUGGCAAGGUAGACUAGCAAACAUGCCCAACCUUUACUCACAUUCGAGAAAACACUCCCAACAAGAUUGCUUGCUCCAAAAUCGAAGAGGCACCGCCCUCCGAAUCUCGAGAGCCAGACUCCCAACAUGAUUACUUUCUCAAAAAUCGAAGAGACACUGCUAUCCCGAAUCUCGAGAGCCAGACCCCCAGCAUGAUUGCUUUCUCAAAAAUCGAAGAGGCAUCGUUCUCCGAAUCAAUCGAAGAGGCGCUCGCUUUCUCAAAAGCUGGUGGGCUGCUCAGAGACCACGAGGGCCGAUCUCAGAAAUCGAAGAGGCACCUACUUUUCUAGCCUUGUCAGCACCUGUCACACGCACACUCAGCUUUGCAGAAAUUAUGGGCAUUCUGUCGAAGACUUCUGGUGAAGUAGAAAGCACAUGAAUCUUACUGUUCAAUCACCCACUUCCCCACACGCAACAAUAGCUCAUGGGUACCACAGAUAACUUUGCCAAAGUUCUCUGCCAAAGUUGAGCACGUGAAGCUUGCAGCUCCCACUACAUCGCUCUGACCAAGAAAGGUAAAAGAAUAGCAAAGAAACAGCACUAACAAAGUUUAGACACAUAAAUUUUGAAGGUCUAGCUACCAUAUUAUUACCCACAAGGGUAAAGGAACAGUACCACUGCUGGAUAAUUGGAAAGUCCCUGUGUGUCAACCUCUGUGCUUCGUGGCAAGGUAGACUAGCAAACAUGCCCAACCUUUACUCACAUUCGAGAAAAACACUCCCAACAAGAUUGCUUGCUCCAAAAUCGAAGAGGCACCGUCCUCCGAAUCUCGAGAGCCAGACUCCCAACAUGACUACUUUCUCAAAAAUCGAAAAGGGUAAAGGAACAGUACCAUUGCUGGAUAAUUGGAAAGUCCCUGUGUGUCAACCUUUGUGCUUCGUGGCAAGGUAGACUAGCAAACAUGCCCAACCUUUACUCACAUUCGAGAAAACACUCCCAACAAGAUUGCUUGCUCCAAAAUCGAAGAGGCACCGCCCUCCGAAUCUCGAGAGCCAGACUCCCAACAUGAUUACUUUCUCAAAAAUCGAAGAGACACCGCUCUCCGAAUCUCGAGAGCCAGACCCCCAGCAUGAUUGCUUUCUAAAAAAUCGAAGAGGCAUCAUUCUCCGAAUCUCGAGAGCCAGAUCAUCAAUAGGAUUGCUUGUUCGAAAACCGAAGAGGCACCACUUUCCCAACUUCAAGAGCCGGAUCUCCUUGGAUAAAGCUUGUCUAUAAUCUUCACACGGAACAUCAGCUUUCCAGAUACCACAGACCACUUUUUCAAAGUGCUCUGACAGAGUUAAAACAUGUGAAGCUGGCAGGUCCCACUACCGUGCUAUGACUAAGCAGGGUAAAGGAAUAGCAUUACUACUUGUUGUUAGGGAGACUCCUAUAUAUGUCGACCUCCAUCCCCAACGACAGGCAGACCUGCAAAAAUGCUCAACCCUUCCUCAUAUCUGAGAGGCCACUCCCAACGAAGCCUUUCAAAAUAUUCAGCUUUCUUCCCCCUCCCCGAUAAUACCUCUGCAAACAAGCUAUACUAGAGCAAGAAUAUCUCAUAUCAUCAGGGUUAAAAGCAAGAGUAUCCCAUAUCAUGCUUUUUCCCUGUCUUUUCCUUUGGCCUUGUUUUUACCUGCAAGACAAGGAGAAAGAGAGCAAUCAGUCAGCACUUGGAAUCAAGCUUCCAGCCAGGAACUGACUGCCUGGAACCCCUUACCUGAUUACUUACCUGGCAUUGCUCUCGAGUACUCAUCUUCAACAUCUUAUGUUUCCAGGGAAGAUUACCGCAUCUGCCUUGAGGAACAGAUAGGGCAAGUGCGAAGGAUACAAGGAAGCAUGUGGAGACAAGCGUAACAGCACACGUGCCGAUACAUCCAUUACUCUGUCAAAAGCAAAAGUAUCCCAUAUCAGCAGGGUCGAACGUACUCUAGAUUUGAUGGACUUGUUUUGACCCUCAAAUUCUUCAGUCGGCCUUAUACUCUGGAGGAAACCAGAAAACCCUCCAGCUCAGUUCAAGAAUAAGCCUGUGGAAAGUUACUUCUUCAAAAGCAAAAGUAUCUCAUAUCAUCUCUUCUCAUUUUUCUUCUCUUUAUCCUUCAUGCUGCCUGCAAGAUGGGGAGAAGGUGAACAAUCAGCCGGAGCUCUGAUUGCUUACCUUGUCUGUCACCUCUUUCAGCAGAUCCCCUAGCUCGGCGACUUGGGGGACUCCUACUACAUGGUUUGUAUCGCGCUUGACCAAGCCUGAAACUACAAGUAAGCUUCAAGUGAAAUUGAUACAUUACCUUGUGCAUCUCCACCAGUUAAAGAUACCACCCCUGGAUGGAGGAAGAGUACUUCCAGAGAAGAUGCCACAUCUACCUAUGAGACAGAUAAGGCAAGUCAAGACGAUACCACACUCCGAUACUUAGAAGUUUCGUGAUUACGAGAUCAUUCUCCCACAAUAUUUCCUAAUGUCAUUUGUACUAAAUCAUUCACUUGUACUCACUAAAGGAGAGCUUGAACCUAUGUACUUGUGUAAACCCUUCACAAUUAAUGAGAACUCCUCUAUUCCGUGGACGUAGCCAAUCUGGGUGAACCACGUACAUCUUGUGUUUGCUUUCCUAUCUCUAUCCAUUUAUAUACUUAUCCACACUAAUGACCGGAGCAAUCUAGCGAAGAUCACAAAAAGCAACCGUUUUCGCUACCUAGGAUCUAUCUUGCAAGAGAACGGAGAAUUAGAUGGAGAUCUCAACCAUAGAAUACAAGCUGGAUGGAUGAAGUGUAAGAGUGCAUCCGGCGUGUUGUGCGACCGUCGUAGGCCACUGAAGCUCAAGGCAAAAUUUUAUAGGACGGCAAUAAGGCCAGCGAUGUUGUAUGGCACAGAAUGUUGGGCGGUGAAGCAUCAACACGUACACAAAAUAGGUGUAGCGGAGAUGAGGAUGCUUCGUGGGAUGUGUGGGCACACGAGAAAGGAUAAGAUUGGGAAUGAGGAUAUCCGAGGUAAAGUAGGAGUAGCCGAAAUUGAAGUAAAGAUGAGAGAAAAUCGGUUCCGGUGAUUUGGACAUGUGCAAAGAAGGCCUACUGACGCUCCGGUUCGAAGAUGUGACUACGGAACAGAGGUUCAGGGCCGAAGGGGUAGAGGAAGACCUAGGAAAACUUUGGAAGAGACUCUAAGAAAAUACUUAGAGUACUUGGAUCUAACGGAGAACAUAACACAAAACCGAGCGCAAUGGCGUUCUAGGAUUCAUAUAGCCGACCCCACUUAGUUGGAAAAUGCUUUGUUGUUGUUGUUGUUGUUGUAUAGAUAGUUGGCGCUUUGUAGUGGGCGGUAAGUUCUAGUUUUACCAUUAAAAAAUAUACACUGUCAAACUAGUGUGGGUUCUAUCAAUUUUUUUAGUAUUUUAUUUAUUUUUUCACUCUGUCUCCGUGCCAUGGUCUUGAUAUUAUCACUCCUUUAAUAUUUUAUUCAUAUUUUAUUCUACUUGAUUUAUGAUGGUGUGUUUUUUUGACCAAGGUUUAUAAUGGUGUUUGUUCUAUAAGUCGGCAUAUUUGCCAACCGCAAUCGAUACUGUCGUUCUCAAACACAAAGCAAUAGUUUGCUACCGAAAACAACCAAAGUGUGACAAAGGGAACCGUCUUACACCUAACCUGUUUUUCCCUCAUCAAAUGAGCGCGUUGAUCUGCAGGUAUUUUCUGCCAUCUCAAAACCUGUUACAAAGAAAUAUAACGUUGAUGUCGAGCUGGAUAGCAUAUUAUACCAAUUAUGUGUACAAACCUAUUGAAAUAAAGUAGCUGUAGUUGCAUAUUACGACAGAUAUUAACGAAAACAAAAGAAGGCUCGCCUAUUCAAGAUCCUAAAUCCCGUGAUUCUUUUGUUUUUAGUUUCAGAAAUUUUCAGAGCACAAACUGGAAAGUACCAAGAUACUUACAUAUUGGGCAUAAUGAAAUGCAUCUUCAUCUUUCAAGCAAGAUUUGAGUGAGCGCAAACCGUCCUGAGAGUUACAUAAGUCAAUCAGUAAUAUAAAAACGUAUACGCAUCACAUCCAAACACAAGUAUUCAAACACCAACAACUUCUUCAUGCGGUGAGGCAUGUUAAAAAAUAGGGAAGAACAGUUAUUGAAUAGGAAGUUAAAGGACUAAAUUUAUGACCUUGUGUUUGUAGUUCUUGGCUCGUAUGCGUUCAUCUAUUACAAAACCAAUCUGUAACAGGUACAACAGAAAAUAUAAGCAGUAGUCAGAACAUUAAUCUUCGGCAUUCACAUUGCCACCAAUCCAAAGUUAAAAGUCUGAAGGCAAAACAGUAUGAUUCUUAUCUCUCAAACAAAAAUGAAACUAUACCCCGGUCUCAGACAUAAAUGAAAUAAGUUCUACUGCCUCAACUGAGUACUGUGAUUAUAUAUAAAUCCAAUUCACCUUGUCAAGUAAUCUCUUAGGAUCUUGAAAUGCUUCCUUCUUAGCCCAGUCAUUAAAUACAUGCGAGAAAAUUGAUCUCUCAUCCACACUGAAUCUAUUGCACAGUGACAGAAGAAUAAAGUUAAACAUGAACAUAACCAACCAAAAAUGCUAGUUAUAAUAGUACACCCAUAAUUGCAAGCAAAACCUUUUUAAGAAGCCAUUUCCAUGGUUUUCCUCCCCAAAUUCCAUCAAUUCUGCAGAGGCAACGUCAAAUUUACUAUGAUGGAGAUCAUUUUGCACUGUAAUAACUUCAGAAGGUAGGAGAUUUGGUUUCAGAUCAUCUGUUGACGGAGUAGUUUCUUUUGAAGUGUCAUGAUGCUUUGAUUGCAAGCCUUCUGUACUUACGUCAGCCUACAAAACAAAAAUUGCAUUCAUCCACACUAGACUUAAUAAGAUUAGAAACACUUCAGAUUCUUCAUUAUUUGUAUUUUUGACUAAACAGCAGAACAACUGAGGAUAAUGAACAGUAAUACACACCUGGACUUCUCGUAGAUGAUUUGGAAUUUCUUUCAGAAAUCGCGAAGGUUGAAGCAUCUGAAGGAGUCACCUUCUCAGUCAGAGCAACAACAACAAAUAAGGAGGACAGGAAUUCAAGCUAAAACGAACCUGCCAACUGGAAUCCAUCGUAACAUAAAGAAUGAAAAGCUUUUUUCGAGCACGAGUCAUUGCAACAUAUAAUAGGCGUCUCUCCUCCUAUGAUUAGAGUGGGAUUAUUGAGUUAUUGAUCAAAAGAAAAAAGAGUGGGAUUAUUGUGAAAAACAUGUCAAAGCUCUGCAUAUAACUGAAAAAUGUUGAACAAUUUACCACACACCUCAAUGGAGGUCCCAUUUUCUUUUGCAACCCCAUUGAAUUCAUGCAACAACGGGAUCUCAGAUUCAUUUACCUGUGUUAUUGGCAUGAGCAUUAAAGCAAGCUAAGAUGAUUUGAAGAGGUUGAUAUCGUCAUGAAUAUAGUAGAACAGAGAAUACCAAUUUCAAGCCAUCAAUUAGGUAUAGCAUUGGCAUGUUUAAUCCGUAAAAUCUAAUGACAGAACACCUCAACUCUACACAUAAAUAAAUAAACAACCUGAAAAAUAUUACAGCCACAUGUUAAGGCAAAUACCUUAAUUAUGAAAACUAUAUCCCACUCUAAACCUUUUGACUGCAAGAGAAUGAAAAAGAAAGACAGUAAGCCAAGAAUGUUUUGUAGAACUCCAAAGGAAGUCCAAUAGGGAAAUCAUCGCAAGUAUAAGAGUUAGCGAGGUUCGCAUAAGAGGAUAUCAAAAAGAUCUAGAACCUGAUGAAUAGUAGUCAAAGUGACAGAACUUUGGUUGUCAUGUCUUCGGGAGUGAAAAUUUUCACUCUCCUGCUCAGAUAUGUAGUCGAUGAAAGCUUUGAGUAAAUUAACGCAGCCUUUUUCUUCUGCUACGACUUCUCUCUCUCCCCUUUUCCCGCAACAAAAUGAGUUGAUAAGAAAUCAGAUACGUCGUCUAGUAGGUACUGAAGAACCUGCAAUGAGAAUAAUCGCAUCACAGCAACAGGGUUGGACCAAGAUUUAAGUGACAACAAUGAUUAACUAACUAAAAUAGAGAAAUUAUUCAUUUAAGACCUUGUUGACGGAAAAAAGGGUUUUCCAAGCAGCGGGUCAUUUAAGCUUAUUGUAUAAAUGACAAUCAUCACAAACGGCAAACUUACAGAUCUCACGUCAUUGUCUUCAUUCAGCAGUUUUCCUCCAUCUACAUCAACGACUGCACGUUGCUCAAGACGGUACUUCUAAAAAUUGAAAGUCAACAACAACAACAACAACAACAAAGCCUUUUCCCACUAAGUGGGGUCGGCUAUAUGAAUCCUAGAACGCCAUUGCGCUCGGUUUUGUGUCAUGUCCUCCGUUAGAUCCAAGUACUCUAAGUCUUUUCUUAGAGUCUCUUCCAAAGUUGUCCUAGGUCUUCCUCUACCCCUUCGGCCCUGAACCUCUGUCCCGUAGUCACAUCUUCGAACCGGAGCGUUAGUCGGCCUUCUUUGCACAUGUUCAAAAUCACCGGAGCCGAUUUUCUCUCAUAUUUCCUACAAUUUCGGCUACUCCUACUUUACCUCGGAUAUCCUCAUUCCCAAUCUUAUCCUUUCUCGUGUGCCCACACAUCCCACGAAGCAUCCUCAUCUCCGCUACACCCAUUUUGUGUACGUGUUGAUGCUUCACCACCCAACAUUCUGUGCCAUACAACAUCGCUAGCCUUAUUGCCGUCCUAUAAAAUUUUCCCUUGAGCUUCAGUGGCCUACGACGGUCACACAACACGCCGGAUGCACUCUUUCCAUCCAGCUCGUAUUCUAUGGUUGAGAUCUCCAUCUAAUUCUCCGUUCUCUUGCAAGAUAGAUCCUAGGUAGCGAAAACGAUCGCUUUUUGUGAUCUUCGCUAGAUUGCUCCGGUCAUUAGUGUGGAUAAGUAUAUAAAUGGAUAGAGAUAGGAAAGCAAACACAAGAUGUACGUGGUUCACCCAGAUUGGCUACGUCCACGGAAUAGAAGAGUUCUCAUUAAUUGUGAAGGGUUUACACAAGUACAUAGGUUCAAGCUUUCAUUUAGUGAGUACAAGUGAAUGAUUUAGUACAAAUGACAUUAGGAAAUAUUGUGGGAGAAUGAUCUCGUAAUCACGAAACUUCUAAGUAUCGGAGUGUGGUGUCGUCUUGACUUGCCUUAUCUGUCUCAUAGGUAGAUGUGGCAUCUUCUCUGGAAGUACUCUUCCUCAAACGAUAAAUUAUUACGAAGCAUUGAAUAUAAGCAUGAAACGAAGAAAAUGUUAUGGAAUGGUGAUCCUCAUCCUCAAAGAUGAUUAAAAGCAAUUUGAUUCAAAAAUGACAUAUCAACUCUGGAGAAAUGGAAGACAAACCUGUGGUACCAUAUUCGCAACUGAGGUUAUGACAGCUGAAAUCGAUUGUUCCUGUGUGCAUUGAUAAGUGAGACUACCAUAGAGAUUCACAACUAAAUAAAGACAGGUAUUCCACAGAACAACCUUUACCUCUUUGGAAACACAGAUCUAACAAAAACUAUAACAUUUUGGAUUAAUAUUGACGAAUCAAGAAUAAUGCAAGGGAGCAAGAGAUACUCUUCCUUCUAAUAACAAGGAGGCGUGAAAAGUAUACAGAGUUCCAACAAUUAGAGAACUAAAAUCAAACUAAAAAAAUCACCAAAGUAGACAGAAUCUCACUUCGCCAAAAAUUUGAAAAUAUAUCCUUUUUAUCCAUUGAGAUUCAUGAACUACUACUACUACUACAUCAUGCCAAUAAGCAAUGCGUAAGAGGUGCUACAAUUUACCGAAUAUAUUUACCCUGAGAACAAGUUUUGAAAUCAUCUCUAGUGUUAACAGCACCUUGCGUCCUUGGGUAAGCUGAGUCCUAUUAUCAAGUAAAGAGACCAAUCAGUACAUAUCCAAAAGAUCUUAAAUGCUUGUAAUACCAAAUAAGAAAGAAACAUGAGUAUAUCUUGAAUUAACCAUGUAAAAAUGUAAUGUUAAAGCAUCUUGUCAUACAGACCUCUUCAAGGUACCAGAAAUUUUUGCACUAAAGAUGUCACAAGCAGCUGAUAUGAAGCUGCAUUUUCUGUGAGUUGAAAUUUUGUCAAUAUAAUCGAUCACCUGAAGAGAGAGAGAGAGAAAAAGACAGUGAUAUCCAGAGAUGUGAGCCUAAAUGCUGAGUGUGUAAAAAAAGAAGAUUAAAUGGAUAGCAAGAAUAUACAACUUUAAUGCUGAAAAGAACAUUGAAUAUGAUGCUCAUUCAUCAUUCCCAUUGAACGUGUACCUUCUUCUUUUCCUCUUUCUCAAAAGCAAGUAGAGCCUUGAAGACUUGCCUAUAUGAUCCAUCAUCACAACCAGGCAAAGUUGUUUUAAUCAUAGCAACAAUGGCUCUAACUACCUGCCAUAAGAAACAUGCUACAUCAACAAGAUCACAGAGUGUACCAGAAACCGUAAUGUAGCAAAAUCUUGGAUAAAAUAGCUGACCAAAAGGGAAUGGAAAAGCAAGCACGAAAAACAAUGAAAAGGACCAGUGAUGCCAAAAUUCUGGUGGAAAAGGUGAAAAGCUUCUGCCUAUUACAAUUUUUGUAUGCAUUCUUUAUAACUUAAGUUCUACUAGCAAAAACCACCUUAUGCAAAAUAAUAUUGGAAAAAUUAGAUACAUACAACUGAGAAGAUAGGUUUUCAUAAUCUGGACAAGUGCUAACUACCUUCUUCCUAUAAACUGCCACUCCAUGAACAUUAAAUGGUAUUUUCCUUUCACGCAAGGCUGUCUGGAAGACUUUUCCUGAUACCUGUAGCAUAAAAUACAAAAGAAAAUGUGACCAAAAUGUCUUAUAUGAUUCACCUCAUUCACAUUAGCACUAAGGCAAGUAAGCUUGACCUGCCUCCGGUAAAGGAUUGCUAUAUUUCCAUAGGAGCACCCUGCUUCUGACCGUUUCGAUGCAGUCUCCAGGAUCUUGUCGACAACAAAGGCGCAUUGUGCAUCCUCAUUGUGACUUUCCUUGAUAAUUACCUACAUUUUGCCAGUAAAACCAGUGUCACUAACUAAAAGGACUGAAAAAUGACAUCAAAUUGUACUUGUUGGAGCAAGGAAAGAUUAAGUACCUUAGACCCAGAAGAAUUGUCCGUGUCAACAUUCUUUAGUUGGCAUCGCUUCUUAUUGUUUUUUAUAACAGAAGAUGCAGCUUCCACAAUAUAGCGUGUGGACCUAAAGUUUUUAUUAAGCCUAAUCUGAACCAUAAAGUUAUGUCAAAUCCCACAGAAACCCAUAAAAUAAAACUUACUUUCCUGUAAUUGUACAAUAUAUUUGUUCUAUACUAUAUAUAAUGAAAAAAGACACUGUGAAUGACAUAAGAUAACAUAGCAGUCAAGUGCGAAGCGAACCUCUUUGUAAUUUGAAAAAUCUUUACGAAAAGAAUCAAAUCCAGAAAUGUCCGCCCCAUUGAAACUGAAAAUGGACUGCAGCAGGAUAUAUGUUAUUUGAUUUAGAACAGAUAAGGGCUGGAUUAGAAUGAGCUGAGAGAGAGAGAGAGAGAGGGAGAGAGGGAGAGAGGGAGCAAUAACAUUGGAUUUCCAUAAUAAAUCAACAACAUGCCUGAUCAUCAUCACCAACAAUGGUUAUGUGGUUAUGAGAGGCGAGAAUCCGCAAAAGACUAUAUUGCAUAGCACUUGUGUCUUGAAACUCGUCUAUUACAAUAGCUUUCCAUGACUCCUGGCACUCCUUCAACACUAAUUAAGAGAACACCAUGUAUCAACAUUUAGCAUUACUUGUAAAACUAGAUAAAUCAAUGAAAUAUACUUAGAUGAUAGAGACCUUCAGGAAAAUCACUUAGCAGCUUCACAGAGCAGCUAAUUAAGUCGUGGUAGUCCAAAGCGUUGCACGAUUUCAAGAUAUCAUUGUAAUUCCUAAGAAUUUCACCCUGAUUCAGAUUGAGAGCUAAAACUCAUAAGCAAUAGUUUCAAAGAACUGAAAUGAUAUCUGAAAUUCUAGUUCUGAGCGUACUCCUGUCACAUCACCCAUUCUUCGGCAUUCAGCGGGAGUCUUUCCAGAAGCUUUUGCCUGAAACAUAAAUAAAUUUACUGCCUAAUGCCACAUAUUGUAAGACACACCAUUGUAUUGGUCAUUCUAGCUUGAUUGUAGCUAAUAUUUUUUAAAUCGAAUGAUUAGAGUUCUUAAUCCACAAUAAUCUGAACAUUAAAUUUGGUAUUCAAGACUAACCUGUGUCACAAACUUCAGCCAUUUCUUUGAUGCAUCCUUAAAAUGAUGUGGAGAUGUUACGCCGUCAGACUCUUCCCCAUCUAUAGCAACAUUAAGAUUCGUUUUACUCUUUUCAUCUUCUGAUAACCGCACAGCUUCAAUGAUUGCUCUUCUCUGUUGCCCAUGUCCAUAUAUCAAAAAUUCUGGUCUGCGCUUGAGUCUAAAACACAAGCCAACAUAACAGACUCAGCUAUACCACCAAAUGUAUGGUGUUCAAAAUCAAGGGAGGUGAAUCAAUAGCUUACUUCUCAGCAUGUGAUCGGCAAAGUUGCAAUGAAAAUGAAUGAAAUGUACUGAUUGUUAGUAGUUUUGCCGUUGCUUUCCCAGUCACAGAUCCAAUUCGAUCUCUCAUCUCGGAAGCUGCUGCUGUAGUGAAAGUCAUUGCUAGAAUGUUCGACGUGCUAAUGCCCUAAGAACACAAAAAAAAAAAAAAAACGAAUAAGAUUUCGAUCAUAAACAAGAAAUGUAGAGAAACACACAAUUACGAAAGAAAAAGUUAGAGGGAAAGUAGCAACACCUCAUUGAGCAGCAUUAGAACGCGCCCAACUAUCGUUGAAGUCUUUCCACUUCCAGGGCCGGCAACAAUCAUCAAAGGUACUGAAAUAUAGCUGCAAGCUGCCUCACGCUGCCUUUCGUUGAGAGAAAGCAAAUACUUCAAAUACUCAUCCGGCAUGUUAGGCAAUCCAUGGUUAACAGAAUCUGUUUGGUUUUCACUACUCAAAGGCGGCGCUGAUGGCACUAACGUGUUAUGACCCAAAUUAUUACUGAGGUUUUAUGCUUUAUUACUGUGAGGAAUUGUUAAUAUACCAGCUGGCAUUUAAAAGUGUAGAGGUUUUAUAAAAGGAGCCCCAGCUCCCCCAAAUGUAUCAGAUCAGAAUUUUACAAAAGAAAUCAAUAUUGGAGCUCUGCUCCUUCUUCUCUCCUUCCCUCUUCUUCCAUAGCUUUCUUGUGCCACUUACAGGUUGAUUAAGGGAAUUGAGAAUUAGAUCUUAUCAAUGGUAUCAUCCUUCUCGAAUCCUGGUUUCCCUCCUGUGCACACCCACCCACCUACGUUUUCUGCCAUGGUUGCUGCGCCCAAGGAUUCGCUUCGCGAGACCCUGGAUGCUCUAUUCGCACCCUACCUGGCUAAGAUCCGCCGUGCCCGUGAGUUGGCUCUCAGCGCUGAGGGAGACUCCACUCCAACCCUUAUGUUCGCUAUCAGUGAUGGGGGAGUUCCUGAUCCAGCCCCGAUGAUUGCCGAUGACGCUGCAGGAAUCGAUCUCGGUCAGAAAAUAAUUCCACGAGUCGCUGCAUCAACUAAUCAGAUUCUGCCGUUGCUCUCGUCAUCGCCGUUAUUGCGAGCACUAGCAAAUCCUCCUGUCAGGCCACCGUCGAACUCAAACGCUUCAUUGGCAAAUUCGCCCAGCCAGCCGCUACACUCAAAUGAUAUUGUAGCAGCCACAAUUCCAUUGCGGAAUGUUGAGAAAACCAGGCCCGUUGCGAUUGUGACCACAAUGCCGCUAUUUCCGAUUUCAGCAACCUUUAGCACUGAAUCAGCCCACGCUCACAAUCACAACCUCGUUUUGAGCACCAAGGAAGCUACAACAAUGGCGCAUGUUCUGGGUUUUCCUCUCAAGAAAGCAGGAGCUACUAAAUCUGUAGGUAUAUCUCAUACAAACACCACGAAGCGUCGACACGAGGUAUUGACAUCCUUGCUUUCCAAUUCUACAAAUCGGAAGGACAAAUGGUAUUGGGUUUUGCAGGUUAUUUUGGCAUAUUAUACUGGUGUUAUUGUGAUAAUGUAUGACGACUUCUUAACUGAUAAAUGUGGAUGGGGUAAUUGGUACCUUGUGGGACAAUUUGUGUUACACGCGCCCCUAAUUUAAAUCGUAUUUUUACUAAAUUUGAGUUUAUCUUGCUUUUAAAAUUAUUUUUGGGUUUUAAAUGGUGUGCCCAAGGCCCACCCCCUGUUUUGUCCCCCGUUCCCUUUCCCUUUCUUUUAUUUAUUUUCUUCUUUCUUCUUCUUCUUCUUCUUCUUUUCUGUUUCUUUUUCUUUCUUUUCCGUCUGUCCCUCUCGGCUCUCUCUGCGCCCUCUCUUCUCUGCACCGCAACAAGCACACGCACGCACCCAUUGCACCUGCGCGAGGAAGACCAUCAUCAUCUCGUCCUGCUCUCUCUCCCUCUCGUGUUUGCGAACCCAGAAAAUCGGAAAGGAUCUUCCGCGAGAUUUUUAUAUUUUCCGGUUAGGUAAGCCUCAAAUCCCUCUCUUUCGUCCUAGAAUCUUUUGAGAAUGGGUUCUAAUUGGUUUUAUUUCGUGAUUUUUGGAGGUUUUAGGAUGAAAACAAACUCGGGUGCAGGAACACCCAUUUCCGGCGAGGAACCCGCCACUUUCGAGUUAAUCUCCGGCCAAACCACGGCGAGUUGGCCGGCGUGCAAGGUAUCAAUCUCUUCGUCUCGUCGAUUACUACAACUUUCCUUUUUGUUUCACCCAAUUUCGUUGAGUAUUGAAGAAGUUAUACUCAUUUGAAUCUUACCCAGUUUCCGGCGAGUCCGACGGCUUUCGAGGCGUUUUCCGGUCAAACCACGGCGAAUUAGACGUCGUGUGAGGUACCAUUCUCUUCGUCUCUUCGAGGGCUACAACUUUCGUUUUUGUCUCGCUUGAUUUCGUUGAGUUUUAACAAAGUUAUAGCCAUUUAAAAUUGGGUGGUUUUCCGGCCGAAAUUCCAGCCUUCUUCUUCCUCGGGUCCGGCGACCCAUCAAACUUGGGCCCUUUGGGCCGUUUCUGUUAAGGGCUUUAAGCCCAAACCCUAAACCUUUGGGCUUUAGGACCAAACCCAAGAACCCAAACCCUAUGACCCAAACCCGGAUCCAAGCCCAGACCCGUUUGACCUGGUCCGACCCGGAUCCUGACCCGUUGACUUUGACCGGUCAACGUUGACUUUUCUAGUUGACUUUUCGGGUUUUCGUCCAAGACCUUCCUAGGCUAAUUUCGACGUCCUGGAUCCGUUUUUGAAGUUCGUUUUCCCAAAUUCAAUCGUUUGAGUAGAGUUUGACUAAAUGGAUCAUUUAUGUGCUUAGGUGAAUUUAAUGACGGCGGUUCCGUUAUUCCUAUUUGGUAUGGCGUUGCACCAACGGUGUACGGUGAGUGGACCCCUUCUAAAAUGCAUGUUUUAUAGUAGAAAUGCAUACAUAAAAAGUAUGAUUUGAUGAUUACCUUUUAUGAAACGUUUUGUGAGAUAACAUGCUUAUUGAGGCUACUUUAAAUUAUUACUAUUUUUCCUAUAACCCGUGUUCUUAUAGAAUAUCUGAUGGAUGACGAUAUGAUAUUAGAACAUGUUUAGAACACCUCUUUAUAGUAUAGAUGAUGGAUGACUUUAUACUAUGAAGUUGUUUUUCAAUAUAUAUGUUCAAUGGUUUUGUACUUACCUAGUGGUCAUUUCCGCUACGGGACGUAGGGAUAGAUUCCGGUCAUUCCCGGGCGACGGUUUGGUGUUGGCAUAGGGCCUGGAGUGUGUUUCCUCUGGCUAUUUAGCACAGGGACGGGGAGCCGGCAUGGGGCCUGAAGUGUAUUUUCCUCUGACUGUCUGCUCAGAGACGGGGAGCCGGCAUGGGGCCUGGGGGUUAUCGGACAAUUCACUAGUGAUUAUUAUAUAUAUAAAAGUUAUGAUUUGAGACACUGCACAUCAUGCUAGGUUUCGGAAAACCUAUGUUUAUCAUUAUAUAUGUGUUUUCAUAAAACUUGGGGGUUAGUACGUUGAUAACUGUUUUGUUAUAUUUAUAUCAAAUUGGUCCACUCAUGUUUGUUUUGCGCCCCCUUCAGGAUUUAGGAUCGAGGCGUACAAUCCCGGCAAUCCAGGCACUUCCGCAUCGGUAUCUUCAAGUCCUCUCGGUGUAGAACCCACUUCUGUGUUCAUUCAAUUUUUAUAUUAAUUCUUUUAAUGUUCUAGAUUAGAUGUGUGCUCUGAACACGUUCCUUAAAUGCAUAUUCUUUAUUUAUAUUUAUAAGUUUUAUCUAUCCUUUAUUUUCAGCAAUUGCACUCAAUAAAUGGCUUUCGUCGCCCUCGGGUGUCGGCCAGCACGUGACCAUCCUGAUAUCCUGAGGAUAUCGGGAUCGGGGCGUGUCAGAUUGGUAUCAGAGCGUGGUUUGUUCAGAGCAUACUUAGGAUCCUCUUCUAUUAUCGUAGAGUGUUGGUUUUGACAUCAUUUGGAUGUCCAGACUUCUAGAUUUGGUGCCAUUCGGCGCAGUCGUGCGAAUCUUCCUCUAUUUGAAUUGUCACAUUCGGGUUGAUAUACAAGAAUUUGUGUCGGGAUUGUGCCUCAUCGGUGACGUGUUUGAAUUGUUGGACGACUUUCAGCUUCAGAUUGAUACUCUACGACGUGCAUUCCCUGGGAAUGACGGGCAUAGUCGGUGUUACUUGGAAGCGACGGAUUUUAGAAAUCUCAGCUUAAGGAAGUCUGGUCAAGACCAGCUGUAAAUUCGAAAUGGCGAUGCCACUCUACAACAUGCGUUCCCUAGGAAUUGCGGGCGGAGUCGGCUUUGCAUCGAAAUCUUGGGAAGCGGAAAAAAAAUCUUGGCAGUACGAAUUGACUAAGACCAACUGGAGUUCUGAAGCGGUGUUGUACUCUGCAACAUGCGUUCCUUAGGAAUGGCGGGCAGAGUCGUAUCUCUUUAGAAAUUACUCGAAACUUUCGAAAUGCAGAUUGAAGAAGCGAGUAAGUGCUAGUGGUGACGACGGUUAGUAGGUGGUAGUUGGUGGGAGCAAAAUCAAUGUUCUCGAACUCAUUACCACUGAAGAAAUUUGGGUGAAUCUUUAUAACAGUUCUCUGUGAUUGUUUUAUCGAUUACCUUCUCGUUUAUUCCAACGACGAAGUCAAGUUCACUGACCUUUGAUCGUCAGCUUCACAUCAAAUCCCUCGAGAGUUGACUUCGUCUAGAGAUUAUACUUUUCUUGGGAAACUCCUCGGUAGCAGACGUUAUUCUCAUCAAUUUCGAAAUGGAGUUGCGAUUCUUGUUGUUGUUGUAGUUGAACUUGGAUAAUGAAGAUUCAGCCUUGUUUGGAUAAACAAAUUCCUUGAACUUCACCUGGGUUUGGUACUUGGUAGUAAACCCUAGUUCCUCAUCCGUGUACUUUUCAGUGAAGGUGAACUUAGUCCCUUGCUUGCAACCUAACUGUUCAGCCUUGUAAUUUUCAGCGUAAUGGCUUGAGACUCUAUCAUAUUCAUCAUUGUACGAAGAUCGAGCUUUACUCUGAACUUCUCUGGGCUCGUUAAGCUUUGAUUUGCUCAGAGGCAUCACUUUAAGGUAGCCAAUCGUGUCACUGCAUGCAUACACAAGCUGCUUUGUAUCUUUCUUCUUCGUUAUUCUGCUGAUUCAGAGGUUUUAUGUUUAAUUUCUGAAUUUUUAAAUGACUAUCGCGAAGUACCGUGAAUCUCGAAAUGUCUUUGGCCUCGUCAAAUCUUAUUAAUAGUUCUUGACUAUUCUUGAGAUUAGACUUGUUCCUUUUGGCUAAGAAACCAGUCGACCUUAUUGUGAUGAGUAGCCAAAUAAUCAUAAACAGUAACUUCUAUUUCUGCAUCUUCAUUUUCCUUCGUUUGUUUGUUUGUUUCUCAAUGUGAACUGGAUCAUGCCGGGACAUUACACGAAGGGUGUAAAAAAAAAAAAAAAAAAAAACGUUUGUUCUCGGCGUGGUUUCUAGUUCAAAUCCGGAUAUCUUGUACUCUAUAUUUAAUGGACUUGUUUUGAACCUUAAAUUCCUGAGUGUUCUUUUAGCCUUAUCGACAUGGUUUCUCUCUCAAUUAGUGAGAAAUUCAUGAUCGAUGGUUUCGGCGGAAGUGUGCGCCCAAUUCUUAUCGAUUUGGACAGGAAUGUUGGGAGCAUAAUCUUUUCACAAGCUUACUAGACUUACCAGAAAGAGUUCCACGUGGGUGUGAAGUUUGAGUUGUCUUUUGGUAAGAGACUGGUGAAGAUUGUGGUGCAGAUGAUUAGCAGAUUGUAUCACUAUCUUCACGCUGAAUUGAAUGGUCACCAUUCAUUAUCCUGCUGCAAUUCAUAAUCAUCAUAUCUUACUCUGGUAGACAUUUUUGAUGAUGUGUUCGCCUCAACGCAGCUUUCCACUACCUCUCACCAGGAUCCUUCGGUUCGAGAGCACGUGGGCGUGAGGUUGAGCGGUCUUUUAGUAAGAGUUGGUUGAAGGUUUUAGUUCAGAAGGUCAGCAUAUUGUAUCACCAUCUUACUAGAAUUCAUAGGCAUCACAUCGGUUAUUUUCCAACGAUAUGUGUUCGUGUCAAUGCAUACUUCGACUGCUUCACUUCUGAACCUUAUUCUUGUGAGUAUGUGGAUGUUGAAUCACUUAUAGCAGAUUUGUUUGGUGCACUCUGGAAUGGCACCACAACGUAGUUGAGAUAAGAAUCGGAAGAUCUUUGCACUUUUUGCGAAUGGUGUGUGCUCUCAUGGGGUGUUUAGGUUGAUUGCAUGAGAGUCAUUCUUUCCUCCAACAUUGAUCUUGUUUGACUAGAAAUCUGCAACUAAGCAAAAAUGGAGAGGUGGAUUGAGCACUACAACAGUUCCCAAGAGAUACUGCGUGUUGAGGAAGAUGACUUCUCGUUUUCUGCUUACCUAGUUCGAGCUUUUGGGUCUACUACUAACAUGGUGGCCACUUCUCUUGAAUCCCAAAGUACAGUUUCAAAUGGGUUCUUUGUUGGCAUAACUCUGGAGUAGUUGGUCACAUUUGGAAUAACUGAGGAAGAGGUUGUGCUUGGUACUAAAGGGAGUUAGUAUGACGAUAGUUAUUGGUUUUGUUCGAUUUGGGUAUGGCACUAUUUGCGACAUGGUACGAGAGUUGCUACACGCAACAUUGGUUGAUAGAGGAGACGUGCAAGCUUGUACUUGGAGGAUCGAAUUUUCGACGUGUGAAAUUGUGCACCCUCAGGAAAUUACUGCUUGUUUACUGAGACAACAAAUGUGUGGUCGAUAUCGCGGGCGGCCGACUGUGGUAUCGAUAAUUUAUUUGUUGGGUUCGUUAAGCAAGUGGGGCAGGAAUAUCCUUUUACGGCAGCCGUUAAAGAUUCACUAUUGUUAGAACUGGACCCAAAGACACAUCUAUUUUCGGAGUACGCGACGUUUCGAAUUCUUGGGCAAGACCCACUCUCAUUCUUCAGUUUUGGUUUUCAGUAUAAGUAUUUUAACCUCAUUUACUCUAGUUAAUUGUUUUGCCAUUACAAAUGUUUUUGGAAAAGUAUUUCCGUUUUCAGUUUUUAAGUGUAGCUCGAAUUUUCAACCUAUAUGUUGGUACAUAUCCAUUUUGACGUUAUCGUAUGUUAUGUUCUUACUUUUGACCUUAAUCUAUUUUAUGUUUUCGACUUUAUAUCUUUAUAAAGUAUGUUUUCUACUUUUACACUGAUGGGGAAGAAAGUAAGCUUGGAGGCAUGAUAGAGGAUUUUGCAACCCGCUCGCGACGGUGUGGUAUAUUCUCUUUGAUGCACCCACUCUGACUUGAUUUCUCUUUAUACAUAUAUUCUUCUUACUAUUUUCGUGUAUUUCAGUUUAGUAGGUGAUUUUAAAUUUCGGGGACGAAAUUCUUUUUAAGGGGGGUAGAUUGUUACACCCGCCCCUAAUUUAAAUCGUAUUUUCACUAAGUUUGAGUUUAUCUUGCUUUUAAAAUUGUUUUUGGGUCUUAAAUGGUGUGCCCAAGGGGCCCCACCCCCUGUUUUGUCCCCCGUUCCCUUUCCCUUUCUUUUAUUUAUUUUCUUCUUUCUUCUUCUUCUUCUUCUUCUUUUCUGUUUCUUUUUCUUUCUUUUCCGUCUGUCCCUCUCGGCUCUCUCUGCGCCCUCUCUUCUUUGCACCGCAACAAGCACACGCACGCACCCAUUGCACCUGCGCGAGGAAGACCAUCAUCAUCUCGUCCUGCUCUCUCUCCCUCUCGUGUUUGCGAACCCAGAAAAUCGGAAAGGAUCUCCCGCGAGAUUUUUAUAUUUUCCGGUUAGGUAAGCCUUAAAUCCCUCUCUUUCGUCCUAGAAUCUUUGAGAAUGGGUUCUAAUUGGUUUUAUUUCGUGAUUUUUGGAGGUUUUAGGAUGAAAACAAACUCGGGUGCAUGAACACCCAUUUCCGGCGAGGAACCCGCCACUUUCGAGUUAAUCUCCGGCCAAACCACGGCGAGUUGGCCGGCGUGCAAGGUAUCAAUCUCUUCGUCUCGUCGAUUACUACAACUUUCCUUUUUGUUUCACCCAAUUUCGUUGAGUAUUGAAGAAGUUAUACUCAUUUGAAUCUUACCCAGUUUCCGGCGAGUCCGACGGCUUUCGAGGCUUUUUCCGGUCAAACCACGGCGAAUUAGACGUCGUGUGAGGUACCAUUCUCUUCGUCUCUUCGAGGGCUACAACUUUCGUUUUUGUCUCGCUUGAUUUCGUUGAGUUUUGACAAAGUUAUAGCCAUUUAAAAUUGGGUGGUUUUCCGGCCGAAAUUCCGGCCUUCUUCUUCCUCGGGUCCGGCAACCCAUCAAACUUGGGCCCUUUGGGCCGUUUCUGUUAAGGGCUUUAAGCCCAAACCCUAAACCUUUGGGCUUUAGGACCAAACCCAAGAACCCAAACCCUAUGACCCAAACCCGGAUCCAAGCCCAGACCUGUUUGACCUGGUUCGACCCGGAUCCUGACCCGUUGACUUUGACCGGUCAACGUUGACUUUUCUAGUUGACUUUUCGGGUUUUCGUCCAAGACCUUCCUAGGCUAAUUUCGACGUCCUGGAUCCGUUUUUGAAGUUCGUUUUCCCAAAUUCAAUCGUUUGAGUAGAGUUUGACUAAAUGGAUCAUUUAUGUGCUUAGGUGAAUUUAAUGACGGCGGUUCCGUUAUUCCUAUUUGGUAUGGCGUUGCACCAACGGUGUACGGUGAGUGGACCCCUUCUAAAAUGCAUGUUUUAUAGUAGAAAUGCAUACAUAAAAAGUAUGAUUUGAUGAUUACCUUUUAUGAAACGUUUUGUGAGAUAACAUGCUUAUUGAGGCUACUUUAAAUUAUUACUAUUUUUCCUAUAACCCGUGUUCUUAUAGAAUAUCUGAUGGAUGACGAUAUGAUAUUAGAACAUGUUUAGAAUGUCACAGCCCGUCCCGGGAUUUCUAUAUCGGGGGCGUGAAUUGACGUAACUACCCUUGACGGACAUUCGGGUACGUGUGUGUGCGACAUUAUUGAAUUAAUUUUGUAAGUUUUGGGAUUUUAAUUUUGGAAUUUGGAAAUUUUUGUGGUUAGGGAAUUGGAUGGAUGGUGAGGAUUGUGUUGGACCACACAAUCACACACACACGCACUCCCUGUCUUCUCUCCCUCCCGUAGCUCUCUCUGUCCCUCUCCCUCACGAUCUCUCUCUUUCCCCUCACCCUAUACGUACGGCCUUCACCCAAAACCCUUCAAAACUCGACGGAUCGAGGCAAAUAAGGUAUGCAUCUUCAUCCUUUCGUCGUCCUGAGUUCAUUGGUGCUAGUUUUAGGAAGUGAAACCUUCGAUUUCACAUAGAUCCCGAACCUCCAUUUUUGAGGUACUGUUCAUGCGAACGUAAAAUGUUGUGUUUCAGGAGAUUUCAAGCUUGUGGUGAGCUUUAGGAGGUUCCUAAGGAAGCUCGGGGACGUUCGUUGGAGAGUUUUGGACGUCGGGAUCGUAGGUUUCAAGUUUGGCCGAAUCUUUGGUUUUUCCAAGGUGAGAUUUCGUAGUUUUUAGGCCCUAAAACAAGUCCAACGUGAUUGUACACUCUUAGGGCUUCAAUUUGGUAUAAAAUACGAAGAAAAUGGGUGAAAAACGAAGGAGAAUAGUGAGUUUGAAAAUCGGCCGGAGUUCGGCCGGAGUCCGGCCACCAGAGAACCAGUCCGGCGAGACCUGCGAAGAAGACGACACGUGCGCUGCACGUGCUGCGCGUGGCCAGCGCGUGGACCCGUGCCACGUGUGGCGCGUGGGGGCGCGUGGGGCUUCCAAAAAUUUUUCUAAAAAUUUCUCGACGCUCGUGACGUCGAGUAGGUCGAUGUGGUAUAUUAUUAUACCAAAAUUGAGCAUCGUAUGAGAAGUUAUUUCAAAUUAUUGGUGAUGUGCUUAAAAUUAAUGUUUUUAUAGUUGUUUCGCAUAUAGGUGAGACGUAUCCCGAGGACGACCGCAUCCAGGGACGCCACGGGGGUUACGACGACCCGUCGACUUAUCAGUGAGUGGGCAGUUUUGUUUUCGUAUUACCUAUAUACUACUGUUUUUCCCAGAAAAAUGUUUAUAUGAAAAUAUGUUUUGAAUAUGCCAUGCAUAGAAUUAUUUGAAAAUCAUGAAUUGGUUUAUGAACUAUAUGAUUGAAAUAUGAUGCAUACAUGUUGCAUGGUGCUGUGGAGGCACAGGUAAGUCAGGUGAGUUCAUUUAUUCAUUGAAUUGUUGUUGUUGAGAUGAGUUGAGCUCAUAAUCUGCACCCUAGGUGUUAGUGCUUAUAUUAUUCACCACACCGCACGCUCGUCUUGGAUCCAAGUAGGUGGAUGUCGUACAGACCAUGUGAGGGUUCCGACAUGCUAGUCGUACAGAUCACUAGGCGUGAUUCCGACUAGUGGGUGACCUUAGUUAUGCGCGCUGAUGAUAUGAUGAGAGAAGCACUAGAGCGUAUUUUUACACCUUUCAUCGUAUAGACUACCUUACGUAGUUCCGAGUGAUGUGCAGAGUAGGGCCGUAUAGGUCACUGUGGUGACUCCGGCUUAGUGGGAUUUUUGAGCUAUUGAAUUAAUCGUAUAGGACCAACUGCAGGGUCUCCGAUUGAUUCCUUAUUUCACCUGAUUUAUAUUUUUUAUUUAUGUCAUGGCAUGUUUUCUUGAAAAUGUUAAAGAUUUGAGAUUUAAAUGUUGAGAUUUUAUAUGGUUAUAUAUAUUUCUGGGAAAGUAUACAGGUUUUUACGGCGAGGGGAUAUAACUGUUUUAAUGAAAUGUUUUGGAAAACUAAUUUGUUUUACUGACCCACUCAUUUUGUUUUGCGCCCCUCCAGGUUCUAGUUUAGCGGUGGUUGGCUCACGAGGUCCUUUCCGGCUUUCUGACAGAUUUGGGACAUGUAGGACUCACCUGAGGGUGAUGUAUUCUUAUUUUAGUCCUACUUGACUGCAGUUAACCUAUGCUCUGAACUUAUGUGUUUACUUGUAAACUCGUCCGGUUAUGUCCGUAUGUGGUUAUGUUGAGUUUGGGUUGAAUUUCUGUUGUUAUUACGCUUCCGUGUCGUGCUUAUGGUUACGUCACGCCCACGUGACGGCCAGCACACCUGGAUCCUCCGGAUCAGGGUGUGUCAGUUUGGUAUCAGAGCUUAGGUUGCAGUCCUGUAAAAUUGUUAAUGUCUUAACGAUCUUUUUGAUGUUUUCUGUCAGAAUCAUGCCGCCUCGUAGAGAGCGUAGGGAGUCCCGCCGUACUCCUGAACCUAAUUUCCCAGAUAUUACUCAGUUAGGGGAAGCGAUGGCCCAGGCUUUACAGAAUGUGAUUCGUCCUCCCCCUCCUCCGAGGACACCUCUGGAGACCAUGUACAACUUGAAGUUAGAUCGGUUUAUGGGUAAUGAAAGUCAUGAGGGGGCAGAGAAAUGGCUUGAUCAUAUUGAGAAAACCUUUCAGGUGAUGCAGAGUCAGGGGAAUCUCCCUGCUAAUAGGUGGGUGGAGACCACCACUUGGUUUCUGGGUUGUGAACCAGCAGCAUGGUGGAUAAAUCAGGCUAGGUACAUGUCACCUGAGACGGCAGCCGACUGGAAAGUAUUCAAGGAGCAUUUUAUGAAGAGAUUUCGUUCCUCCUGAGUAUAUUGACCGUAAGAAGCAGGAAUUCACCAGGUUGAAACAGAGAAAUAUGUCGGCACAUGAAUAUUAUAGAAAGUUUACUGAUUUGUCUCGUUAUGACACUGAUAUAGCUGGUAAUCAGGGAGAGAUGCUUCGACGUUUCAAGUUGGGAUCUAAGAAGAAGUGGCGUACCUUUGCCAAUGCACUUCCCUGCGCUGAUUAUCAUGAGUAUUUCGAGAUUUUGGUUAGGAUGGAGGACUCUGAUAAUCUUCCUGACAGUGAGGAUGACGAGGACAAGAAUGAGGGUCAGAAGAAGAAUGAUAAGGGUAAGGGUAUUUCUAUUCCUGGACCUCGACAGACACAGAGUUUUUAAGAAGAGUGGAGCGAGUUCGAGUUCUUCUAGUGGGGGAUAUAGUUUUACUGGCCCGAGGAGAGGUGGUGGAAGAUUUUCUGGUGGACCCAGAUUUCAGGGUCAGAGGGAUGCUGGUGGAUCUGGCGCUCCAUGGUGCCGCCGUUGUAACUCCCGUCACCAUGGUGAGUGUAGGAGAGGUUCUGGUGCCUUGUUUUUACGUGUGGGACAGAUGGGACAUCGGGCUUCUCAGUGCCCCCAGGGUCAGCAGAGACCGCAGCAGACUAAUAUGCCACCUCCAGCACCAGUUCAGCAGAGUUUUGGGACCGGGUGGUUAUGGCCAGCCGAGUCGUGGUGGUGCCUACCACUAUCAGGGGGAUGCUGCUCCGUAUGCUUCCGGACCUUAUCAGUAUUCUCAGGAGCCUUAUCCUCAGGCAGGGUAUUCUCAGGAUUUUGGAGGUUAUUCUUCUUAUUCCUCUAUGCCAGCUGGUGGAUCGCAGUGGCAUCAGGGAGGCCAGCCCCGUCAGGGGGAAGUUGCUACUGGUGGUGCAGGAUCAUCCAGGCAGCCUAGUCAGCCAGGCCAGGGACGAGGUAAUCAGGGCAAUAGAGGCCGAGGUGGACGUCAGCAAGCUCAGGGGCGAGUUAAUCAUAUUGUCCCUGCAGGAGGCUCAGAACCAUCCAGACUUGAUAAUGGGUACGUUAAAUGUUCUUGGUCAUUUUGCUAAGGUUUUGAUUGAUUGUGGCGCUACGCACUCUGUGAUUUCUCAUACGUUUGCUCAAAUAACCCAACCUCACCCUUCACCUCUAGGAUUUGAUUUAGAGUUUGCCAUGCCUAGAGGAGAUAAAUGUAUUGUGGAUAGUGUGUAUCUGGGGUGUCCAGUGAUGGUUGAGGGCGUGAUUAUGUCCGCUGAUCUUAUUCCGUUAGAUAUUGUGGAUUUUGAUGUGAUUUUAGGGGCCGAUUGGUUACACCAUAAUCGUGCCCAUAUUGAUUGUUAUGGUAAAUCAGUUACUUUUUAUCGUCCUGGAUUACCCGAGGUUAUUUUUGUGGGCGAGAGAAGUGGGGUGAGACAUGGAGUUAUUUCUGCCAUAAGGGCGAGGAAAUUAUUAUCGAAGGGUUGUCAGGGAUAUUUGGCACAUGUGGUAUUAAAUGAUGUUGCUCCUACUAGUAUAGAAGAAGUUGGUGUGGUCAGACAUUAUCCGGAUGUUUUCCCUGAUGAUUUGCCGGGAUUGCCGCCAGACAGAGAGGUGGAAUUCUCUAUUGAUUUGCUUCCAGGUACGGACCCUAUAUCUCUGACUCCUUAUAGAAUGGCUCCUGCUGAGUUAAGGGAAUUAAAAAUCCAGUUGCAAGAAUUACUUGAUAAAGGUUUUAUUCAACCUAGUUCUUCACCUUGGGGUGCCCCAGUAUUAUUUGUGAAGAAGAAGGAUGGAACUCUUUCGAUUGUGUAUUGAUUAUAGACAAUUGAACCGGGUAACGAUUAAAAACCGUUAUCCAUUGCCCCGCAUUGAUGAUUUGUUUGAUCAGCUGAAAGGUGCGUGUGUAUUUUCUAAGAUUGAUUUGAGAUCCGGGUAUUAUCAAUUGAAGAUUAAAGAAGACGAUGUACCUAAGACGGCUUUCCGAACUCGGUACGGACAUUAUGAAUUUUCGGUUAUGCCGUUUGGGUUGACUAAUGCACCUGCAGCUUUUAUGAGAUUAAUGAAUGAGGUAUUCCAGAAAUAUCUUGAUAAAUUUGUUAUUGUUUUUAUUGAUGAUAUUCUGGUAUACUCUAAGUCCCAAGCAGAUCAUAUCCGACACCUUAAUUUGGUGUUAAGGAAAUUAAGGGAGCAUCAGUUGUAUGCCAAGUUCAGUAAAUGUCAGUUUUGGUUGACUGAAGUGGCAUUUUUGGGGCAUGUUGUAUCAGCUCAAGGUAUUCAAGUUGAUCCUCAAAAGAUUGCAGCAGUGGAGAAUUGGGAGCAACCUCGAACCGUCACGGAGGUACGAAGUUUUCUUGGCUUAGCAGGUUAUUAUCGACGGUUCGUUCAGGAUUUCUCUAUGAUUGCUUUACCGUUGACAAAGUUGACCAGGAAGGAUGUUAAAUUUGAGUGGGAUGAGAAUUGUGAGCGGAGUUUUCAACAAUUGAAGUAUUGCCUCACUCAUGCACCGGUGUUGGUACUUCCCGACGAUAGCGGUAAUUUUGAGAUAUAUAGUGAUGCUUCAUUAAAUGGUUUGGGAUGUGUUUUGAUGCAGCAUAAUAAGGUGAUUGCCUAUGCUUCUAGGCAGUUGAAAAAAUCAUGAAAGGAACUAUCCUACUCACGAUCUUGAAUUGGCAGCAAUUGUUUUUGCUUUGAAAAUUUGGAGGACAUUACUUUGUAUGGUGAGAAGUGUAAGAUCUUCACUGAUCACAAGAGUCUUCAGUAUUUGUUUACUCAGCAUGAUCUUAAUCUUCGUCAGCGAAGGUGGAUGGAAUUGUUAAGUGAUUAUGAUUGUUCUAUUGAAUACCAUCCAGGUCGUGCUAAUGUAGUAGCGGAUGCACUGAGUAGGAAACCUCAAGGUAGACUUAAUGCCCUUAUAUGCUAGUCGUGUUCCUCUUCUUGCUGAAUCUGAGGACAACUGGGGUAAGGUUGGAAAUUGAAAGACCGAGGAUGGAGCUUUUCUUGCUAGUUUUCAAGUCAGGCCAGUUUUGGUGGAGCGUAUACUUGCAGCUCAGAUGGUGAAUGAGGAAAGUUCAAGGAGUUGGUUCAGUUAAGAAGUGAAGGGAAAAAGAAAGACCUCAGAAUUCGGGAAUCAGACGGUAUGCUCAUGCAAGAAGACAGAAUGUAUGUUCCGAAUAAUGAGGAAUUGAAGAAGGAAAUUCUGGACGAAGCACAUUGUUCAGCUUAUGCGAUGCAUCCGGGAGGAACAAAAAUGUAUAUCAUACCAUUCGACCAUUUUAUUAUUGGCCGGGUAUGAAAAGAGAAAUUGCAGAAUAUGUGAGCAGGUGUAUUAUUUGCCAGCAAGUGAAAGCAGAAAGAAAGAAGCCAUUUGGGCGAAUGCAACCCCUUCCUGUUCCCCAGUGGAAAUGGGAAAAUAUAACCAAUGGAUUUCGUGUAUAAACUUCCUCGUACGCGAAAUGGAUUUGAUGGUAUUUGGGUGAUUGUGGAUCGACUCACCAAGUCGGCGCAUUUCAUUCCUGUGAGGGAGAAAUACCCUCUGAAUAAAUUGGCUAAGUUGUUUAUUUCGAAGAUUGUCAAGUAUCAUGGAGUCCCAGUAAAUAUUAUCUCCGAUCGAGACCCGAGGUUUACUUCUAAAUUUUGGGUGGCUUUUCAGGAAGCUCUGGGUACUCAAUUACUGUAUAGCACAGCUUAUCAUCCUCAAACUGAUGGGCAAUCAGAGAGGACCAUUCAGACGUUGGAAGGAUAUGUUGAGAUCUUCAGUACUGCAAUUUGGUGAUUCUUGGCAUGAUCGUCUGGACUUAAUGGAGUUUGCUUAUAAUAACAGUUUUUCACUCGAGCAUUGGUAUGUCCCCAUUCGAGGCACUUUAUGGUAGGGCGUGUCGAACGCCAUUAUGUUGGUCUGAGGUUGGUGAACGGGUAUUAGAAGGCCCUGAGAUCGUGGAUGAGACGACUCAAAAUGUUCAGAUAAUUAAGUCAAACCUGAAAGCAGCCCAGGAUCGACAGAAGAGUUUAGCGGAUCGGCAUACUACUGAUCGAGUGUAUGAUGUGGGUGAUUGGGUAUUUUUGAAAUUGUCGCCUUGGAGAGGUGUAGUACGAUUUGGGAAAAGAGGAAAGUUAAGCCCGAGAUAUAUUGGACCUUAUGUGAUCACUGAAAGAGUUGGUGAAGUUGCCUAUCGGUUGGAACUGCCUCCGGAGUUAUCUAAGGUCCAUAAUGUGUUCCACGUCUCUAUGCUUCGGCAUUAUAUUUCUGAUCCUUCUCAUGUGAUCCCUCCUCAACCGUUAGAGAUUAAUCCGGAAUUUGACGUAUGAUGAGGAACCGGUCACUAUCUUGGAUUGGAAAGAUAAGGUUCUAAGGAACAAGACGGUGAGUUUGGUAAAGGUGUUGUGGAUGAACCAUUCUGCAGAGGAAGCCACCUGGGAGACGGAAGAUCGGAUGAGAGAGAUGUACCCAAGGUUAUUUUAUGGGUACUAAGUGGUUAAUUUGGAUUGUGGGAAUUUCGGGGACGAAAUUCUAUAAGGAGGGGAGAUUGUCACAGCCCGUCCCCGGGAUUUCUAUAUCGGGAAUGUGAAUUGACAGUAACUACCCUUGAUUGGACAUUCGGGUACGUGUGUGUGCGACAUUAAAUUGAAAUUUUGUAAGUUUUGGGAUUUUAAUUUUGGAAUUUGGAAAUUUUUUGUGGUUAGGGAAUUGGAUGGAUGGUGAGGAUUGUGUUGGACCACACAAUCACACACACACGCACUCCCUGUCUUCUCUCCCUCCCGUAGCUCUCUCUGUCCCUCUCCCUCACGAUCUCUCUCUUUCACCCUCACCCUAUACGUACGGCCUUCACCCAAAACCCUUCAAAACUCGACGGAUCGAGGGGCAAAUAAGGUAUGCAUCUUCAUCCUUUCGUCGUCCUGAGUUCAUUGGUGCUAGUUUUAGGAAGUGAAACCUUCGAUUUCACAUAGAUCCCGAACCUCCAUUUUUGAGGUACUGUUCAUGCGAACGUAAAAUGUUGUGUUUCAGGAGAUUUCAAGCUUGUGGUGAGCUUUAGGAGGUUCUAAGGAAGCUCGGGGACGUUCGUUGGAGAGUUUUGGACGUCGGGAUCGUAGGUUUCAAGUUUGGCCGAAUCUUUGGUUUUUCCAAGGUGAGAUUUCGUAGUUUUUAGGCCCUAAAACAAGUCCAACGUGAUUGUACACUCUUAGGGCUUCAAUUUGGUAUAAAAUACGAAGAAAAUGGGUGAAAAAACGAAGGAGAAUAGUGAGUUUGAAAAUCGGCCGGAGUUCGGCCGGAGUCCGGCCACCGGAGAACCAGUCCGGCGAGGACCUGCGAAGAAGACGACACGUGCGCUGCACGUGCUGCGCGUGGCCAGCGCGUGGACCCGUGCCACGUGUGGCGCGUGGGGGCGCGUGGGGCUUCCAAAAAAUUUUUCUAAAAAUUUCUCGACGCUCGUGACGUCGAGUAGGUCGAUGUGGUAUAUUAUUAUACCAAAAAUUGAGCAUCGUAUGAGAAGUUAUUUCAAAUUAUUGGUGAUGUGCUUUAAAAUUAAUGUUUUUAUAGUUGUUUCGCAUAUAGGUGAGACGUAUCCCGAGGACGACCGCAUCCAGGGACGCCACGGGGGUUACGACCCGUCGACUUAUCAGUGAAUGGGCAGUUUUGUUUUCGUAUUACCUAUAUACUACUGUUUUUCCCAGAAAAAUGCAUUUAUAUGAAAAUAUGUUUUUGAAUAUGCCAUGCAUAGAAUUAUUUGAAAAUCAUGAAUUGGUUUCACAUGAACUAUAUGAUUGAAAUAUGAUGCAUACAUGUUGCAUGGUGCUGUGGAGGCACAGGUAAGUCAGGUGAGUUCAUUUAUUCAUUGAAUUGUUGUUGUUGAGAUGAGUUGAGCUCAUAAUCUGCACCCUAGGUGUUAGUGCUUAUAUUAUUCACCACACCGCACGCUCGUCUUGGAUCCAAGUAGGUGGAUGUCGUACAGACCAUGUGAGGGUUCCGACAUGCUAGUCGUACAGAUCACUAGGCGUGAUUCCGACUAGUGGGUGACCUUAGUUAUGCGCGCUGAUGAUAUGAUGAGAGAAGCACUAGAGCGUAUUUUUACACCUUUCAUCGUAUAGACUACCUUACGUAGUUCCGAGUGAUGUGCAGAGUAGGGCCGUAUAGGUCACUGUGGUGACUCCGGCUUAGUGGGAUUUGAGCUAUUGAAUUAAUCGUAUAGGACCAACUGCAGGGUCUCCGAUUGAUUCCUUAUUCACCUGAUUUAUAUUUUUUAUUUAUGUCAUGGCAUGUUUUCUUGAAAAUGUUAAAGAUUUGAGAUUUAAAUGUUGAGAUUUUAUAUGGUUAUAUAUAUUUCUGGGAAAGUAUACAGGUUUUUACGGCGAGGGGAUAUAACUGUUUUAAUGAAAUGUUUUGGAAAACUAAUUUGUUUUACUGACCCACUCAUUUUGUUUUGCGCCCCUCCAGGUUCUAGUUUAGCGGUGGUUGGCUCACGAGGUCCUUUCCGGCUUUCUGACAGAUUUGGGACAUGUAGGACUCACCUGAGGGUGAUGUAUUCUUAUUUUAGUCCUACUUGACUGCAGUUAACCUAUGCUCUGAACUUAUGUGUUUACUUGUAACUCGUCCGGUUAUGUCCGUAUGUGGUUAUGUUGAGUUUGGGUUGAAUUUCUGUUGUUAUUACGCUUCCGUGUCGUGCUUAUGGUUACGUCACGCCCACGUGACGGCCAGCACACCUGGAUCCUCCGGAUCAGGGUGUGUCAUAGAACACCUCUUUAUAGUAUAGAUGAUGGAUGACUUUAUACUAUGAAGUUGUUUUUCAAUAUAUAUGUUCAAUGGUUUUGUACUUACCUAGUGGUCCUUUCCGCUACGGGACGUAGGGAUAGAUUCCGGUCAUUCCCGGGCGACGGUUUGGUGUUGGCAUAGGGCCUGGAGUGUGUUUCCUCUGGCUAUUUAGCACAGGGACGGGGAGCCGGCAUGGGGCCUGAAGUGUAUUUUCCUCUGACUGUCUGCUCAGAGACGGGGAGCCGGCAUGGGGCCUGGGGGUUAUCGGACAAUUCACUAGUGAUUAUUAUAUAUAUAAAAGUUAUGAUUUGAGACACUGCACAUCAUGCUAGGUUUCGGAAAACCUAUGUUUAUCAUUAUAUAUGUGUUUUCAUAAAACUUGGGGGUUAGUACGUUGAUAACUGUUUUGUUAUAUUUAUAUCAAAUUGGUCCACUCAUGUUUGUUUUGCGCCCCCUUCAGGAUUUAGGAUCGAGGCGUACAAUCCCGGCAAUCCAGGCACUUCCGCAUCGGUAUCUUCAAGUCCUCUCGGUGUAGAACCCACUUCUGUGUUCAUUCAAUUUUUAUAUUAAUCCUUUUAAUGUUCUAGAUUAGAUGUGUGCUCUGAACACGUUCCUUAAAUGCAUAUUCUUUAUUCUCUUAUAUUUAUAAGUUUUAUCUAUCCUUUAUUUUCAGCAAUUGCACUCAAUAAAUGGCUUUCGUCGCCCUCGGGUGUCGGCCAGCACGUGACCAUCCUGAUAUCCUGAGGAUAUCGGGAUCGGGGCGUGUCAAUUUGUGAAGAAGAAUUUUUAUGCACUGCAACUGUUUGAUCGUCUGUCUAAGAGAGGGAGUGCAAAUGUACAUGUGCUUUAUGUGGCCUCUUUAGAUAUGCAUGAUUUAGAAGCUAGCCCUAAACUGGAUGGUAGUAGCAGCAAGCCAAGGGUUAAAGAAGUGUCUUCUGAAGAAAAAGAUAAUGUGUCUCACAUUGAGAUUAAGAUUACUGAAUACCAUAGCUCCGAUGAAAAGUGUGUUCUGAGGUAUCUUAAUCUUUCAGACAACGCCAUGGGCAACUAUGGUGUCAAUGCAUUUGAGUCACUUCUUAGUUCACAAAACAAUUUGAGAGAACUUUAUUUGAUGAAUAUGGCAAGGCUCAAUAUGUGUCAUAACAUGAGGGAGUGGCACUGCGAUGCUAUUAGGAAGAUCAAAUGGCUGAAUGAGAAUGAGAUUUCUGUUAUGAUCAAUACCGAAGGACAAGCAAACUAUGAAGGUUUUUUUUAUUGUAUCAAAUAUGGUGAGGAGCUCACUUUUAAGCUGUUGCUCUAUUUCCAAGCUGUCAAGGCAAAAAGUCUUGGGUUUACUAAACUUGGGUCACCAAAAGAGGCUAAGAAGGUUGUUGGGAACAUGAAUGAUGUUACUGCUAGUGCCAAACAGCUAAAGGAGAUGGAACAAGGCUUGACCAGUUUGAUAGUUUUGGGGAAUGGGCGAUUGUCUGAUCUUAUUGCACAGCUGCAGGAUAUAUUAGAGGGUGUAAAUGAAGCUGAUAUCUUGCCGGAGAAGUUUGAUAAUGCAGUUAUUAAAGCUCAGAUUCCACAAUUGGCUCGAGAAAUCAGGGAGUUAACCUCAUCUCGACCUGUAACCAUCUACAAUGAGAAUUCUUCCUCUAGUGGGAAUUAUGCUUCAUAUUUAGUUCCACUUGCUGCACUUGCUGCAAUGGGCUAUUGUUACAUGUGGUGGAGAGAUUGGUCAUUUUCAGAUGUGAUGUAUGUGACAAGGCAUAAUAUGGCAAAUGUUGUUGAAGCUCUAAUUAGAGAGGUAGCUAGCAAGAGCAAUGACUUUGCUGGGAACGGAACAACAAAUACAUUGAAGAUGAGUGAAUGCGCUAUGGGCACCUAUUUAGAUUUAGUAUGCUCUCUUAGUCACCUGGAAAGCAAUUUUGGUGGUGCCUUAGUUAUUGAUUUACAUGUUGAGUUCUCUUUGUUUUUCACUUGUAACCCUGACUGUCGGCUUUUAUGGGAUCCAGGAGAUGCAAUGGCUAAAACUGUUAAGAUGAUACUCUAUUUUAAAAAUGUCAAGGCAGAGUGGCUUAACAGGGUUACAAAAAUAACCAAGUUUGGUAGUUUUAUGGUACAAUUGGAUAGAAGUGUUGAAGCUUUGAAUAAGGGCAAAAAGCAAAAAACUAGAGAUGGUGGAUAUGGUGAUGAGAUAAAGAGAUUGCAUGAUUUAAGCGUGAACAAGGUUGUGGAUAUGGCGACUAGGUUCGAAAGUGCAUUGGUAGGACAUGUUAACAAUAUAAUUUGUAGUACUACUGUAAGAUUGGAGAGACUUCACUCCGAUGAUUGGUGGUGUUCUGCUAUAUCUCAACUGCUGAUGAUUGGUAAAUCCAUCGUAUCUAGUUCAAACAAAACUCAGGAAGCAAAUGUGGAUGCUGUUUUGGGAACCGGUGAUCCGAGUCUACUAGUUGAGAACACUUCAGUUGAGCAGCUUGGUUUCGUCAGAAAGGUGACAAUCUUUAAGGACUCCACUUCCAUUAUUGGUGAUGCAGCAUCAAAAGAUGGGUUGCAAGUCCAUGGUGUGUCUCCAUUUGACAUUAUGGGCAGAAAUCUUUUCUGGGAAAAGCAACUGCAAAGGCUGCAAAUGGGAGCUGUCACAAGAAAGUUCUUGGUGGUUAAUUUCAGUUCUGGUUUUGAUGAAUCUUCAUAUCUCUCUCGGGUUGAAAAUUUUGAGGAGAUGUCACAAGAAAAUUAUGGAGAGGCUACAGGAAACAAGAACUCACUCACUCAGUUCAAGCGAGCUGCCAUACCUGGAAGGAUUAUAAUGAUUUCAAAGUCAAGUUCUACAAUUCCAUUUUUAAGCCUUGAGGACAAGGCUAAUUUUCAAGGGGGAAGUAUUGUUAUGACCCAAAUUAUUACUGAGGUUUUAUGCUUUAUUACUGUGAGGAAUUGUUAAUAUGCCAGCUGGCAUUUAAAAGUGUAGAGGUUUUAUAAAAGGAGCCCCAGCUCCCCCAAAUGUAUCAGAUCAGAAUUUUACAAAAGAAAUCAAUAUUGGAGCUCUGCUCCUUCUUCUCUCAUUCCCUCUUCUUCCAUAGCUUUCUUGUGCCACUUGCAGGUUGAUUAAGGGAAUUGAGAAUUAGAUCUUAUCAUAACGUCACUACCACAACUCCCAAUAUCAUCACGCUGAAUGUCCACACUCGGUUUCUGCUCAAUUAAAGCGUCAAUUUCCUGCAAAAUACUCUCAUCGAAAUCAUCAUCGUUAAGAAUUCCAGAUGCAGAGAAAGAAUCAAAUGAAGUCAGAAACUGCGGUUGUCUGAUUGGAGUUGUGAAAGAAUCCGAUUUUGACACGCUUGAUUCGGUCCGGCUAACGCUUAAGCUCCCGGAACACGAAGCACUGCCAUAUUCACCACGCGCUGAAUUGUACCGGCUUGCGGAAAUCGGAAGCGGUGUUCUUUGAACUCUAUUGAGCUGAGUUGGCGUUUGGAUUCCAUUUCCGCCAAAAAACACAAUUGAAUUGAUUUAAAUUGAAGCAAGAAAACAGCCAAGUAGCCAAAAAAUAGUAAGAAGAUGAAACCUUUGAUUCCUGAACGACUUACUUGGUAUGAGGGAGGUGAUGAUCAGGUGAAACGGCGUCGUUGCAGGGGCGUUUGCGAUCAAUGAGGGCCUUGGCGGCUCUGAAAUUCCGAGAGAUGCGGUUUCUUUGUUCCGCCGUGAGCCCUCCGCCGUACGCCUGAACGUUUUCCUUGGACAUUGCUUCCAAGAUUCCAACGGAGGAUUUGGCCUGACGGCCUGACCAGGCUGAUAACAGUGUAAAACCUUAGGAGCUAAGGAAAAACUAAGAGAGAGAUUGUAGAGAGGGAAAGUUUUUUCUUUUUGGAAACCAGUAGAGAGGGAAAGUUUGUUAAACCUGAAUAAUAUUCUUUUCAUUCAACUUGUCUACAAUAAUUACCACUCGUGGUAUUUAUACAUUUGUAACACACCUCACUAACUAACUAAGACCACCACCAAUCAUACAUAAACACUUGUCAUAAUCCUAUGCACUCAUAGUAUCAUCACUUUAACAUUCCCCUCAAGCUCAUGUGGCAGAUUGCCAAGCAUGAGAUUGGAACAAUUACGAGCGAACUGGGGUGAACACAAGCCUUUGGUGAACAUGUCGGCAUAUUGAUCUGCAGAGGUAACAAACUACAAAAUAAUUGUCCUUUGAUGAACUCUUUCACGAACAAAGUGGCAAUCAAUCUCUAUAUGUUUGGCUUUAUAGUGCAAUACAGGAUUAGUGGCAAGAGCCAUUGUUGAAAUGUUAUCACAAUGCAAAACUAGAACAGAAGGAGAACCAACAUGCAAAUCUCGAAGAAGCUGUUGUAUCCAGAUAACCUUAGCAGUGGUUGUAGCCAUUGCUCUAUAUUUAGCUUCAGUGGAAGACCUACUCACUGUAUGCUGCUUUUUAGAACUCCAAGAGAUAGGAGUAUCUCCCAAAAAAAUGACAAAACCCGUGGUUGAACGACAAUCAUUGGGAUCCCCUACCCAAUCAGCAUCUGUAUAAGCUUUCAACUGAGAUGAACCUGAUUUAAAACAUAAUCCCAAAGAUAUAGUGCCUCUGCGAUAUCGUAGAAUACGUUUCACAGCAGCAAAUGAGUGGCUAAGGGUGAAUGCAUAAACUGACGUACUUGAUUGACAGAAAAAUAAAUAUAUGGUCUUGUAAAUGUUACGUAUUGCAGUGCCCCAACAAUACUUUUGUAAGUGGUAGGAUCAAAAACAGGUUCACUACCAUGAUUCAGAAGCUUCUGAUUAGGAUGACAAGGUGUGGAAAAAAGGUUUACAGUCUAGCAUAUGCAUCUUUUAAAGGAGUUCUUUGACAUACUUGGUCUGAUGAACAAAGAGUCCCUGACCCUGAUACUCAAUCUGUAAACCAAGAAAAUAAUGCAACACACCUAGAUCUUUCAUGCCAAACUCACUAGUUAACUAACUAAUAACCUUCUGAACCUUCACAGCAUCAUUACCAGUGAGAAUGAUAUCAUCAACAUAUAAUAAGAGAACAAUAAUUGAUGAACCAUCACACUUGACAAAUAAAGAAGGAUCUGCAUAUGAUGACUUGAACCCAAGCUUAGGCAAAUAACCUGAAAACCUGUCAUGCUAGGCUCUGGGAGCUUGCUUGAGACCAUAUAAAAACCUCUCUAGUUUGCACACAUAAUCUGGAUAGGUAGAAUCCACAAACCUUUGGGACUGAGACAUAUAAACUUCUUCAUCAAGAAAGCCAUGCAAAAAAGCAUUAUUGACAUCUAACUGUUUGAGUUUCCAAUUAUGAGAUGCAGCCAAGGAUAAAACCAAUCGAACUAUGGUUGGUUUGACCACAGGGCUAAAGGUUUCAUAAUAGCUAAUACCAACUUCUUGAGAAUACCCAUUAGCUACAAUUCUAGCCUUGUACCUAGCCACUGAACCAUCUGGAUUUCUCUUAAUCUUGUAAAUCCAUUUACAACCAACAAGAUUUUUGUCAGGUGCUAAGGGCACAAGCUUCCAAGUAUGAAGCAUCCAUCUCUUCUUUCAUGGCAUUUUGCCAUUGAACACACUUGACUGCACUAGAAAAAGACCGAGGUCCAAUAAAUGGAAAUGUGGAAGAAACACUAGGUGGAUGAAUGAAUGUGUUUGAAUGCACAACAGACACUGGUGAGGAAGAAUGACCAGAAGUAACUUGAGGAUUGAAACCCAAAGCAUUAGAGUCUAUAGGAAACUUGGAUUCAUAAAAAAUAACAUGUCUAGAUACUAAUAGUUUAUGAUCUUUGAGAGAGAAGCAAAUAUACCCUUUGUAUUGUGUAGCAUACCCCAGAAAAAUACACUUAGUAGUUUUAGGUUCAAGUUUAUUGCUUCUAUAGGGUUUCAAUGAAGGAUAGCAUAAACACCCAAAAAAUCUCAAAUGAUCAAGCUUAGGUGGAGAUUUAUAUAGCAUUUCAAAAGGAGACUGCAUAUGUAGGGUAGGUGUGGGCAUUUUGUUUAUAAGAAAAGUAGCAGUGGCACAGGCAUGGAACUAGAAUUUUGAAGGUAAUGAAACUUGUUGUAAAAAGGUAAUAGUUGUUUCGACAAUAUGUUGAUUUUUUCUCUCAGCCAACCCAUUAUGUUAUGGGGUAUAAGGACAAGAUUUUUUAUGAACAAUGCCUUUGGUAAGAAGAAAUUGCUUAAACUGAGUACUAACAUAUUCCCUACCCCCAUCACUCUGCAAAAUUUUUACAUGAGCAUCAAAAUAAUUCGAGACAGAAGCAAGAAAGUUGACAAAAACAGUGAACACUGCAACUUUAUUAUUUAAUGGAAAAAUCUAGGUAUAUCUUGUACAUUCAUCAAUAAAGGAAACAUAAUACUUGUAACCUUCUAUAGACAAACUAGGUGAGGGACCCCAAACAUCUAUGUGAAUUACUUCAAAUGGAGUAAGUGACUUCGAAGCAAUUACAGGAAAAAGGAGCUUGGUAAACUUGCCUUGCAAACAAGCAUUACAAGUAUGAGAUUGAGAGUUACAAGGAAAAGAUAUACAAGACUUAUUAAGUGCUGCAGUGACAGUGGAAUGUGUAGGAUGGCCUAAUUGACAAUGCCACAAUGUAGAAGAAAUCUUUUGACCCACAAAUGCAACUGGAUUAAAAACAGGAGAAAUAGACCUCUGUGGUUUGAUUAUGGGAAGUGGAUAGACAACAUUAUUACUCAGCCCUUGGAAUAGCACUCUCCCGGUGACCUUGUCCUGUAGACAGAGAGAAACAUCAUCCAUGAUACAACGACACUGAUUAUCUUUGCACAACUGAUUCAUAGAUAAUAAGUGUUGUGACAGUUUUGGAACAUGUAACACAGAGUUUAACUUGAAAUUAUGUGACUAAGUGAGAAGAGAAGAGGAACCAAUAUGUUUGACAGCUAAACCUUCACCACUAGCACUGGUCACAAUAUCAUUUGAUGGAUAAAUUUAUUGUCAUGUGCAAGUUUGACAAAUCUGAGGUCAUAUGGUUAGUUGCUCCCAAGUCAAGAAACCAGAAAUCUUGUUGAAGAGUUGAGGAUGAUGCACCAGCUCGUGCUUGCAUAGCAAGAGGAGGAUUUUGUGAGGAUAUAGUUAAUAGAUACAUAUGUGGUAUGACAAGAUACUGAAACUGUGAGCUAUUAGACUGUGGAAUCAUGCCUUGUGAAGGACCACAUGGAUUCUAGCUAGGUGCUUCACCAUAUGACCCAGUAGGCAUUGGAGUUGGCAUAGAUGAGGAUAAACCCUAAGAGAAAUGCUCUGAUGUGCCUGUGAAAUUUUUAUUCUGAUCAAAGCAAGUAGCAGCAACAUGACAACCUCUGUGACAAAUUUGACAUCCAUGUUGAAAACAAUUCAAUGCAGAAUGACCUUUGCGAUCACAUAUUUGCAGAAUGGCCUUUGCAACCCUAGAAAGAAGGAGCGAAGAAGACCAAAUGUGUACGUUUCUCUUUGGUUUUUUUUCCCUCCUAAUCGCGCUGUUCGAAAUCACGGACCUCGGGCCUGGGCCUAGUGGGCCCAAUUAUGAGGCCCAUUAUCUCCGGUCUUCUCGUUCUACUUCUAGUUACCCAAAUUAAGAACGUACGCUUUUAGCGCGAGAGAGAAAUGGAGGCCCUGAUUGCCUCGUACGGAGACUCGUCGUCGGGCUCAGACUCCGAGUCGCCGGCUCCACCUCCACCACCACCUCCGGAGCUCAACAACCCUCAAGAACCGACCCCUGCGCUGCCUCCACCUCCUCUGUCACUUCUCGACAGCCCCAAUUCCUUCGGUAACCUCUGAUUCCCAUCAAUUUUCAUCUUUUAGCUUUCUGUUGUGAUGGCUUUUUCCGAGUUGCCCACCAAGUGUUUGAUGUUUUGCCUCCGAAGAAUUUCUGGACUUAUCGGCAAGCGCCCAGCCGAGCAGAGUUCGGAACUUUCCUCACGUCGAAGGGAACUACGCAGUACAUGUAUACAUCCCAGGUUAUCAAAAUUCUCGAAAUUUUCAGCUCCAUUAGCAAAUGCGAUCGCUUUGCACUUAGUUUUUGCUUGUUUAAUUGUGUGGUUCCAGUUUAUAUACCACCAGCACCAAGGAAAGAGAUGGCCUUGUUUUUGAACAAGCUAGCUUCUCUGCUGCCUGGUCUCCAUGCGGUUGACGUUGACUUCCCGCUUGACAUUCUGCGUAAGGACGAGCACAAGCUUGAACAAGUUGCUUUAGGCAGAGAGUUCCAUAUAAGUCUCGGAAGAACUGUUCCGAUGCGGGUGCACCAGAUUGAUUCCUUGGUGACAAUGCUGCGGCAGAAGCUUCAGAUUCAGAGGCGGUAUGGUUACAUUUACAUUCUCUUGUCUGCAUUGCGUGAAUUUAGUUCUGUUAUUUAACAUAAUUCUGUAAGCCUGUUUUCGUAUAAAUGCACGGUUGAAUCAGCUUUCAUUGUCUACAAGUCUGAAAUAUUUUAACUUCCAUUGAUUUCAGAUAACAAAGCAGAUUCAAGCUGUGAAUGAGGUGUAUAAGCUUCACAAUCUUCCUGAAUUUUACAAGGUUAGCUUUUUCGUGCUUUUCAAACUCGAAUCGGUUCCUGAAUGUAUGACAAUAUAUUGGAUCAAACGAUUUCUCAAAACACUAAUUCACUUGAUGGGGUCUUGGUGAUCACAGGAUCCACGCCCUCACAUCUCGGUAGCUUGAGCAUUGGGUGACAUCAGCAAUUCCCUGAACAAAGUGGUUGAAGAAGAAAGACGAAGAUCUACCAUCGGAGGAUCGUUACAGAAAUGUAUUUUUACCAGUAAAUUCAAUGGUAUCGAUAUCGAAUGUAGGAUUGGUAAUAAAACACACAAAAUAUGUAAAUUUUCUGAAGAAUAAUGUAGCCAUUUAACUGUAUUGUGAAAUUCCGAGAAUAUAUGGCUGAGCAUUGGAUGAGAAGACAUUUCUUCGUUGGUGUCGAACUUCUUGUCGAAGGUAUUGGCACCAGUGUAAACGUCAUCAUCCAUGUUGAUGGUAAUUACUUACCAGCUACUAAGGGUGUCGGAACAACCUUGCACGCACCCUCCUGUGCAUUACUUGGUAUUGUCUCGGAUUCUCCAAACUUGAAUGCUAAUGUAAACCCACUCUUGACCUUUCCGUCAUCUGCAAUUACCGGAAAGCCGGCUUGGAUGUUGCCGUUGACCUACCAAACUUAAAAUACCGACGAAAUGUUGGAGUACUUCAGUGUACUACUCGUUUUUGUAUGCGAGAGCUCCACCUCUAUCGUUGUAACAGCAUCUGAUGCGGACUAGUCCUUCAUUCCCGUUACUCUUUGCCAUCUCCACUUCAAACUUGGUGUGAUGGCUCCCGGCCUCCUCUCCGGUGAAAUUGAGUAACCCCGGAGCUGGCGUGCCAUCAAGAUUUCCGUUGUGUCUCUAUUUGCUGUUGUGGUUCGGUUCCACUAUAAACUUGGCAGAGUUAGCAUUUUCAUUCUGUUGUCUGUAUAUCUUGAUAUUACAAGUAUUUGUUGUGCAAAAUGCAUGCUAAGUUCAAGUUAUGUUUAUAUGUGUGUGUGUGUUGCCACUUUUCCAACGUUUUCUCCAAAAUUGUGACGAGCAACAAAGCAGUUUUGAUUCCGUGCACAACAACGAUACCUCGAAAGAAAUUGAUUCUUCCCCAGAAAGAUGUUUUAAAACAAAGUUGAACAAGGGAAGAAAACUUUUGAAUCGCAAUCAGAUGUCUGGUCAAAUUCUUUAACAGUUGAUGUAUACAGAAGUUCCUUGCUUAUGACACGACUUAUGAGAGGAUGUAUGUAUUGCAUUUGCAUCAAAAGAAAGAAAGAAGGUUGUAAGUGGUAAGGGAACGACUACCGAUGCCGCUCCACUUCUAAUCAAAGGGAUCGAUCCGAGGGUCGUGUUCACUUGCCAUCGCCAUUCCAGUGCAAAGGCAUGUCGGGCACAUUACCUGCCACAUUUACAGACGCAAUGUUAGAUAUAGCUGCCAUUUGGAAGUCAUCUCUCAAAAUUUUGCUACUAAAUUAAUCUUAAACUUCAUUUCCAGUGCAAUUUUUUUCUUCUGAAUUGUCUUUCACAUGCCCGACAAAUAGAAGUAUCACCAAACAUGUGAUAUAGAGCAUCUAAGCGGCAGGCACUAAAAGGAAUUUAGUAUGCAAUAAACAUUCAACGGACAUAAUUAUAUGUCUAACCUUUCCCGCUCCUGAGCAAUUUGAACAUCGUUCAGUUUUUGGCAGAGAUAGGGGUUGGUUUCCGCCAUCAGCUGUCGAUACUGGUUCAGUAAGAACAAGGGUUCCAGUGCUGGAGCAACGAGCACAAGCAAGAGAUCCUGCGUAAGUAUCAAAUACACAGGUAAGUUGACAUACGAAACCAAUCCGAACAUCUCCAUCGUAUAUAUUUAAAGCUACAGUACAUAAAACUAAAAGUCAGAAAUAUAGGACAUUAUCACACCAGUUCCAAGACAAUAUUUGCAUCGUUUAUGCUCCUGCUGUUUCACAUUGUUUAUUUCAACUACCAUCAAUGCUGAGAUCACUCCGACUGCUCCUCCAGAGAAUGACGCCACUAUGGGAUCAACUUGACUGCAGUUUGAAAGUAAAGGAGAUCAAUAAACGAAACUGGUAACAACAUAGUAUCAACAUUAUUUAGCUUCGUUUCAAGAAAGAUGACAUCCUAGGUUUUUCUAAUGUGUAAAAAUUGAGGAUCCUCGUAAAAUUUGACUAUAUCGGUUCCCAAAGCAUUUGAUUCCUACGUUACAGACGGAAAACAGCAACAAUCGAAUUUAAAGAUUCAUAACACGAUAGAUGGUACAAAAUUUCAAAACGAUAAUUACUAGAGAACAGGAGGGUUAAUAGCCUGAGAUAUGAGCAAUACCUCAACUGCAACGGCAGAUGCAUAUUUACUAUAAAGUCUUUAUAUGAUGUGCCUCCUAUUCCCAGCUUCAACUCCAACUGAAAGAUGUAAAGGUAAUUGUAGGCAAAGAGUUACAAACAUAACCGAAUCCAUGUUUUAUAAGCAACAACUACACUUAUUUUGAUAUGUUUCCUCAUUUUUUACUUGCAAAUUCCAAACCAUAUUGUCGGACCAGUAAAAGAAAAUAAUGUUUAUGAUAACUGUUAAAACUAAUUACAACAAGUUAAUGCAUAAAGAACUUACGGAGGGUGCUAUGAGGCCACCGAAAAGGAUAAACCCCGCAAUAAUUGAAUAACAAACAGCAUAAUACUGCUUAAGGUUGUCUGAACUCUGCAAGCAAUGAAUUCACCUUGUGAUUAAUACUUUGCACAAACACUAGUUUUCGCAAUUUUUUAUGAAUCGACAAAAGGCUACAACAAAAUAUGGCUAAAACAUGUCGGGGAUAUGAAAAUACAUGUCUUCACAGGGGCACCAGCUUACCAGGGGAGGCAAAAAUGGAAUGAACGAUGGAAAACUAGGAAGUUCGUUUUCUUGAUCUUCAUUUACCGCUCCAAGCUCUGCACGUUUAAUCCGCUGUUGUAUCCUCAGCCUGCGAACCUACGCAUAUCGAAGCUCAUUCUUAAAGAACACAUUUCUAAUGGCAAUUGGAGAGUAAUUUAAAACAUGCUACACUGAGAAAGUGGUAGCAACUAGCAAUUGCUCUCACCUCCUCCAUAUGCAAGAAAAUUUUGUUGCGACGACUCCGAAUAUUAUCUUGAAUUUCCUGCAGCUCCAUUGUGGCAAAAUCCUGCACUGUUUCAGGCCCCUCUAUGAUACAAAAUCUGCACCAUUAAGCAUGUAAAAAUUAAAAAUUACAAGCUACAAAGCAAUUUCCGUAUAGUUGUUGGGUUAAAUAACAUCAACAGCAAAUAAAUCACAUAGGUUUUUCACAUAAAGUUACAAACUUUCAAGGACUAAUAAGCUGUCUGCAAUCUCAUAAAUUUCACAGUGCAAAGUAACAAUCCAAAGCUUGGAACUUUAAAUUUCCACCUUCUGUUAAUUUUUUAGUGCACCUGGUGUCGUUAGAUUCGAGUAGUAUGUCACAUUAAAUUUUUUUUUUCUGUGCAUGCAUUUUUUUUUAAAAGAAAAUUUAUAUUGUUAAAGAGCGAGUUCGAAACUAUUACAUUAUGGAAGGACAUAGUACCGAAACUCCGACGAUCAAAAACAAAAUCAUGUACAACCACUCCAAGCAGUCAACAUGGCCAUCACAUAUUGAAUCCAAAAUGUUGACGCCCCAUUCGCUGCAUAUAAUGUACAGACGAGCGGCAGCUUCAACCAGUUCUGCCAUAUCCGGCUGGAUGAGAGCAGCUAAAGACAUGAUUGUUCCCUAAUAACAUGAAUAAAUUGAGUAAACACCAAAAGUAGCAGCAAGGGAAGGAGAUGUGAAGUAUAUGAAGAGGUGUAAGACCUGUGAAUGUCCAGCAACAAAGAUUUUGGAGCUUGUUGUCGAAUAAUGCAACGCGUCAUUUCUGGUAGAUCAAAUAGAGCCAAUUCCCGCCAACUCCAAUUCCAAAAUUUCUACAGUAAAGCAUAAAUCUUAUUCUCUCUUCUGAUAAAGAUGAGUGUCCCAGACUCCAACGUGUUCCACACACAUUCCCUACCCAUACAUCGAAACCUUCAUCUGCAAGGACGAAUCCCAGCGAUUCUUCUGGAGAAUUUAAGAAUCAUGCAUCACCUGGUUAAGAUCAAGAAAAGCCAGUAACCAAGUUCAAUUGAGUUAAAAUGUAUCCCAUGGAUGUUCAUCACUUUGCCCAAUUGUUCUUUUCAAGAAAGGAAAUUUCAACAGAACCUGAAAACUUCAGAUCAGGGGGCACCAAAUAGUGAGCUAUACAUUCAAAAUUUGAAAUAAUCAACUUAGUAGGACCAGUAUGUUGAAAAAAUAGGAAGGAGCUAUGAAAGUAAGACUUUUCACUAAUCAGGCGUCCAGAGAAUCCAUAUUUUACCCGCGUAUCAGUUACGGGGAACACUCCCCACCAGAGCAAUCUCAUUAGUCCUUCACAUCUCAACCGUACAGAAGUUGCACUAACAAACAUGACUCCUAUUAGUCCUUCACAUCUCAAAUCCAGGAAGUACCCAUCUUUCGUCUGAAUCUGGAAAAUAAGCAGCAGUCAAUUUAACAAUCUCGGUAUCUCAAAGUUACUCACUUUAAUCACAAAUUUAGCAAUUAAACAUAUAAAUGGGCAUUUUUUUAGGGAAAUAUUAGUAUAGUACUCACUGUGUGCUCGGAGCAAGAGUACCCAGAAAGCUCAAUGAGCUGCGCACAGAGGACUGCAGUGGUGAACGACAGCGACCGCACAGAGGACUGCAGUGGUGAACGACAGUGACCAAUUCUGUAAAAUUUAGUCGAGUUUUGGGAAAUUUCUGCAGCGAUUUCGGAGGUCAAGAGGCUGAUAAGGAAAGCCGCGACCAAAGGGCACUGGUCUGGAAGAAAGGCUUUGGUCGCCGCUAUCGCAAUUCACGAAGGAAGAAGUGCCCCAAAACAAUUUCGGCCCUGGACAGGUGCACUGUUUGCACUGAGCCAGGGCCGGCCCUGAAUCGCGAUAACGUCCUUCUCCAAACAGUAUAUAUACAGAUGCUAGAAAAAUCUACCGGAACUAUUCAAUUCUAGCGUCUACAGCUUUAGCAUUAGUUGGUACAAGGGGCAUUCUUCCAAAGAGGGAGAUGAAAUCGUUGAGGCACCAAAUAGUGAGCUAUACAUUCAAAAUUUGAAAUAACCUCUUGGUAGGACCAAUAUGUUGAAAAAAUUGGAAGGAGCUAUGAAAGUAUGGCUUUUCACUAAUCAGGCGUCCACAGAAUCAAUAUUUUACUCACAGAUCAUUUACGGGGAACACUCCCCACCAUAACAAUCUUUUUAGUCCUUCACAUCUCAAACCAAGUAGAAAUUGCAGUAACAAACACGACUUCUAUUAGUCCUUCACAUCUCAAACCCAGUAAGUACCCAUCUUUCGUCUGAAUCUGGAAAACAAGCAGCAGUGGAUUCAACAAUCUGGGUAUCUCAAAGUCACUCACUUUAAUCACAAAAUUAACAAUUAAACAUAUAAAUGGGCAUUUAUUUAGUGAAAUAUUAGUAUAGUACUCACUGUGUGCUCGGAGCAAGAGUACCCAGAAAGCUCAAUGAGCUGCGCACAGAGGGACUGCAGCGGUGACGACGGCAACCGAUUCUGUAAAAUUCAGUCGAGUUUUGGGCGAUUUCUGCAGCGAUUUCGGAGGUCAAGAGGCUGAUAAGGAAAGCUGGGACGGAAGGGCACUGGUCUGGAAGAAAGGCUCAGGACACCGCUGUCCCGAUUCGUGAAGGAAGAAGUGCCCCCAAAACAAUUUCGGCUCUGGACAGGUGUACUGUUUGCACUGGACCAGGGUCGGCCCUGGCGAUAACGUCCCCCAAACAGCACAUAUACAGAUGCUAGAAAUAUAUAAAUGUAACCUGAAACUACUAGAACCAUUCAAUUCUAGCGUCUACAGCUUUAGCAUUAGUUGGUACAAGGGACAUUCUUCCAAAGAGGGAGAUGAACUCAUUGAGGCUCUUAUUUAUUCCUCCUCUUGAUGUGCCCUUUUAGGCUGCUAAUUCCACACGAUCCAAUCUCAUACAUCUUCCCUGCAAAAGCAUGUGUGCCUGACUUCAAGAUCAAAUUUUUCCAACAAAAGAAACUUAAAGAUCAAACUCGCUAGAGGAAUAAGUGGUGCACAAGGGUGUUAAAAUCUUGACAUAUGUAUAUUUUUGGCAGAUUUUAUGUGAGCAUGCAACUAAAACUGGCAUCACUAUCAAUGGUGCACAAAGAUUGGUGGAAAACUUUAACAGUUUGAGUUGUAACUUCUCCAUUGUAUUUGUUAAGGCAAGACGGAUGUCAUCUAUUCAUUUUUCUGUAAAACUUAAAAGGCUGCAUAGCAGCUCUUGUUCGUUGUAUUGAAUACCGUGGUUUUACUGAUGAAUGCAGAGUUUGCUGAUGAUUCAUACGACAAGCAAUUGAAAAUCCCAUCAUUAUGCCCCCCAUAUACCAGAAGAAAAAAAAGUCAUUUACACAAAUUCAGAGCGUUCAUCCACUGUAAUUUGCAGAUAUAGAAACGUUAAGAUAAAAGGAAAUGCAAAGUACCUUUCACCAAAUUGGAGGAGCACCGGUGGCAUUAGCAAGUUAGCAACGGGAAUUGACAUACCAAUAUCUUCACAGUUUCUGCACAAGCACAAAUCAAAAGAAUCCGGAGGUGGAGUUAUGUACCUCUCCUUGGAAAAUGCCACCUCUUGGGAUUUCAAAAUAUGCGGCCGUGGCUAGCCGUCUGACCACGCCAAUUCCACCAAAGCCGCCGCAACGCGGUGUAGUGUCCGAUUGAUUGCUUCAAAUCAGAGCUUCGUAUCCAUGUGUUUAUCAGCAGAGAGUACCCAAAACCCCUGAAAAUUAUUUCUUUAUUCAGAUAAUAAAAUAUCCCAAAUUUCGAAUUUUAAUUCCGAAUCAAAAAUAGGGUUUGAAUUUUGAUUACCUAUAAAUUGGGGGGUUGCGGUGGAAAGGGAGUCAGCCAAGACGGCGAUAUGCGUCCUCGAGAGGGCUAUGAAAAUACAAAUUACAGAGCGUGUUGGGACGAUGUACAAGGCUUUUGCAGUCUCUCAAAUAUAAAUACCGAAGCUCCGUAAGGCGUUCAAUCCAGGGGGAAAGCUCUUUAAUAGAUGUUCCAUCCAGGAAAAGACUUCUUAAUCCUUCCAUAUUUUCUUCAAUGCUUGGAAACAACUCAAAUUUUGUACAACCGGAAAGAGAGAGAGAGAAAAGGGACUUGAGCUGACAAAUGCUGCUUGGAAGACUCUUAAGUUCUUUGCAAUCUUUUAGAUUCAAAUGAUUCAAUCCCGUAAGAUUAUUAAUUGACGAGGGCAGUUCUUUAAUUUUUGACCCGGAUAAAUUAAGCUCUUCUAACUCCUCCAUACCUUCUGAAAUCUUUGGAAACAUCUCAAGACUAGAGCAGCCAGAAAGAUUAAAGGUUUUGAGAGAUUUCAUACGAAUGCUGCUUGGAAGACUCUUAAGUUCCGUGCAAUUAUGUAGAUUCAAAUGACACAACCUCGUAAGAUUAUUAAUUGACGAGGACAGUUCUUUAAUUUUUGAGCAGGGUAAAUCAAGCUUUUCUAACCCCUCAAUACCUUCUGAAAUCGAUGGAAACAUCUCAAGACUGAAGCAGCCAUAAAGAUUAAAGGUUUUCAGACAUUUCAUAUGAAUGCAGCUUGGAAGACUCUUAAGUUCCUUGCAAUCUUUUAGGUUGAAAUGACUCAACCCCGUGAGAUUAUUAAUUGACAGGGACAGUUCUUUAAUUUUUGACCCGGAUAAAUUAAGCUCUUCUAACUCCUCCAUACCUUCUGAAAUCUCUGGAAACAUCUCAAGACUGGUGCAGUCAGAAAGAUUAAAGGUUUUGAGAGAUCUCAUACGAAUUUUGCUAGGUAGAAUCUUAAGUUCCUUGCAAUCUUUUAGGUUGAAAUGACUCAACCCCGAGAGAUUAUUAAUUGACAGGGGCAGUUCUUUAAUUUUUGACCCAGAUAAAUUAAGCUCUUCUAACCCC